UUGCUGCAUUUCCAGUUUAAUUCCGGGAAGAGUCCUGCUCUAGCUUUUGCUAGCUUUAGUAGUCCUAACCCUGGUCUUCAAGUCACUGACUAUGCAUUCUUCAAGAAUGAUUUGCCAACUGAAAUUGUUGCCAAAACCACUUUCCUUGACAUUCCACAAAUCAAGAAGCUCAAAGCAAUCCUUGGUGGCACCAAUUAGAUUACCGUGAAGUUGUUUAGACGGAAUUUGGAGUCAGUCAAUUAGUUCGUUCUUUCACAAAGCUGUGAUCCAUUUUAUGUUGCUCCUCUGUUUUGCAGUUCAAGUACUUUUGUUUUAAGGUCAGGAUUGAAGUCUCUAAAUAAUGAGAAUGAGUUAGUGGAGUAGUUAUCCGCAGUUCAGUCUCCGGUGGUAUUUCAGCUGUCCUAAUGAUGGCUUUUCUCGUAUUUCCUCUUGUUGUCAAUCUGAAACUCUCAUGCCGAAAUCUGCCUGUUCUGGAAAUGAAAUUAAAUGUGAUGUUGUCGUAAAUGAAUUCGGGAUUGAAGGAGUACAUUUGAUUUUUAUGCAAGUAUAUUCACGCUGUGCUCUUCUUCAUGCUAGGCCUUUCUUGUUUUCCUUUUGCGCCCCUAAUGUUCUCAACUAUUCGAUUUUGCACCCUUAGCAUUUUUUUACCUUAACCAAGACCAUUUGCAAUGUCCCUUUUGCCCAUCAAAUACACAUUAAAAUACUUAUAUAGAAGGACGAACUUGUAAAAGUCACAUAUCUUCUUUCAUCCUUUCGUACUCAAAACUCCCAAACGUAGCACAGGAGGACCUAACAAGUUCUCUUCUUUUGUUGCCCAACUUGUACUUAAUCUUCCUUCUUUUCUUGCCUAAAUUUUGCAAACCAGGCUUAAAAUUUGCCAAAGCGAUUAGUUUAGUCCAAUAGCAAUUUGAAGAUACGGUCCUCUAAAGUUUAUCUUAUAUUACUAAUCAACCCCCGAGGCAUGACCAAAUUAUAAACAACCCCUUUUCAUUCACAGCAGAUGGAGAGAGCAGAAAGAUUUUUCUAAACGACCAAAAUAUCCUCAUGCUUUUACCUUUUAGGGAAAAAAAAUAAGAAAAGAUAAUAACAAAGAAAAAUUGUUCUACAAAUUGUUUCAAGUAAAAUUUUAUGAGCUCCAAGCAGCAGAUUUUAAGUGUUCCUGAUCGAGUUCUCUUGCGUGAUACAAACAUAACAAGUUAAGAAGAUGGAAUUUACUCGAAGAACGAAAUUCAGGAACAGUUGUAGUAUCAAUCAAUUGCAUAUUCUGCAUCCAGCAGCGAUAGUAAAAUAAGUUGUAUGAGUUUUCCAUUUUCCCAAUUCAUGCAAGUGUCUGUACUUGGUACAUGGAAGUCAGCAACUUACAUAUCAAUUACCAAAAGUCAUCCGCUGCAGGAUGUGUAAUUAAUGUAAUGUGCAAGUAUUGUGUGGUGAAGAGUAUGCUUCAGAACUGUGCGAUGAGCUGCCAAAUUUAGCUGAACUUGAGGAGCGCAAGUCAUCACUGAUCCAGUUUGCACUUGAAAUGUUGGCUAAAUGAACUUCAAACAAAUCUUUAAGCCAUUCACCCUUAAGGAGCGUUGUAUCAGUCUCUGGCAACAGCCCUUUGAAGUGUUCAUACAGAAACUAAUCAGCAAAACCUGUUGAGUCGAACCUCUUCUAUCUUUCGGCUUUUUUCACAAAUACAGCCAGGAAGCGGAUUUGCAUAAAAGCUCUCUUCUAGCUUUGGGAAUUCGCCAGGCUCCCUUGGAUAGGGGGCUCCAAUGCGAUCCUUGUGAAGUUUUUUUACCUUAGAACUGAAUUUUUUCCAGGACAUUACCCCUUCAUCAAGAUCAUCAACUAACUUUACAAAUUUCAUCCUGCAUCCGGAAAAUCAGAAGGCAUUAGUUUAGCAUAACUAAUUAUAGUAAGUCGACAUAAUUUAUAUCCAAUCAGCAUGAGGCAUUUUAACACCAGGCAAUUUUGGAUUUAUGCCAAGUGCAAUAACAAUUGCACAUCAUACAUAAGAUGAAUCCAACCUCAAGUGCCAUAAGAAACCCAUUCUGUUCCUAACAAAAUUCUGAGAAGGCUCUGCACCUAGAAUCAUUACCUGUCUGGAUUGACAGUUUUCUUGAAAUCCUCAAAGCGCCGAUGACCUUGUACUGCUUUUGCCAUAUUACCAUCAUAGGUGUAUACAAAAACAUCACUCUCAAGAGCAACUACAUAGUCCAACCCAGCUAACAUAUUCUGGUGAUUUCUGAAAGGAUUUAGUUCUUCCUCAGAUGAUAAAGUCAAAUGGGAGAAGAUAUUUGGGAAGCUCUCCGUGAGAUAUUGCAUACUCCCAUUUCCAUAAGCUUCACCAGCAACCAAGUAAAUCCUAGUGUUGGAUGGAUAUCCUAGCCCCUGAAGCAAAAGGGCCGUCUCCCUGGGUGUCAAAGGGCAUCCACCAACCUUUCUUCUCUCUACUGCAUCGAUCUCUUUUUCCUUCCAAUGGCUCACCUCGUAUCGCAUCUUACGAAGUUCCUCAUCUUCUUCUGCUGUCAAAUUGUGACUGCAUCCUGUGAAAGCCAGCAUAUCCUUCUCAUAUCUGACACAACAACAGAUAACGGUUAACAUGUAGUAUGGGAAUUAAAAUCUAUAACAAGUCACUAAGGAAUUCAACUAGAGCACCAGAUGCCAUUCAGAAUAAAAGCGAAAUGAUCUAAAACAAUCAAAGGUAUUGGUGUUGGCAUACUAGUAUUUUUGUUUUCUCAUUUGGACCAUCAUAUCAGCAUCUUUCUUCCAAGCCCACAAAAACCAGUAUCAAAUGUGCAAAAGGAUUUGUUAAAUUGUCAAAUCAUUUGAAGAACAAUAUCAAAGUUUUACAUUCAAUUUCUGUUGAAAUGCAAAACGAAUUAGAGGAAUAUAAAAUCAUUCAAGUUCCUAAGCAAAAAGAGAGGAAUAAAACCCUUCAAGUUUCCUAACCAAAUGAGAGGAAUAUAAUCAUUCAAGUUUCUUGAACUGGCAUAUAAAGGUUACCGCAGCUAGAGUUUAGUAGACUGUACGAUAACUACACUCCAAAAGUUCAAUGUCUGGAUCUCAAACUUCAAAACAGCAAGCAAGUCUUAGAGCAUCAAAUUCCCACAAGUCAUUUGUGACCACCAUGACAAACCUCAAGUGGAGAGCAAGGUAAGGACUUCCAUUGUAUCGUAUUCUUGACACGAAAGUUUUCCCUAAUUCUUCAAUUUGGGUUGAGUACUUCAAAGCUCUAUAAUUCACACGGCAUCUUAGCUUUUGUAUGGAGUUUGGAAGACCAUUGUUGGCAAGCCGGGAAUCGGUAUGAGUAAAGUAGAUCACUUUAUGCUGCUUCAGAAGUGGGGCAACUUCUGACUUGUAAUAGCUGACCUGAACAAGGAAAGUUUUGAGCAUAAGAUAAAUAGAAAACACAAAAAAGCCAUCAAUACAUGGCAAAACAUGUGCGGAACAAAGUUUUCCAAUAUACUUUGAGCUAUAGUAUUAAACCGUAUAUGGGACCUACAAGUUUACAAGCAUGCUACAAUAAAAUCUUAGGCAUUACAGCAGGCAUGCUUGUUGCUAGAGGUGGAAAAGGUUCACAAGGACUACCUUAGACCAGGAAAUGGGUGUUUUGUUGAACGGUUCAAUUCCAGCAUAUUCAGGUGGUAGUGCCUCAACUAUGUGAAUAUCAUCUUUCAAUGUCUGAAUAAAGUGUUCCCAGUCAAAUAGAUCUUUAAAGCCACUGCACAAAGACAAGAAAAGCAAAUCAUAGGAAGUUGUUAGCAACUGUUGAUCUUCCAUUAAGGCAUUUAAGUGCUAUUAAUGUAUGGUACAUGUUGAACCAAUGCAAUGGACAUAUUUUGAAGCUCUUGUAUCAUAGAGAUGUACACUUCUUAAAGCUGAAAUAUAUUUUGCUAUCUUUCCUUGUAUACUAUUUUAAGGUGGUCAAGGUGUAAUAAUUUUACAUGAAAACCAGUUUUAUGUCUCAUCUACUGUUCGUUAACAAGUAUAUCAGGCAGACAUACCUUGUGAGUAACAGGAUGAUGCUAAAAGAAUUUGAUUACUAAGAAACACAAAUCAAAUACAGCAUUUGCAACUGGUUAAAUGCAUUAUUUGUGCUAUCUUAUACACUGAAUGAGUGGAGGAUGAUUGAAGGUACCUCUCGUCAGCCCAGUAAGAAGUGUGAUCGAGGGAGGGAAGAACAAGAGUUGCCUUCAUGACUUUAGCAACAGCAACCAUGUCACAGAUCUGCACUCUAGAAAUACUUGUUUAUCAGAUUAGUUCAUUAUGUUCUUCAGCAAAAGUCAUACAAUCAUUGAAUAAGAACCAGACCCCAAAUCUCAUCUGAUUUAAGCCACCAUUUGCGUUUAUCAGAAGGUAACCAUUCGUCUUUUCGUCCAACUCUGUUCAUGAAUCAGAAAAGCAAGAUAGUAAAGAACAAAUGGAGUAUGUGCAACAUCAGAACAAAAUCAAAUUCAAGAGAAAGCCAUAGAGCUAUACUUUUGUGUUUUGACUGAUCAAUGCACUGAAUAUAAUUCUCACUAUCUGGCUUGGCCCAUAUACCUGAAUGCUGAAUAAUUUUCACUCAGAAAUGAUACGAGAAGAUUAUGCAAAAAUAAAAUUGGUCAAACAAGAUUUGGUGCUCACAUCAGCCAUUCUAGGUACCGUCAUUAGAGUCCGGUCAUUAUCAUUUUCUCUGCCUGCAUUUUCAUUAGCUCUGUUUGAUAUCCAUAGUCAUGAGCCCCUUCAUCUCUCACAUUAUAAGCAGUGUCUGGAUUGUCAUAGAAAUCCUAAAAAGGAAGUUAGAGCCAUUAAACCACCGUACCACUGUUAUUUCUAUAAUAAAGGCAGUGCACAACAUAUAUGCUAGAACACAUGAACCGGGUAUGAGAAAACAGGAACUCGCAUUCUCCGUCAGAUGCAUUAGCAAACCUAAAAUCAAUGGACCCUAUUAUGCAAUAGACUACUUAAAAUAAGAAACCGAAGAGUGCCACGCUACAAUAUAACCAACCUAACUUCAGUAGGAAAAGAAAUUGACAUAACUAAUCUGUCAUUCUUUUUACGUAUGCAAGUAAACGAAGACCUUCCUAAUCACGCAACCAGUAAAUUCUUAGCUUACUCUUAACACCAUCAUCUAAAAAGCAGUAGUAUUUAAUUAUUCCACUACUACGAAGUAAAAAAGCUUGGUAAGAGCACAAAGAAAAACCAAAAAAUUAUAUACAUCAUAAAUCCACGAAUCCGAUGCCAAUGAUCCAUACAAGAAAUGGAUUUAGUUCAAGCGAAAUGAACCAACCUGAUUGGACCCAACUCUGUCAAUUGCAGAUCCAAACCAACCACUGACACAAAAUUUCAAAAUUCCCAGAAACAAACAAAGCCCGCAAAACAAAAAACAUCCACUGCCCCCACUUCACCUUCCCCUUCAACUCCAAUCCCAACCAAAGUCCAUACCAAAAGAUCCAAUCUUUCUCUUCGAAUGCACUCUUUGAGUCAAAUUCCCCAAACGGGUCUGCCUCUUUUCCACCGAAGAAUCGAACCCAUCUCCAGAGUUCGCAUUCGAGUAGUUUUCAGAUCUGGGCGAGUUCAGCUGAACAUUAAUCUCGUGAGAGCUAUUACUAUUGUUGUCUUUGGUUUGGGAGCUGUGGUCGCUACCAUUGUCCCUGUUGUUAUUGUUGUUAUUUUGACGUUUGAAAGAGGUGGCUCUGCGAGUCAUUGGACCGGAGAAUCGAGGGCUAUUGACUCGCUGAGAAACUGCGCCAUCUGCGGCGGCUGAGUGGUGGUGUGGUGGCUGUGGUUGUGAUGCUGAGCCAUCCCAUGUAGUAGGGAUUAGCACAGUGUUUAUCUUGCCCACGAUUCUUGCAGAAGCGUUUCCGAAGAUAAUGUAGUGAAUCAGUGAUUCGGUUUCAGUAGGAUCGUCGAUGGGAUCAGAAAAAAGUUUAUGAGAUCGAUUAGUUAGUAGUAAUGGAGUGGGCAAGUCACAGGACGAAGAAAAAGGAGAGCAUGGAGUUGAACGCGCAAGGGAAAAAAAAAAUUUCUGGAAUAAACAAAAAUGAUUAUGAUUGGUGCUUUGAUUUUUGGAUCAGUGUCACUGUUACUCAUUGUUAGUGUAGGACCUAGCUUUUGUAUUCACUAUCAUGCAUUCUACUUUUCAAUUUUCAUAUACUUACUAGGAAUACAAGCCAAAAUAUAGUUGGAUAAUUGCAAUCAAAAUUGGAUAAUUACUUUAAUAUAAAAAUACUUAAAAGAGCUUUGAUCUUCUUUUCCUUUAUUUCACAAAUACACGCAACUUAUGAAUUCGUGACAUGUUCGAGCUUGUACACAUAUGUAUAUGAACUUUGAAAUUAUCUAGGAAUCAACUUGACCUCAAAAAAAAAAAAAAUGGUAAAGAUAUUACGUUAUCAAUACUGGUGACGAAUUGUUUAUGAAUUUGUUAUUAACAUAUAUGGUUUCAGAUUUUUUUAUAUAUAUAAAAGUGAAACUAAUUUAGAAAAAUAUUAGAAGCAGAGGACGAUAAAAUGUGAAUCACAUGAUAGAUUAAAUAUAAUUUAACUAUUUUAAGAAGUGCCUUGGAAGCAAUCCUUAAGUAAUAUAAUUAUUUAGUACAGCAAACGCAACAUCAAUUAGUUAGUGAUAAUUUAUUUUGAAAAAAUGUUAUUUGCAUCCACGCCAUUUGUUUAUCAUAUAAUUUAAUCAAUAAAAACUAUAUGAUUAAAGUAAUAAUGAAGUGUGACUAACAAAAAUAGAAUUUUUUUUUUAUUUACAAUGAUUGACUUUUGGCUCUAAAAAAACAAGAUAAUCUCGAGUUUGAGAGCUCACAUGAGCUAGGCUUGGGGGACAGAUGAGUCAGCACGCUUUCGAAUUUUGGUAAGAUAAAAUGUUAAUUUUCUCUUUUGAGAAAUAGAUUCUUUUGUUUUAUUUAUUUGAAAAAAAAGGUUAUUACAUCUGAAUGACAAAAUUUCUACAAUUCUUUCCCUUUUUUUUAUUUUUGGGUAAAAUCUUUUGAUUUGGAAGAAAAUGCUAGAAAGAGACAAAUGUACUAGAUGAUGCUGAUUAGACUUGACGGUAAUUUAAGAAAAUGUUUCAAAUUGAUAAUUUCCAUUCUACCAGCAACUUUGCCCUAUUUUAUUUUAUUUUCUAAAAAUCACCUAAUUAGAAUGACACGCCUGGGGUUUAGAUCUAUCAGCAAUUGAGCGGGCUUGGAUAGACUCCACGAUUUCUUCAUCUUCUUUUUUUUUUUUUUUUUUUUGGGUAAUUCAUGUGGCUCUUUAUUUAUUUACUAUUUAUUUAGUUCUAAAUCUUGUGCAAGAUUGCGAGUUGUGGGCUGCGCAUACACUUAUCAAUGGGACCAUGAAUAUUUAUUCUAAUUAAAAAGCCCAAGAAAAUAAUUGAAUUAGUCAAAAAAUAAAUAAACUAGAUAGAAUCAACAGCUUGUGCUUUCUUGAUAAUGAGCCGUUCCAUAAAACAAGUUUUAUAUGUCGUUUUCUUCAGACUCCAUAAUAAUAUAGUACUAAUACGCCGGUGAUGGAAUAAAGUCCUCGUCGUUGCCUGUGACUGUGAGAAGUUUUAAGAAAUAAAAUAAUAAUGAGGAAUGACAAAAUCUGCCACGUUUUAAGUUAAUCUACCAUAGUAAACUAAUUUAUAUGAUUACUAAUUGAGUGAUGCUGAAGUAAACCCACAAGUCAAAUCUAACCAUACAGGUCUAAUCCUCUCUAAUUCUUUUACUAAUAUUCUUAGAAUUAUUUAAUGCUCGGGUCACCGUCGUUUAUCUGUUUUUUCCAUGACGGGAAUAAUUGAUUCAACCAUGCAUGCAAGAAGCUCUUGAUUUUUUAUUUAUUUUUGGGUAAAUAAAUAAUCCCUAGUUCUUUGGUUAGAAAAAAUAAAAACCAUUUGAUUUUCCAGUGCAUUUCCAGUUGGCGCCGCCACAUUUGUUGACCGUAAGAACAUUCAACUCAACUGUGCCUGAAUGGUCCUCUUUCCACCUGGCUUCUUUUGACAAAAUCUUUUUGGGUAUUUUAUUUUUAUUUUUUCCUGCAUCUGAUGAUAUUUUCGUGUAAUCAAUUACCGAGUAUAAUUCUAUAUGUACUUUGUUUUUUUUGACAAAAGGAAAAAAUGCAUUUUAUUGCAAGGGUUGCUGAAAAUCGUCCGAAGAUAUAAUCAUAUAACUACUUCCUUGUUUCAAGUUUCAACGAUACAUAUAACGCAAAUCUUCGACUUAAUCAAAUUAGUUCCCAAACUUUUUUCAAUUUCAAUAUACAAAUCAUAAAAGUUUUGCCAACAAUUUUUCAAUUCAUCACUAAUCAGCUUUAGAGAGAGCAAUGUGGAUGACCAAUCUUUUGGGAUUCUUUUAUAAGACUAACGAGCCUUACUACAUAGGUCUUGUUCUUGAUUGUUUUAGACAAUUAUAGAAACUAAUUGUAAAAAAUAAUCUUAAUUAUAAAAGUUAUUGUUUGAGUGAUUAUUGCUUUUAAAUUUUUUUUAUCAUUAAAAAUCUAUAGUCAGACUACAAAAGUAACAGAUAUCAUAAUAAAAAUUGAUUAUUCAGAAUUAGAAUAUAUAAUUAAUUAAAAUAAUCAAGCUCAUAAACUUUUACAUCUCUCUCUUUGCGGUGAUAAGGAAGCAGUUUAGUCAAACGUAAGACCAUCGCAUUUUUGUUAAAUUGAAGAGUCAUCUAGUCAUGACAAUUGGGGAAAAAAAAUUUCUGAUCAUGACAAUUGGGAUAAUGCGUCCAACCAAACCGAGAGAUAGAGAACGGGGCCCCAUAAGGGUUAAGACAAUACUUCACGAAUGUAUGAUUCUUCAAUCAGGUUAAAUAGCGCACUUCAUCAUUUUCAAAUGAUCCUUUUUUUUUUUUUGUGUGUCUAUUUUGCUUAAGUUACUGUAUCCUCACUAAUAUAAUAAUUCGUAUUUUUCCUACUAUCGCCUUGGGCGCAGCAAUCAUCAGGGCUCAAAUUAUUUGUUUGAUAUUUGUUAUUCAAUGUAUGAUUGCUUUUACAAAUGUUUUGGAUGGAACGGAAUAUAUCAUUCUCGUCAUAUCUAGCAUUAUAAUCAUAUUUUUCAAUCUAUUUUUUUUAUAUUUUUAAUUAUCUUUUUAUUUCACAUACAUUACAUUACAAAAAGUGGUAUAAUAAUUAUUUUAAUAGUACUUUAUCCAAACACAAUCUUUGCGGUGAUUUCAAAAACUCGAGUGAAUCUGUUUGGAUUUAUUAGUUUUUAAAAAAUUAGUUUUCAAAUACUAUAAAAAUUUUUAAAAAGUAUUUUAAAAGGUACUCUAAAAAAUAGUUUAAGUUUUUUUUUAUGUUUUAAAAAAAUCAAAAUAUAUUUUAAAAACUCUACUAUUCUUAAAUAUCCCAAAAUAUACUCUAAAAACUCUGUUACAAUAAAAUUUUUCAAAAACAUCCCAAAAAACAGUUAAUCCAAAUGGAGGCAUGUAAUUUAUUCUAAUUUUUUGUAGUAGCUUUGGAGUACUUGAAUACAUUCAAUUAGAGGGAAUUGUACGUGGGAGAGAUGUUUGUAAUUUUGACUAAAAUUUAAUAAAAAUAUAUGAUUUAUCCCAAAACUUUCUGCAAAUGAUAUUAGUAGUUAUGAGGAAUUUUCCAAAAGUGUGUUUGGGUAGGAGGUUAUUUGAAAUAAUUACUAUAACACUUUUUGUGAUGUAAUGUAUUGUAUGUCAGAUAAAAAGGUGGUUAAAAAUUGUGUUUAUGAUGGGCCUGUUUGGAAUCUGAGUUUUUUGGGAGUUUGUCUAAAACUUUACUGUAGUGCACUGUACAAGUUUUUGAAAAAAAUUUUGUAUAAGUUUUUAUAAGGUGAAAAUUUUUUUUGUAAGGUGCAAAAUUUUGUAGAAAUUUUUGUAGAGUGAAAAACUUUUUUUUCCUUUUUUUUUUCUUUUUCUUUCUUUUUCUUUUCUUUCUUUCCUUUUUUUUCUUUCUUCUUUCUCCUUCUUCUUCUUCUUCUUUCUUUCUUUCCUCCCCGUUACCUCCCAGCAGCAGCCACGCUCGCCACCCUCUCCUCCCUUUCCCCUUCUCCUCCCGCCACCGUGACCUCUCCCCCCGCCACCCCCCUGUGCCCCUUCCCCUCUGCCACCGGCGACCCCCUCCCCCCCGCCACCCCCUGUGCCCCUUCCCCUCUGCCACCGCGACCCCUCCCCCCGCCAACCCCCUGCCCUUUCCCCCGCCACCCCCUGCCCUUUCCUCUGCCAGCAUGACCCCCGCCACCCUCUGCCUUUUCCCCAGCUUCUCCCGCCACUCUCCCUCCCCCGCUCAUCCCUGCCCUUUUCCCAGCUUCUCCCGCCACCUCCCCUGCGCAACCCCCUCCCCUGCCACCCCUCUGCCCUUUCCCCUGCGCGACCCCCUUCUCCCGCCACCUCGCGGACGGCGCUAAAAUAGUCCCCAGGUUUCCGGCAAAAAGCAUCGAGGAAUUUACGGAACUUUGAACGCUUCGUCGAGGAGGAUUUGCUCUUCUGCAUCCAAUUGAAUAAGGAAACCAUCACGUUGAAUUUGAUGUCAAAUUCCUCCAUUCUGGACUUUUUUGCUUUUUCUGGGCUAUGAUUUUGCUUGUUCGGUUCUUGGGGUUCUAUGUUCAUUUUUUGUGUUUGAAAAUGAAGAAUUUAAAAACCGUCUGAAAGGGGGAGGGGGAAGGGGGAAGGGGGCAGGGGAGGCAGAGGGGAAGAGGGGAGGGAAAGAAAAAAAAAACUUUGUGUAUGGCCGGAACUGCCCGCCAGAAUAGUAACCGGUGCCGGAAGUGGUGGUGGAGGUGGUGGCCGCCGGCGGAGGAUGUGGUGGGUUGGGUGGGGGGAGGAAAAAGAAAAAAAGUUUGAAGGGAAAGUUUUUUUGUGUAUUUUUUGAAAGUGUGUAGGUAAAAAGUUUUGAGAAGUUUUUUAAGGUUCCUGUAGCAAAAGUUGUUAAAAAAACUAGUAGGUAAAAAACUUGGGCAAAAAACUCACUUCCAAACAGGCCCAUGUUAGUAGAAUAAAAUUUGAAUUUUUUCUUUUUUGGGUCCAAAUCUUGCUAACCAAACAUACCGAAUCUCGUUUGUCAAAAAAAAAAAAAAAAACCGAAUCUCGCAAUUUGCUCUAGUCAAAUAAAGCUGGAAAAACCUUGCUAGAACAAGCAAAGGAAAUGAGACGUGAUUAUUUGAAAGACAAAUGUAAGAGUGGGACAACAUAUAUGAUAUAACACCAGGCCAGGAAAUGGAGAUAGUUUUGGCGGGAAAUAGGCCACCUGUGGCGAUCUCAGCAGUCGUGUUAAAGAAGCUUUCCUAAUUUCUCUCCCCAAUAAAACUCAAAAAAGACAGAGAGAAACCCAACAGCCAAAACCCGCGUCUUCACUCUCACUCUUACUCCAUCUCCAACGGUUGGUUUACCACUAGCAAAUUUUAGCAAUCAAUUUUAUCGGUACUUUUCAAUAUCGCCGCCGACAUUCCUCGAAUCCGCAGCCGGCGGUAAGUUUUUACAUUUUCAUUUCUCUGUCUAUACUUAUCUUCAGCUCCGAUUCUACGCAUAUUUCAGGUUCUUUGUACUUAUUGUUUAUAUAUUUUCCGUAUAUGGACUUGUGAACAAAUUUGUACUCCUAUGUACUCGUUUUAGCUUCGAUUUCGUCAGGCUUUGUAUUGAUUUUUCCCCCUGAUUUUAACGUUCGUUUUUUACCUUUUAAAUCAUUGCAACAAAUAUAGACAGUUGAAAUGACGGUGUUGAGGUCUCGUGAAGUUGCUCCCCCGGGAAUGACAUUGAAAACUCCGGCGAAAGGUGUGGAUAUAGGGGUGUUUGAGCCGGAGACUCCGGCGAAAACCCUAGAAGGCUUGAACCAUCAGUCAACGACUAGUCCUUUGAGUUUGAGCCCUAAGGCUCCUUGUCAGGAUGGUAAGGAAGGGUUGGCGGCUGGAAGUGUCCACAGGCGGAGUGCUCGAUUGGCUUCCAAGUUGGACUUAACUGAAGGUUUAGAAACUGUUAAAACUUUUAGUCGAAAAAGGAAGAGAUUGGAUGCUGGAAAUGAUGGGAGUUUGGGUGAUGGCCUUAAUUUGGCUACUGCAUCUACUGAGAAGAAGGAUGAUGUUGGAAUUGGGGUUGGGGACGUAAUGUUAGAGGAACCAAAUAAAUCUGACUCUCUUGUUGAUUUGGGAAAUUCAGGCCAAAGUAGUGACGCAGUUGAAAGCGUGAAACAGGGGAGGAGGAGGAGAAAAUUUGGCAUUGAUGUGGAAUUAUCGGAUCUAAUGCUUGUAGGGCAGGGUCAGAAUGAGAAGAAGGUUUUGAAUCUACGGUCUGGGAGGAGAAUCAUGAAGAGUGGAGGGGAAAAAAGGAGUGGUGAUAGUUCUGAAGGAGUUGAGAGUAAUGACGGUGAUAAGUUUUAUACUGGUAAUGAUAGUGAGUGUAUGUCAAGUGGCUGCAGAGGAAAUGGUGGUGUGAUGAAUGAGUCCAAGGUAAUUGCUGAAGGGGAUGGAUAUCAUAGUAUCAAUAAUGUGAAGAAAGUUACUGGAGAAGAGAAGGGCAAAAGUAAAGUACUUGAGAAGGCUUCCUUCAUGAGUGGCAUUGAUUUGUUGAAAUUGAAAUCUGAGGUGAAAGAAGCUGGUGGAAACAUGGUUAAGACUGAAAAGAAGGUUGAGGCCAGGAGUACUAGGAGAAAGGAUAAGGGGAAAGAAAAAUUAGUCGAAAGUGGUUCCUUAUCAAAAUCCUCUUGCUCAGUAGGACGCAAGUCCGAAAAUAAGUUAGAAAAAGAAAAUGACGACACUGUUUCAAGUUCUUCUUUAUUGGCCGAUAGUAUGUCAUCCCAAAAUGCAGAGCAGACCGACAUGAGUGUGACUGCUGACAGAAGGGUUCACAAGGUUCGAUUUCGUGAAAUAGCCAGGCGAAAUGCAUCUCGUUUUGCUCAUUUCUCAUCUCAAGAGGAGGAGGACAAUGCUGCUGAUACCUCUGGAAGGGAAAUUCCACCAUCUGACAUUAACACUGAAACAGAAGAUUGGCCUGGUCCAUUUUCAACUGCAAUGAAGAUUAUUAGGGAUCGUCAGAUGAAUGCAAAUGUUCAGCGGCAUAAUUCCUUGUCAGACAAAAGGGGGGUUGCAUCAGUUACAUGGAAACCCAAAAAGGAUCGACAGUGUAACCUUCAAAAGCAGUUGGUUCCCUCGUUGCAGGAUCUGUGCCUGACAAUUCUUGUGAAAAACGCCGAUGCAAUCACUUCGCUUGAUUGCAUUCCUGAUGUUUUGAGGCGCAGGCUAUCUCAAUUGCUUUGUGAUUCUCGGAGAAUGGGUGAUCAUUUCUUUGGCCUGCUUGUACAGGGUUCUCCCACUGAGAUUCAUCUAAGGGACUGUUCCUGGUUAUCUGAGGAAAUAUUCACUAGAACUUUUGAAGCAUGUGAUACUAGCAAUUUGACGGUAUGGGAAUUGACUGUAGUUGGCAUUUUGAUAUAUUGUCAUUUUGUUGCAAUUUAAGUCUUUUAUCACUUUGAGAUGGACAAUGCAUUUUCCUAAGUUUUUUUCCAUUGCAGCAUGAUCUGGCCUAAUUAAAUUUUUAUGCUCCAACUAUAUUUGAGACACGGGCUACAAAUCCCAUUGUUUUUUGCUUUGGGCUAUGCUUAUUCAGCCUCAAUUACAUAUACUAAAAUAAUCAAGUGCUAUGUGCAUUCUUUUGGAUAUUGGUUUUUGCUUGGUGGUUUUGCAUGUAAAUAGUUCAAGUUGUUUCUUUUGUGCUGAAAUUUCUUUUCAUGAGCUACAGGAAGAAUUCUAUAGGCAUCUAGAUUACAUGUAGAUUUCUUGUUUCUUUUUUUUAAUUGAUCUUGAAAUAUCUGAAGACUAUAAUUGUUUGGGAAUCAGGUCCUACAGCUUGAUCAGUGUGGAAGAUGUUUGGCAGAUUAUGUUCUUUUUGGUACAUUAGCUCGUGCUUCAAAUUGCCUGCCUGCUUUAACUGCUGCGUCAUUACGGGCUGCAUAUCGUCUUUCUGAUGUAGGUCUAAGUGCACUGGUUUCUGCUGCACCUUCACUAAGAUCUAUAAAUCUCAGCCAAUGUUCCCUUCUUACUUCUGAUGGCAUUGCCAGUUUGGCAGCUUCACUGGGAUCAGUUCUGAGGGAACUAUAUCUAGAUGACUGCCAAGGGCUAGAAGCCAAGCAUAUAUUGUCAGCUUUGUUAGAGUUUGAACAAUUGGAAGUCUUGUCAUUGGCUGGCAUGGAGACUGUUUCUGAUGAUUUUGUCAGUAGAUUUGUAAGCGAACGAGGUCACAAGAUAAAGGAGCUUGUUUUGGCAGAUUGCAUGUGGGUUAUUCUGAAUAGAUUGCCUUUUGAGAUUUGAAUUAUGAAGGAAUCUCUACUUAGUUCAUUAAUCCUGUUUGUAUUUCCUUUGGUGCAGGAAAUUGACGGAUUCUUCUGUUAGAGUUAUUGCAGAAUAUUGUUCAGAAUUAUGUGCAAUUGAUCUCUCUAACUUGUGCAACUUAACAGAUACUGCAAUAGGGUACCUUGCAAAUGGUUGUCAAGCAAUUCAAGCUUUGAAACUCUGCCGCAACACAUUCAGGUUUUUUAUAUAUUGGCCUUUUAAAAUAAAUGCAUUAUUUGAGAAAGUAGUACAAGAGUGUACCACCUAUAUAUGAAGUAUACAAAGAUAUAAAGAUCCCUCAAGGGAAUUCCAUUCAGAAUCCAUAUUCAUAAGAAUUAGGAAAGUAUGCUUAGCCCUAAAAGCCAUGUGAACCAAAAGAUACUGUUUGAUACUGUUACAAAGCUUUCUAUAUGUCCUCAAAAGGCGUACAGUUGAUUUAAUUCCAUAAUACCCAAUUGUGAGGGCACACCUCCAUGCUCUUCUGUUUCCAUUACAUCUAGCUUGCCUUUUACAGCAGCAAGUUAAGAAGUCAAUGCCUCUUCUUUGCAAAAUCCAUAGACUCUGACGGACCUUUAGAACAAGCCUCUAGCACUUUUAUAGGAGCUUUAUAGUGCAGUUAGAGAUUAUCUCUGUGUUCUCAUUGACAAGUAAUCCCGUAUCCCAUAUUCAGAAUAGUAGUUGACUUCCAACAGCAUAACUUUCCUACGAUUUUGUGGCAGCGAUGAAGCUGUUGCUGCUUAUCUUGAGACCUGUGGAGAUACUUUGAGAGAACUUUCACUAAGUAAUGUUAAACAGGUACUAAACUGUCAAUACCUUUUUUGCUCCUUCUCUUCCCUCCCUCUCCUGUUGCUCAUCUUUGCAUUUCAUACCAAAUUUUCUUGAUAACAAUAUCCUGAGAUUUUGCUUCUCGCAGCUGGGAGGUAAUUUGGAUUUUUCGUGUAUUUGAUAUUUCAUUAACUGAUCAAACACGUGGGUCUUUUAUCCUAGGUUACUUUAUAUAUGGCAUUCCAUUGUUGUGCUUGACUAGGCCUUUCUGCAAAAUUUCCAGGUCGCUCAGAAUACCGCUAUAUCACUUGCCAGACUCUCUAGAAACCUGCAAUAUUUGGAUUUGUCCUGGUGUCGCAAUUUGACUAAUGAAGCCCUUGGAUUGAUUGUAGAUGGCUGCUUGUCUCUGAAAGUUUUGAAACUAUUUGGUUGUAGUCAGGUAUGAUAUGAUUGUUUAAACCACACUUAAUUUUACAAACUAUUGGAUCUCGUAUUAGAAGUCAGCAUUUGUCUUUUCAAGACUAGCCGGUCCCUUUUUGUGAUCUAAUGAACUUUAUAAGUUGUAAAGGGACAGUCCAGCCAAUUGACAGGCAUUCUGUGACAGAAGGGAACAAAUAUCAUAAGCACUGUCUAUCCUUUGAUUCUGAAUAUGUUCUUUUGAAUUUCUUGGACAAGUUUCAAACUUUAUGUGCUGAUUGCAAAUUUUCUCCCUGACCUCAAUCUGGUUUUCCGAAAACAUAGGAUAAAGAGACUGGAAACUUCUAACAUGUAGGUCUUCUCAUAACUUCAAAAAGAAUUUACCUGUAUGCUGGGCUGGUGUUGUAUCUGUAAAAGAAAGUUUGGUUACUUGUGCUUAGUUUGCGUAAACAAAAGUUCGAGGAGAAAACUGAUCCAGUGGAUGCUUUUUUGAAUUUAUAAAUGAAUGAAGUCUAUAUAUAGAUUUGACAUCCAAAUAUAUGGGGAUAUGAGAUAUCAGGUAAUAGUGGUUCUUAGAUAUUGUUUCCAUGAGCGCCAUAAUACUUUGAUGGUGUGUAUUUGUGUCAAGUUCAAGCAAUUCCUUUUCUCUGGCAAUAUUUUCCUGUUUCUAAGCAAUGAGUUUUGCUUCUGGAAACCAGUGGAGGGGGGGUGCCUUUUUAAUGCUUCACAAAAGAUUAAAUUGAUCUUGGAACCUUUAGGGAGUAUGAACUCUCUCUUUCAUCUUAUAGAUUAUGUAAUGUGAGUGAAGUAUUCUCGAUACCUGGGUCUUAUCCUUAACAAAUUGCUUUUCACCAGAGAUAAAUCUUUUUGGGUCACAAAUACAUACUCCAGUCUUUCCAUUUUUAAAUAAUAUCAUCCAUGUAGUGUCUCUGCCACCCCCCCCAGUGUCCCUUUGUCUGACACGAUAUAUAUACACUUCUGUUCUCUUUAAAUGCCUGGCUGAAUUGUCCCUUGUAGGCAUGCAUUAACAUAUUGCUCAUGUCAUAUCGUACUUUCACAGGUUACAGAUGUAUUUUUGUUGGGCCAUUCUAAUCCAGAAGUACGAAUAAUUGGAUUGAAGAUGAAGCCCCUACUGGAACAUCUUGAGGUGCCUGAUCUACUACGAGGACCACUGCAUUAUUCAUCUGUUUCUCCUUCAUUGUGAUCCUGGUUUAACCUAGUUCAAAACCUAGUGGUGAAGUUCCAAAUUUCAGCUCCCAACUUUUCUGUAUCCUUGGGCAUAUUCCCUGUACAUUUUCAGCAGUAACAUGUGAUGUCAUGAUUUUGAUCAUGAAAACAAUUUUUGUGUUGUUAGUAGGGAAUGAAUCUCGCUUCAGCUGCUGACAAGUCUCAGGUUGCUUAUUUUUGGCCAUUUGGGUAUACUGUGGCUUGUCAUGCAUGCAUAUUUUGUAACGAAAGCUUUGACAUCCCUAAUUUGUUUACAUGUUGGAGGUGUCAUAUACGUAUGUCUGAACAAUUUAUCCUCGAAGAUUUUUGAUUUGUUAUCUUGAAUUUGGUAUCAUUAUUUCUGCCAAUUAUGGGUCAAAUACUUAGCUCCAAGUGAUGACUAUAUGGCACGUUGGCAAUUGACUUAUUCUAGACACCAUCUAUAAAUCAUUUCUCAAACACAUUGGCCUACUUUUGGAGUUUAUAGAAGAGAAUAGAGAGAAGAUUGUAACUUCUGUUUAGAGUUUAGAAAAGAAGGGGAUUAUAUUUGUGUUCGUCAGGUAUUACUAGUGUUGCUUGAACUUCUAUGGGCCGAUUUAAAUGGAUUUGACAUAGGUUUACAAGUUUUGAGCUCACAGUACCUCCAUUUCCCACUAGUCCUGUUUGGAGAGGAAUGUGUUUUAAAUGUUCACUCCUCUUUCUUCCCAACUGAAAUUCCCAAACAAGAGACCUGAUUCGUUGCCAGUUUGCAGAACUUCUAUACUCCGUUUUAAACUGUUUCAUUCCUCCAAGUCAACCAUUCAAACUAGUUAAUUGAGUUGAUGCCUGGAUCAUUGCCAGUUGGCCACUUGUUCUCUCUCUCUCUCUCUCUCUGGGGGUCCGGAGUUUAGUUGUCAUUUUACUUUGGAAGUUCCUUUUUAUUGAUUGGACUAUAUGAGUAGUUUGGGGUUUAUUACAAUGAAAAUGUGAUUUACAUAAACUCUCCUUUCUCUUUGGAAGAAAAGGAUAAAGUUUGGAUAUUGGUGCAGCAACGUGAUUACGGCUUCCUUUGAUGAUAUUAAUUUUCGGGGGGAAAAAUGCUUAUGGCAAAGACUGAGGAUCGAUACUUCUUUUUUUUUUUUUUUUUUUUUUUUAAUUUUCAUAUAUGGUUGAACCCCAUUGUUUGUGUCCAUAGAGAAGGAUGGCAACGAGACACUGCCCGCGAGGGGAGGUAAUGGGGGCUGUGUGUGGGAAGGGGGGGGGGUGUUACUGAUUUAUGUUGGGUUAAACUAUUAGUAGUACUAAUUUAUCCUAAUAACUAUUUUUUUGUCGUUGCAGGACUAAUCUGUCCAUAGCUAUGUGAAGAAAAUUCAACAGCCAUAUGCAUGCUUUGUUCCUGAAGCCUCCUCUUAAAUCUCUGUUCUUCAAAGCCUCCUCUUAAAUCUCGUUUACGCAUUUCUUCUUCAAUCUCUCUAUUUAUUUCUUUAAGCUUUCGCUUCAUCUUCUGAAUCUAAAUAGAAAAGAUAAAUUUUGUUUCAAUCACACAAAAAUGCUCAAAUGACAGUUAUAGAGGCCAACAGCCAUUUGGUCUAUUGGUCACCACCAAGACUUUAAGUUUUAGUUGUGGGUGGGAAGUCAAUGUCCCACUAAUCACUAUUUGUGACUUGCUACUUAAGUGAUUUUCUCCCAUAGAUUAGAUUAAGUUAUAGCAAUUGUUAGAGAAAGUUUUCGAGUUUUCCCACAGUUGUUUCCUCCAAUUUUAAUAAUCCGGCCAUCAAUACAAACAAGAAACUGUAACAAGAUGAUUCUUUUUGAUAAUGCUUCAUAAUGCCCCUUAUUCAACUACAAACAUCUUAUCCCUCAAGAAGCUAGACAUGGAACAUUAAGAAAUCUUUUUAUCUUGUGCAGCAGUUUGGAAUGAUUUAGAAGAGGGGUGGGGGGGGGGGGGGGGAAGAAGAGGCACCCUUGUGGACACCCGUGGGGGAAGCGGGCCGUGGUGGGGGCAGGGAUGAGGGAGUUUAUAACAAGGGAGCAGCUCCCCCGCCCUAUUGCCAUCCUUAUGUGCCCACUCCAAAUACACAUUAGUUUUUUCUUUUUCCUAAAAAAAAACUGAUAUUUCGCAGCUCCUCUAAUCUGCUGUUAUGUUAAAUUUAUAUCAGCCUGUAUAAAAUGUUAAGGCAACUUGCUUCCGUGGUGCAUCCUUGUUGGUUAAAGGGCAUGAUCAAAUGGCUCCGAUUGCAUUUCAGGGUCAUGGGAUUGUAAUUUGUGAUUGCCAUUUAUUAUAAAUUAGGAUACGCUUUCUAUUGGAUGCAGACUGUGAAGGAAUAUAGUUUGAUCAAAGAUUACAAUUACAAUGGUUAGACAGCUAGUUUCCUUGUAGCUGUGUCGGUCUGGAAUCUAGACUCUGGAGGCAGCUAAUACAAGACUCCAGAAAACUUGUUAGAUGUAAAAGUGCUAAAUUAGAAAUUUGACACCAGCCCAAUCUUUCUCAUAGUUUCUUCGAUGUGGAGCUUGGACUGCUCUGAAAGUCUGAAUAUAGGGUUUUCAGUUCCUUUUUUUUUUUUUUUUGGCUGAGGUUGGUUGCACCGAAAAGGUAUAGGCUUCUGCAAGGAACAAACAGAAUUUGUUGGACGGAUUUCAUGAUCCGAGUUGAAGCAAAUAAAUUUGCUCAUUUGACUUGUCAAACCUUGCUGCUUCAACCAUCUAGAGGAGAAUGUUAGAUUAGCAUCAGCAAAUCAUUACAUGCAAGAAUACUAGAGAAAUUUAAGGAUGGAAUUACCUGAAAACCCAUCUUGUGAUACAGUUCCUGAGCAGGCGUGUUGAACCUAUGUACAUGCACAAACACCUGUUCUGCGCCUGAUCACAGAUACCUGGCUGAGAUGACUGAAAAAAUCGACAAUAGUCAUCUUUCAACAAAUCUCGAAAAGUAAUGCAUCCUCACCAUCUCUUUUUGCUGAGCUGAUUGCAAAGAGAAUCAUUUUGCUUGCAAUGCCCUGCCGGCGUGCUGAUUUGGCAACACAUAAAUUGGAUAUGUAACCAUAUCUUCUGCAGGAUUUUCUAUCAAUACUGCAGAAGAGAGGAUUUUUCACCCGUUCCUGUCAGAGAGCAAAACUUUCAAUGACUGCAAGGCAGUGAGCAUGGAUGCCUACGGAUGAUCAAUUCAGAAUCCAGAUCUUAAAGCAAUCAAACUUCGAUGCCUACUAAUGAUCAGCUGAAUAUUCAAAUCAAACUCGUACCCCUGGAAAGGUCUCUCCUUGUGACAAGUAUUGGAUGCUCAAGUCUAGUGUUCCAACAACACUCUUCAGCACAGUAUGUUUCACGUCUCUGUUUUCCUUCUUUACCUGAUAAUUUCAAAUAGAGAGAUUUUAUGGUCUAGACAAUUCUGAGUGAAGAUCGAAAAAUGGAUGCCAAAGAACAGUCAGAACUGGGGAGCAUUUGUGUCAUACGGCUCAUACCGCCACCAUGCAGGUGCAUUUAUGCCCUAGUUGUGUGUUGGAUCUUCUUUUUAGUGCAUUAUAUUCCUGCAUAAAGCAAUGGUUUUUAAUUUUGAAUACUCUAUGCAUUUAACUGAUACAUAUCUCACACAAAUAAAGUGCUAUAUAGCCUAUAUUAUACCUGCUCCGCAAACUUCCUUUUGUAGUUGUCAGCAAAUCUGCAUUACAGUUAACAACUGGAGUUAAUGACAUUCUUAAAAAUCUUCCUCGUCAAAUAUACAAUCUCCAGACCCUUACCGGGAUUUGUUUGAUUGUAUCACUUAACCUUUAAUUGCAAUUAGUGUACUGUUGGAAAUCUUUACCACCUUUUCUCUUUAGUACAUAGGCCAGCUUGCUCUCUGAGCUUAGCACAAUUAUUGGUGUUGUCUACAAAAUCUAUGUAUGUGUUGUGGGGAUCUAAAUCAAAUGGGCUUAUCUCUGAAGGAACCAUAUGCAUCUUAAACUGAGCUUCUGUACAUACCUGUCAUUUCUUCUGUCCUCCCAGUGACUCUCUGCUCGCAGCCAAGCUGCUGUCUACCACCCAAAAAGAAAAGAAAAGAAAAAAUGACGAAGCUACCGCUGCAAAUUAGCCAUGAGGAAUAACUAGAAAACAUGAUUGCCAACUGACAUGGAAAAUAACCAAUAAUUAUGUCAACGCACCCAAUACUCUUCGUCUAGUACAGCCUUACGAGCCACAAACUGUCCAAACUGAAGUCGGUUUUCUUGAAAGAGCAUUUGAUCCUGUGGUUGCGGCUUGUCAAAUUGGAGUUCUGCCGGAGCUACCACUGGCACAGAUUCGGUAGCAGAAACAGUUCGAAGCUCUUUUGAGAUUUCCAUUUGCUUUCUUGUUUGUGAAGGAUUCCAAUUCGCUGACCUAUGAAUUUUAACAAGUUUUAGCGUGCAAUGUUUACUUUGGAACCUUAUCAUUGUUGCGUGGAGUGACUUGAAAAAUCUAAAAAUGAGAAUAAAACUAAUAACUUCUGAGACAUAAUAAAAAUUAAUGCAAGAAGGGCCUUACAUUGUCCAAAUGCCAGAAGCUCUGUCAUUGCGGUGUGGCGUUUUGAUUCCGAAAGAUGAAGUUUUCAACAGAAAAGGUCGCUGCAAAGCAAUUGUUGGCAUUGUCGGCUCUUUUCUGUAGAUUGGUUCAGCUAUUUUGGGCAAACUAAAGAUGGAACAAAUACAAAUUCUGGAUUCUGUUCUUCUAGCAAAAAUAGAUUUUAAGAAACAGAUGCACAGUAUGGUUCAAUGUAUAAGUAGAAUAAGGCCAAAAGCAUAGUGUGGUUCAAUGAUCAAUGUAAGAGUGGAAUCGUAGCUUGAUUUUCUUCUAGGAUUACAAUAAUGUGACAACGAACAAAGUUCAGCAGCCUACCUUUCCAUCAACUGUUGGGCAAUGGAUUUAAGCCAAUGUAGGACCCGCUGAAGUUGUUCGAUGAAUGCCGGUGUCAAUGCUGAUUGACGGGUCUUAGUAUUAAAAUUCAGAGCCCUUAAGUUAACAGUGACACAACAGUUUGCCAAUGGAAUCUCUCUCUAUCUCUAAUCAGUGCUCAGCAAUUUAUUCUAUGUUCUAUUGGUGCGGAAUGCAAGGUUAGAAAGUGAUAGGUUACUCAGUUCAAAUAACUCUUUACUUUAUAGUGACAGGUUAAAUGAAAUCAAUCACAUUCUCACUUUGUCGUGGUUUUCCUAACAAAAUAGCCAAAAUGCAAUUUCGUCAAAUCCUACCCUUAUAUAAAUAAAUACUACUGUAUAAGUUAUGUUAACUGAUAACUACGGAUCACUUUUUCAUAAAAAGAUAUCUAUAUUAAUGGACGAUUUGUAAGAAUCUCUAUAAACGAUCUAUGAUUUUAUAAUCAUGUUUUAACCUGUGACAGUGAUCAAAAUCGAAUUCAUCUAAACUGUUUUUUUUUUUUUAAAAAAAAAUAUAAUAGAGGACAGAGGACUUGGUCAUAACUUACAAGCAAAUGAGGGCUUGUGGACCUAAAAAAGUCUGUGGAUGGUGCCACAUCUAGAAUAAGAACCAUAACUUGAAGCUGUCUUCUUCCUUUCCUUCAAUGCUGCUGGCAGAUGUUUGUGAAAGGGAAAUGGCGUCCAGUACUUGGUAAUUGAGCGCAUUGUUUCGAAUUAAUACCAUGAGCGGAUGUAUGGUAACUGGAUAUCUACCUCAUUGAGAGAAACGUGUGGAAGACUGGCAUCCACCUUUCUACAUAUUCAUCCCCACAUUGCAACCAAAUAUCAAUUGAUAAUCUUCUUCUUCUUUUUUUUAAAAAUUUUUUUAAUCCUUUCACCCCUUCUCGCACCUUGUUCAUCCCUCAACUAACAUGUACAUAAUUCGAAUCCUAUAAAUUUGAUGGCCGAAAAAACUUUAGCAGCCCUCCUCUGACUACUCAACUAAUUAUAUCACUUGAUAAUCUAAUAUGUCACAAUUCGUAAUUAUUGAUUCUGAUAGGGCACAAUCAUGUAGCAUGUGGUAUUUUUUUUUAUUAUUUAUUCAUUAUUUGGCGGUUGUACAUUUUUUUUUUCAUUAUGUAGCGCAACAACCAUUGUUGGAAUAGGAGGUUGUACAUUUCUCGCUAAUUAACACAGAUCCAAAAGAUUUAUAUAAACAAAAAGUAUUCAUCUUCCUACGUUCUAAUUUAGACUUUCUCUUCAGUGGAGGCAAAUUUUGCUGUGACCGGUUAUAUUCAAAAACAAGUUUUAAUUUUGAACGAAAAUCUCCAGAUAUAUUCAAUAAUAGUUGGGACUUGGGAGUAAACCAGCUGGGUUAGUUUAGUUGACCAAAUGUCAAGUCACAUUUAAGAACCGAAGAGGCUCAAGAGUAAGCUGAAGGGACUGAAUCACCGUCGGAUCAAAUGGAUGCAUUACUCGUAUGGAUUUUUUAAGUAGAACUGCUUACUGAUAAUUGGUGAGAGGUAAAGUUUGAACCCUUAAUCUCCCACCCCCCAAAUUUUAAUGCUUUAGUGACAAGCCCAAAAUAUACCUGAGUUAUUGUUACCAUUUGUAUGAAUUCUUAUAAUAUUGGUUAGAUAUAAUUUAUGUGUAUUCAUUUAUUUGAAUUCAUCCUACCACUGUAGAUAAACACCCCCCCCCCCAAAGCAAAAAAAAAAAAAACAAAAGAAAAAUGGUUGACAGUAAGCUGGUCUGGAAUGGGUAUGAGUAUGAGUUAGUGUCUCAUGUAGUUAAUUUUCAGAAAUUACAUUUUUGUUAAUUGUUACUUUUUUCCCCAUCCAGAAGUGUUUAUAUAGAUUGAAAUUAUGUUGAAACUUUUUAACCAACAUAGUAUUGAUUUUGGUUGUUUCUUAUCCCUCUGCUCAAUGCUCAUAAUCGCAGAGCAUCAAGUCCAACUUUUGGGGAUGGAUUUUGGCACAAAAAAAAAAACAUAGUAGUACAAUUUUUCUCAUGCUACUUGGGCGCGCGUGAUUUUACCUUUUUCUUCUGCAGCAUUCUAGUGUGCAGGACUCGUAACAAAAUGCAUGAAUAAAUGCGAAAAUUUUUCUAGCACAAAUUGGAUUCCAGAAAAAUAUUUUAUGCAUUUCUCUUUUCUCAACUGGCAAACUCCAUAUAUAUCGCAACCCUUGUUUGUAUAGGCAGGCGGCUAUAGCUAAGCCACCCCAUAGCGACUGUCUACAAUUACCAUCACACAAAAGCAAGAGAGAUGCUGAUGCUACAAAUUUUUCAUCCUUCAAAAUCAGUUUUCACCCACUGCCCAUACUUGCUCUUCACCCUCUCAUCCAAUUUUUUGGAUUUAAUCUCAGCCAACUUUGCUGCAUUGGCCAUGGAUUCCUCCUGCACCUUAGCAAUCCUCAUGCUCCUCUUUCUCUCCACUGCCUCUUUAUCAGCUUCCAAACCUUCAUACUCUCUCAUCAAACUGCUGUGGACAGCACAAGUUAAGAUUAAGACUCCCACUUGCACCACGAACAUUGCCAUCAAAACCCCACAUUCCAUCCUCACCAAAAGUUUUGCUUCUCUUGGAUCCCUUGGUGAUUUUAGCAUCGACAGACUCGAUUUUUCCUUCCUAAACAGCGCUACAAUCGCGAGUAUUUGACCGAUCAAUGAGGUGAGAAGAAGGGAGACGUGGGUCAUGAAGCAAAAGUGGGUGAGCUGAGAGUAGAAGCCAAUGAAAGAGGAAAGGAGGGAGAUGCAAGAGACCGUGAGAAAUGCCCAACCAAGGCAAGUUGGUGGCGUUUUGAGGAGGAUUAUCGGAGCAAGAGAGGCUGAAGAGAGGAUGAACAGAAUGAAAUUCAAGAAUGAGACGAGAACAAUUGGGAAGGAACAUGAGCUUCUUCUGAGCUUGGUGGAGGAAGCCAUUACUACUAGUCUUGAACAGAGAUAUAAUUUCUGAUAAUUCUUCAGCAGGACAACUAAAAAAAAAUGUUUGUCUGAGAAUGUUUUGAGGUUAUGUCAUAUGUGGGAAGAAGGGUGUUAGUUUGAAUCUUUAUAGGAGGCAAAACAGAUGCCCGUUGUACAGAAGACCCAAAUGCUCAACGGCUAGAUUGGAUGGACCUCGACUGAACCAUCACCUUUGUACGUUACGACUUUGAUUUUGAACCCUUUGCUUAGUGUAAUGCCAUGUAUAUGAAGGUUAUGCUUUUAAUGUUUCAGUGGACCUCAGAAAUUUGAAUGGCUAUAGUAAAAUCUGGAAUUCCACGUCCAACUGGUACAGACUUGAAUAAAAUCGCAGAGUUCAAAAAAUUAGUCCAAGGUUGUGUCCUAGGCCCGUCCGACAAUGCUCUAUCAAAGUGUAUCGAGAUGCAACCAAUUUGAUAUCAAGAGAGCCUUCACUUGGCCAACCCCACCAUGCAUACCACUGAAAGAAUGUAUACUAAUUACUACACGUCAUUAGGUUUCCAGGGGCAAGAGAUGACAACAUGACUAUGUUAUGGAUGAUCCUCAGUUUAAAAGCCAGAAGAAAUACAAGUUGCAACCUCAUUGCUUCAUCUGUUCUUUAAAACAGCAGUACUGGUACAUAUCAACCAUCGAACGGAAAAUAGACUCAGAAUAACUGAUGCCUGAAUAGAAAUACCGUUUGACUACAGAAACUCGUAAUGUGCAAGGGAAGAAAAAUCUCUAAUAUCUGCAAAGUUUGUUUAGCUCAUCAGUGUCCACAGCCUGGUAGACACAUCACAGAUGAUCCUGAUUCAUUUUUGUGCCGUUCCACCUAACACUUCAUUUCUUCCCAGAUCAUACUGAUUCAAUUACGUGAUAGAAGGCAUAGUGAAGGGCCGCGUAUUAAUGGCCUAAUAGAACUCUUCCAAGAUACUACUACAGCCAAAUCACAAUCUGCCAUACCAUGAAAGAGUGAAUGUUAGAUGCUUGAAGACAUCAGAAUGGGGAAUAUUUAAGAUGCAAUUUUGCCGGCUCAGUUAAGAGUUUCCAGGCAAAAGCUCCAACAUGCAAGAUGGAUUUACAGAGUAAGCGCUCACUUCUCAAACAAGUUGUCAGAAUAUAGUGAUAAAAAAAAAUGUUUCCUCAAGAAAAAGAACACAGGAAACUACAGUAAAGUUGAUUUCAACUAUAUUUUCAUAAGGGGCACGCAAGCUACUUUAGCUAAUAGAGUUUCCAACAAAUCAUGGCAAAGAUUCUUAUGUACAUAAUCUUGAAAGGAAGUCUUUGAUGAUCUAAACAUACGAAGCUACCAUUAUGACGUGUGCGUAUAUAUGGUCUCAAUUCUGUCAAGUGAUGCUUGUAAGCGUCCAGAAUUCAUGUUGAACAAUGGUUCACCAGUACCCAUAGCCCUGUGACAGAAAAUCAUCCAAGAUCCGCUCAGAGAACUCAUAGGGGAAAAAAUUACCAUUUCAAACUAUUUGCUGUGACUAAGAAAGAUUGCAACUUCUCUCAAACUUCUACAUGCACUUGUCAUGACAUGUGGAGAUGUUUUAACACGUGAUUUUUUUCAGUAAAAAAGCAAAUAAGCAGUAGCUAACUUGCCCUGUAAUUUCUGGAAACACAUAAUCAGCUCUCCACCCAAAACGGAAAUCAAUGCCAGGACAUAAGCCAAGUGUUGUUUUAUUUCGAAUCCUAGAGACACCAUCCCCACCCAAACAGGUAGUAAGCUUCCACUUCCAACCAGUGGCAUGCAACUGAAAGCUAUGGCCUACUCCUACCUGCAUCAGAUGAACAAUUUUUGAGAUAAUAUUUUUAGCACAUAUUUGCUAGAAAGUAGUCAAGGAUUGUGGGAAGGAACUAAAGCAUUAACCUGAAGAUUCAGGAAUUUUGUUAUUGGAAUCUUCUUAGAAAGAAGUCGCACAUCAUGAUGCAAAGGUUCAUAAAUAAACUUCCAUCUCCGAUCAUGAGCUAAAGGCUUUAACACCAGCUUUGCCUGGUACUCAUUGAUUGGAGCAUUGUAGAACUGAGGUCAAAAUGAGAAUUCAAAUUAAUAGCAUCCAAAAUGUCGGCUGUAUCUCACAGGACAACAUGUCUCAUGUUUACAAUAGAAACAGCAAGAGUAAGGCCGAGUUGUAUUAUCACAGUCUCAGUGCAUAGAGCAAACAGUCAAGCUCCCACCCAGAUGCACAUUGCUGCAUUUAAAAAGUAAGAAUAAAAAAGCAUAAAUCAUCAGUAUCAUCAACUACCAUCUCCAUAGUAGAAUGUCCUUCACCAGGAAGCAGAACAAUUACUUCAUGCAUACAAAAACUCCACCAUUCAGGUUUGUGCUAAGUGGCUUAAGUAGUGCUCGAGGAAAGUUUUGAAAGACAAAUUAAAUCUGAGUCAAGAAUUAUAAUGAUGUUCCUACAUUCGUCCGCAUACAGUAACUACAGUUGAUAUCCCAAAAUAUACAACCUAGAACCGUAAAUGCUAAAAAUAAUAUGCAUGUCCUAAAAGGAUGUCCAGCUAUAACUUUAGUUGGGAAGUCAGACAUCUAAAUCCAAAUGCCUUGGUUUAAAUCUUAAGCUGAGCCUGGCUAAGUGCCCAAUAAGUACAUGCCAAGGGGAGAAUGAACACAAACAUGCAGAGCCCUAGAUGUCCAAUGUCGCAAAGAACAGAAUACAAUUAUGUACGAUAUCCAUGAAUAAGAGUAUUAGUCAUUUCAAAAACCAUCCAGCUUGAUAUUGAUUUAUUGAAAAGAGUUCAAUUGGUAAAGGACAUGACUACCACAAUUUCACCAUUCAGAAUUUUGACACUAUCAUCAAAAGAGCACCAUUGGUGGCGAUAUUACCAAAACAAGGCCAUCAUCCAAUGAUGAAUUUUUUAAGGAAUACCAGAAGCAACAUUCCACAAUACAAAGCCUAGAAAUCAAAGUAUAGUAGUUCGAAAAGUAAAACUUAAAAAUCAAGUCUUUUUGGCUCCUGCAUCAACCCAAACUUGAGAAAUUUCAAGAAAUCCUUCACACGAGCUAAUCAUCAGCAGCGCUAUAAGCACUCCAUACUACUUUUUAAGCCUAACACAAGCCUGAACCAGUUAAUUCCAUCAGCAUAUAGAAUUAAAGGCAGCAGAAGAAAUACUACCUCCAAGUUGACACCAACACGAUACCCCUCAAUUUCUUUUCUGAACUUGACAAAUAACUCUGAAGGCACUAAAUUGAUGUUGUAAAGCUCCUCCCAUGAUGUGGGCUCUUCUCCAUUCGAACCCGCCUCCAUUUUCACCCCAAUAAUUCAAACUAAGCAAAGCUACAGCCAACAAAAAACACCAACAAUUUCAAGAAAAAAAGAAAAUCGUAAAUAGCUUUAAAGAGCUUACAGAUUACUGUGCUAUAAAGUUCACCAGAUUACCUUUUUCUUUUUUUCAGACUGCCUAUGAAAAAUGAUUACAGUGCUUUAGAACUGUCAAUAUUAGGUAGCAUCAAAAAAUCCAGUUAAUCAAUCAUUCUGGGGUGAGUAUCCCUGUUCGGAUUCACCGGAACUCUGGAAGUAAAGAGGCAUUUUCUGAGGAGGAGCAGGUGCAGAAUCUUCGAUAACUAAAAGAAAAGGACCCAUAAGCCUGUUCCAAUACUUGGGCCUGUUUAGCCCAAAUAUACUUACCAUCUCUCCGAAGAUGGUCCAGUAGUUACCACACAGACUUUUAGUUUGGCCCAAAGUUCAAGGCUCCCUGCUUUGUUUCAAUCCAAAAAAAAACAAUUAGCACUCUCCGCUCUCGGUCACUUGCUUCCAGCAACACGACAUAUUAUGUGAAUUACCAAUUUUUUCUAUUAAAAAAAUUAUAAUAACUUUGCGUUUCAGCUUUGAUUUCUCAGUAUUCUUUUUAAAAUUUUUUUGAUUAACAAGUUGUAGAUUACUGCACAACUAAAUAUUCUGAUAAUAUGUGUCUAGUCUUUGACAAGACUAAAUUCAUUAUUGAAACAUGUCUAGCUCUUUUGACAGUUAUUUUUGUGUUCAAUUAAGAAUUCUGCAUAAUUAAAAAAGCACGGCACGAUUACGUCACAAAAAUGAUUUCAAAUUUGUUACGAAACCUGAGGUUGCUUCAAUUUCAUUAGGACAACCUCAAAAGGGUCAAUGAGAUUAGGGUUAUUAUCACUUUACCCCCUUUAACGUUUGUGCUACUAUCAAUUUUCCCUUCAACGUUAUCAUUUAGUCACUUUACCUCCAAAACUAACGGUCAAACUUUGUUAAUUAAAGUGAAAAGGCAUGUUUAAUCCUUAAAAUUAUUAUCACUUUACCCCCAUAAAAUAUAGUCUCAUUAUCAAUUUACCCCCUGGAGUUAUUUUUUAGACAAUUUAUCCUACCAUUAAACCAACUUAACAAGUUAAAAAAACUUUAGAGAAAAUACCCUACUCUUCGCAUAAUAAAAAUAAUAAAAAAUUUAGAGUGACUUUUCUCCUUUUUAGUAUCAAGAAAAAAAAGUCAAAAUAUUAAUUUCUUUCUUCUUGGCAAUCUUAUUAAUAUUGAAAAAAAAUAGAAAGAUGGAGAGGGGGAAGGGGAGAAAAAGAGCUCAAUUCUUUUUUUAAAAAUUACAAAUAAAAAAGAAUUAAAUACUUUUAUUAUUUUAAAAUUAUUUCACUUUUUUGUUUACGACCAAAUUCCAAUUCUAAUCCCGAUAGCCUUAAAGUAAUACGAUGAUGUUAGACUUUUCUUUAUUUUCUUUUUUUACAAAAUCUAAUUUUUUGUCUCCUUCUUUCUUAUCUCCUUUUCUUUUCUAGUAUUAAUAAGUGUGAAAAAAAAAGAAAUUUGAGAAAAUCCUUUUAUUUUUAUGUUUUUCGAUCUCUUAAAGUGAAAAAAAAAGGAAGAAUAACCAUUCCAACUUUUUUAUUUAUUAUAUAUAAAAAAGGGUAAAUAUAUUUAAAAAUUUUUGACCAUAUUAGUUAGAUUAAUGAUGAGGUAAAAUGUCUAGAAAAUAAUGUUAUGAACUAAAGUGAUUGUAUCACUAAAUCCAAACGAAUAAAGUGAUAAUAACAAUGUAGUAAUGCUAUAAAAUAAAAGGGUAUUUUUGUCCAAAAUUUCUUAACAUAUUGAGUUGAAUUACUUAUGAGGUUAAAAUGUCUAAAAAAUAACGUUAGGAGGUAAACUGAUAGUAGUGAUAUAAGUUUAAGAGGGUAAAGUGAUAAUAACCCAUUAGAUUAUACUUAGUAUUUAUAGCUUUGAAUGUUAAUAUAUAAGAACGUUGAGUUCAGCUGUCAAAAUUUUUGUUUUUUGCAAACAAUGAUGGAUAAUUUUUAACUUUAAAUUCGGGCGGCAUAUAACCAGGAUAAGAUAUGUGUUGGUUCUUUAUAUCGGUUGGUUUAUCUUUUGUACUCUUCAAUUAAUAUGCUUGAGAGAAAGAGAGAGCCAUCAGUCUAUCUACAAAUGCUUGCUUCGACGUACAUCUAUUAAUUUUUUUCAUUUAUUAAAGUGACCAAAAUGUCUUUUUCUUUUGCACAAUUUACAAGUUUUAUUUGUCCUGAAGAUAUUACACUGAAAAAUAGGAAAAGAAUUCCAAAUAAUCUUUAAUCCAAAUUCCAAACUACUUAUUGGCUGUACCUUGAAAAAUGCAAGUAAUACAUGUAGAAAUUCGGGAUCGGAGUCGGUUAACAGAUAUGCCAGCUCGUGUUGGUAGAAAACGACACCGUGGUAACCACAGAACUCAAUUGAGCGCAAAAGCAGUUGAGCGCCAUUUACUUAUUCGGUUUUUUUUUUUUCCACUUCACCGUCGUAGGAUAUACUCCGUACAUGCAAAUUCUUGUUCGUUUGCAUAUAAAAGUCCCAGCGGUUUGCAGUGGGAAAGCAUUAUCUAUUACCGUUUUCUUUUUCAUUUUUUAUUAGUGUAGUAAAUUCUUUUAAAAUAUGAAAAAUACGUGUUGAAGAGACAUAAGGUGUGUGAUGUCACUUGAUCUUUAACCAACUAAUCAGACACAAUAUAGAUAAGCCUGUUUGAUCACUUAAUUCAAUAUUUAAAUUUAAUGGAUUCAAAUUUUAAGAUAUUCAGAUACUUUUGAUAAUUAAAAAUUAAAUAUCUAAAUUAAUUGAGUGGCACUGGAUUUUUAGAUAAAACUUGCUCCCAAAAAUAAGUGAUAAGCUAUUCACUUAUCACUUAAUGUGAUAUAUACUCAAAUGUAUGAAAUUUAGUACUUAAUAAUUCAUUAUUUAAUGAAUUCACAUUUCAGAUUUUAAAUUUAGUUUUCAGAUUUUAAUUUUAUCAAAUGCACCCAAAUCUACCAAAGCAUUGUACCUUGACCGUUGUAUUAUAUGCUUCAUUUUAUGAAGAAUUACAUAAAAGGUAAGUCAAUAUACUAAGAUGUAGAUUUGCCUAUCUUUUAGAAGAUUAUUCUAUUUUCAUAACCCAGUACUCAAUUCCCAAAUUGAGUAGUUUGGUUUGAUCGUUAACUUAGAGUUGCAAACAUGUUGCCUCGUUGAUAAAAAUUGAAAUGUAGAAGAAAGAAGAAUGAGAAGCACUAAACAUUGAUAGAUUUUCCAAUUGAAGAGAACGGAUACGGUUUAAGAUUGCAUCCAUGCAUUCAAUUUGGAAGUAAAUGAGUAUGUAUUAAUAUUAGUAGAUUUUUUUCCUUUUCUUUUACUAGAAUGAUGAUGGUAGAAAUGGAAAAUAUGCAAGACCAAGAGGGAAUCAAUGUCACAUUGCACUCCAAAAUCUUAAAUAAUUAAUGAGUCUAUCUAACGGGUGUCUAUUGAAUAUUUUAAAAUAUAUUUUAGGCGUCAUAUUUUAAAAAAUGUAAGAUUAAUUAAAAAUAGUAAAUAAAUAGUGCAAGGGAGAGUAGGUAGGACUAAAUAAAGAAAGUAUAUAAACUCAAUUGAGUGUAAAAAUGAUUAUUAUGUGUAUAUACACUAUAGAUUAGGUAAAAUUUAAUUGUAUUGACGAGUGACCACCCAUAAUUUAAUUGCAGCCAAAUCAUACCAGAAAUUGUAGCCGACUUGAAUGCUUCGGCUUGAAUAGACAUGGAUAGACAUGCUUUUAUGAACAUGUUGUUGAAGAAGUUUUAUAUACGUGUUCCAGUCACCUUUUAAUGUCAUAUAUACAUUUAUACACAAAUAUGAAAUGAUAAAAUUUAUCUAGAAAACACUCCAAAAAGACAUCCAUCCAAACGGAAACUUAAAACAAUUUUGCAGGGAUCCAUGCAACAUUCGACCCAAAAAUUUCCUAGUUUUGUGCAAAGACAAUUCGACGUUUCAAUAAAAUAGGGGCUUCUUCUCAAGGAUGAUUAAAACAUACAGUAUGACACAAAAACUUGCGCGUGAAAUUAGCCCAAAAUGACUAAUGAUUCUUUUCAUUCGUCUCUCCAACCAGAAACGACUCAGAGAAACAAUUUUAAUUCCAAACAACUAUGCUCUGCAGAACUGUUGUGGCCCUUCUGGAAUCCAUCAAUGAUCAACGGCAUAAAUUAAACUAGUUCUACUGAAUGUUCUUGAUUUCAUCAAUCUAGUCGCAAUGUAAAUACAUAAUCUGCAGUAAAAAAUGGCAAUAUUCAUAAGACUUGUAUUGCAGCACGCAAGGAAAGCUUUUAACAGCAGUACAACUGUGUACAAGCGUCCCUCCCUGGACUUGAUUGACAACAACUUACAAAUUUAAACUGAGACUUUAUUGAGACACCCCUUACGACACAACUAUAAGACUUCCGACACAAAAGGACCACAGCUGUUGGACAAGGGGAUUCGACAAGGACCACAGAUUCUAUGGCCAACGCGACCGAGGAAAGGAGCUCUUGCGUUUAGGCACAAAUUUGCGCAUCCAGAGAUGCUUCCCAUUUAUGGUGAAUUUGGCCUUGGUAACACCACCGAGAAUCAAGUCAAUGACUUUAGGCGUAGAGAACACUACUCGAGCAUACAAUGGUUGCUCAUCAGACCUCACUGGUUGCAUGUGGAAGGCCUCUAUGCAAUUCCCGAACAGCUUAGUGAAGAACUCCGUGACUUCUGAUUCUGCAACAGGAUAGCCCUUCGAAAAUGUAACAAACAUGGUCCUUUCCUCUUGUGAUGCCCCAUUAGCAUUACUGUAGUCUCCACAUGCUUCACCUACAAAACCCAAGUUAGAAAAGCUGUUAACCAAAGACUCGUAUGCAUUAUGCUUCUUGACGACAUCCUCUAUGACAUCCUGUAAAGCCAUGGCACAAGUUUCAGUUACAACAUUCCGAAGUUCUUUCACCACAAUGGGCCUAUUCUCAUGAAAAUAUUGGAGAGUGAUCCUCUUCUUCACGAGUCUAGAAGUUGCAGGAAUUUCAUUGACUUCAGCUGAAAGCACAAACUGAGGGUCAUUAACACAUUUGACACAUGUCAAAGCCUCGUCAGCAUAUUUAUUUAUCAACAUGGGGGGCAUAGAUAAGAUUGUUAAUACAAGAUUCUUGAAACCUAGCCGCUCCAUCCAAAGCCACAGGGCCAUAAUUUGCACAGAUUCAUAAGGAUCACGCCAGAGAUCGACAGCAAGGAGAGAAUAAAGCGCUCUAUCCAUUGCAUGGAAAGUACCGUACUCGUUGGGUGUAACCGGCAAAAGUUCAGGAUCCAUGGCCCAAAACCUGUUCACACCAACAUUCACAUAUACAAUCAUCAACAUCGAAUUACAAAACCUUAAAAAGACAAGGCAAAAAAUUUUCCACCAUAUACACCACAAAAAUCAUAGAUUCAGCAGUUUAGCAUUUUAAUGGACUGGCAACUUUACUAAAUUGGUUUUUUUUUUUUUUUGUGGGUACAGCACACAGACACACAGAGACGCAGGCACAACAAGAGUGGGGUGAACUGGAUCAAAACUGUACAUCACUUAAUCUCCGCUAAAGUGACAAACAUAUGAGUUUGGUGCCUGGUCCUUGAACCAGAAAGGUAUAUGGAAGACAGGAUCCUCAUGGAAACCAUGGAGAGUGAAUUUCCAUGCUGGUCUUCUCCACCAAUUUCUCCUAACAACUAGCUGAUAUACACCCAGAUCAAGCAAAAUAUUAAACAAUGAAAUAACCGGAUAAAUAAAUCUGACUAGUACAAAAGAAGGGAAAAGAAACCUGAAGGGAACUUCUCAGAAAAUUGCUUUUCAACUCAACUCCAACUCACAUGAUUUAUAGGCAGCUCAAGACUCUAAAACAGGUGCGAAGAAGUCUUUUAGUUUCUCUUGUCAAUGUACUCCACAAACAACAAACUGAAGAUAAGAUACUGGUAUUAAUUUCCAAGAGAUAUCCUCGCUAGUAGGUUGUAUUUAAUGUUUGAAGAAAUCUUGAGCCUUGAAAAUUGGACACAUGCGAAAAUUUUCUGUUUCAGUCAAUUCAUUUUCUGGCUAUGUGACACACGUCAAACAUGAAGAAAGGCGAAGGGAUAAAAGAACUCAACAAGUUACCAUAUAGCCAAUCUUCUAGAGAUUACCAUUCUGAGGAAAUUCUAAUAGGUCAAAAGUUUUUUGUAACGCUUUUUACUCGUCAAUUUGUUCAAUGUCCCCAUCCCACUACUUGUAGACCAGGAGAAAGACAGCUUAUUAUCAUCUAGUGGCCAAUAAUCAGUCAUGCAUCCACAAUAGUAACAUGGUACGAGAUUAGGAUUUUGAAUAAUGACGAGAAACCGUUUUAUGUUAAUAUCCUCAGUACUGCUCAGCUAAUUUGAUACACUAUUGCAUUGUUCAUCCAAGAUAGCCUUGCGUUGCAUCAUAACAGGGACCUCAGAUGACAUAAUUAGUAUCAAAUCUCAGACCAUUCAAACUUAGUAGAUCAUUCAUCUGCCAACAUGAACCAGUCACAAUAAGGUGACAUGGUUUUCUGUAUGAUACCCCAUUUCUACAGUAACGUGCUUGUGCAACACAAUGAUCUCAGUUUCCAAUAGCCAAGCCAUAGUGAGAAACACAGGCAAGGAAGCUUUCUAUGAGACAACAUCAAGUAAAUGUUGUCGAAGGCCAAAAAUAAAAUUUGCAUAUAGCAAUAUCUGGUCCUCUUAUUAUGUUUCUUUUUUCGGUUUGACCUAAGAUUCUACAUGGCAUUUCGGCAUGAAGUUGCCUUCUUCAUAAUUUUUCCAAUCUAUUUGAAUAAAAAAAACCACCCUUUCAUCAGGUAUCCUAAAUAAGACCAACUAUUCUGUUUACUGCUUUUCGUCAAUGGAACUCUAUGGUUUUCCUAUAAAGUGCAAAUAAGAUGAUAUGCGGUUAAUUAUAUGAAUACAGGUUCUUGUUUUUCCUUUAACUCGUAAAAAUAUACAAGUUGAAUGAAACCACUUUUUCAUCAGGAAUCUCAAAUAAGCCCAACAACUCUUUAUACCACUUUCCCAUCAAAGAAACCCUAUUGAUUAUCGGUAAAGGGCAAUUAUGUCGCUAUACAGCCAGUUAUAUGAAUACGGGUUCUUGUUUUUCUUUGAAGUCAAAAAAAUGCACAAGUGGAAAAAAAACCGCUUUUUGUCAUGAACCAAAGUCCAAAAGUUUUUUAUACUGUUUUUCCAUCAAUAAUACCCUGUCGACUACCUAUCAAGCGCAAGAAUGUCAUUAUACGGAAGAUUUGAUGAAUACAUUUGACUACCUAUAUAAGUGCAAGUAUGUCGUUAUACGGCUUUAUGAAUACAGGUGCUUGUUUUCUUUAAAAUCCUAAAUACAAAAGUUGAAAUUUGUCGUUUAAUCAGAUCAUAAAAGCUAUAAAUAAAAAAACCGUGAGAAGCUGUUUCAAACGGUCCAAUUCUAAACCAACCCCAGUUUUUGGAAACCUCGUAAAUGGGGUAAAAUAAUGGUUAUAAAACUGUCUGCUAUUCAAAAGCACCCCUAGUGUUAGAAACUCGUAAAUGAGGUCACAGCCUUCUAUUAGUAAGUUUUGUCAUUUAAAAUCCUACUUCUUAACAAAGGGAAUUGCAACACAUAUUACUCUGUGUAUCUAUAACAUGAGGACCUGUGCUGUAUGGCUAUAGCAUGAGCUGCAGCACUAGUUUCUUCUGAUGAGAUCACAAGCACAAAGGCCUCUUUCUUUUUUCAGUUUAUUAGUACAGAAAGCUGGAGCCUCUCUCUUCAAUUUCUCAUUCAUAUAAUGUACUCAAUUUUGGCUCAUUAGGUAUAGAUGUUAUAAAAUCUGGUAAAUCCUGGUGCUAUACUGGUUCACCUAGUCCUCCAAGGUUGGGAACAACACUUAUGCUGUUGUCAUACUAUACUCUACUGAUAAAUGAAUGUGGAUGUAGCUAAUUGGUCAAAUGAUUAUCUUUAAAUCUCUAUCAAAAGGAAUAUCACGAGUAAAUGUUGAAUGAUUAUGGUAAUAUGCAUUAGAAAACUUGUUCUGCCUAGUAACUUCAAAGCCUUCUCAUUCAGAUAGUGCUUAGGAAAAGCUCAGCAUAACUUAACAUGCCUAAUUCAGCAUAUGCAUUCCAACAACUUUAAGAACUUCAGUUUUCCUGGUAAUGCUUCUCCAAUACACUUAGCUACAAUUUGAGUGAUAGCAUGAGUUGCAUGAUAGGCAUGUUACCUAAACUAUUAUAAAAUCCAUAAGGUGCUCAAAUCAUCCAUCAUUAGGCAGUUAAGAAAAGACACUUUGUUUCAACAAGUCUCUUGCCUAGCAGAAGUUAGUUUCAUACCUUCUAUCACAAUCCUAAGCUGGAAACCCAUGAUCAUUUCUCAACUACUUCAUAACAGGAAGAUCAUCUGCAUACCAUCAUAGAAACAGUUUCUUCCAGCCAUUGUAACUUCUUUUUUCCUUUUUGACUGGUUUUACUAGAGCGGAGUUUAAGACAGAUCUGGAAUUCAACAAAAAUUAGAUGGUCAAAUUUUCUUUCACAAAAAAGAUCAUCUGGAAUUCAUACCUUCUAUCACAAUCCUAAGCUGGAAACCCAUGAUCAUUUCUCAACUACUUCAUAACAGGAAGAUCAUCUGCAUACCAUCAUAGAAACAGUUUCUUCCAGCCAUUGUAACUUCUUCUUUCCCUUUUGACUGGUUUUACUAGAACGGAGUUUGAGACAGAUCUGGAAUUCAACAAAAAUUUGAUGGUCAAAUUAGAGUUCAAAACCAUCUCAUAGCAAGUCUUGAGCCAAUAUCCAAAGCACAACGGUGAGGAGGAAAGUAUUUGUAAUCAUACGCAUACAUCAAAACAUGUGCAGCUCAACCGUGAAUGGUGGACCAAAAUGCAGAAAACCAAAUACACCUGAAAUCCUCCCCUUUAGCAGCCCCCAAGUUCCCUCCCUGCAAAUAGGGAAGAACGUGGUUCAGCGACAGAAACUUAAGUGGCAAAAUGAAAAGCAACUAUCGCUGAACCAAGUAUAAGGAGAACAAAAAGGUAAAGCUUCAAUUUUCAAUAUUCAUGCGUGAAAAGUAUUGCAAUCGGUUCUUCAUCAACAUAUAUCUUGGUCAAGGAAGAAAAAAAAAGAGCACUGGAGCCUGACAUAUUAUGGGAAUAAGACUUCAUAUAUAUAACAAACUAAAUGCUUGUCAAAGGAGCGACUGCUAUGACAAUAGCAUAUCAGUUACAUUUUGAAGCUGGCCAGAAGUCGGUACAUCUAUGAUGAUAAGUACAAAGCGCUUACAAAGAUUUCCACCUCCAUGAACAUAUAUCCAAAUUAGAUUCAUAGGGUGACAAUGAAAAACACAUAAGAUCAUUGACUCAACUGUCCUAUACGUGUCUAUUAUUGACCAUUAUCCAGAGAUGCUUGGGGUUGCAGUUGCACCUUGCAGAUCAGAUAAAGAGAAGGACCUCCAAGGAGAAAACUUCUGUCCCGGAGGUGACAAUGAGUCAUUGUACAGUGAUCUUCUUGCUUGUGGUGGCAAAGGAGGAAGACAAAUGCCACGAGAUGGUGAAUUUGAGUUGGAACUAUCGCUGUUAUUGUUGCUCUCGGUACAGCCCAUGGAUGCUGCAAGAGCCAAUGAACUUCUAGAGCCUGCUGCUCUCUUUGAUAUCCCACCGCUGUUAUUUCUUCUAAUGCCAUUGCGAUUCUUAUCCCAGAAAUUAUUACAGGCAAGCAAGUUUUUGCGUUUCCUGGUGUAAGAAUUUUCUGGCUUUACAAUAUCUUUCAUGGACGAACAAUUUGCAGCAUCUGAUAGGCUGGUAAAAGACUUGGAUUUACCACAAUAAAAUUGUGAUAUGCUCCUCCUGAAACAAGUCAAAUUGCCAGUAUCAGCAAAGCUUUAGACAACCCAAAAAAAAAAUUCACUAAAAAAAAAGCAGCACAAGUGUCUAAGAAUUUAAAUGCCUUGCAGUAAUUGUGAGAUUUCUCACAUAAAUGUUGCUACAAGAGAAGCAUUCAACAGUAUGGAAGCUGAAAAUGAAAAAAAAAUUUAAAAAAAAAAAGACUUCCUUGUGUUAAUUCAGUGUCAAUGUCCAAAAAAUGUAACUGCGCUCUCAGUUAAUAAAUAAAGUUAAAAAAAAUGUCAAAGUAGAGAUGAAAGAGGUAAAAAUAAAAAUAUAUUUAAAAAAGAACCACAUCUCAGGAUCUAACAGCAAAAUAAAGAUGUAAUUCCAAUUUUCAAACUGUCUGCCCAAAUGAUCACAACUCAAUCAUGUUCAACCAUAUGCAUUCCACCUCAUACUGACUGCUAAAAGUCAGUACGCAAAUUCCAAAUAUUCCACAAAAAAACUAGACAUAAAAUUCGCACAAACCCUAAAUCUACAGUGGAUUAACAGAAGACAGCUACAUACUUGAUAGGCAAGACCUCCUCUAACGCCUCGAGACUAUCCAAAGCUCCGCCUUUAUACUCACUCUGCACCUCCUCACCGUCGCCGGCUUCCGACGACCGUCCAGCCGAUGACUCCUCAUCACUAUUCCUCCCAAUCGAAGAAGUCGACGACGAUGACUCCCCACUCCGACCCUCAUCCUCUUCCUCCACCUCCUUCCUCCCCGCUCCAACUCCGGCGCCGGCUGCCCCUAACUCCGGUGCCGGCGGCUUAUUUCCAUUAGCAUACAUCGAGAAACACGUCACUCUCUGUCCACCAAGUCCAGACCGUCCGAUCAGAUGAUGAUCAAGCCCGUAACUAUUACCAUUAAUAUGAUUGGCAGCAGCCGCGGUAGAGGCCGCAGUCGCAGUCGUAGUACCAGUCGUAUUACUAUUGCCCUCUCCACCACGAUUGACAUCGCCGGUAUCUCUAACUAGAAGAACAAAACGAACGAAGAAGUUCCAAAACUUACAGGAGUAUGCUAUAGACACAGAAUUCUCUACGCAUACGUAGAUGGAGAUAGAAACGUAGGACAAGGAGGGUCUUAAGAAAGAGAGGAGAGGAUUAUAUAGGGAACUGCGACUUGAGAGAGAGAGAGAAAUGAUGAGAAACGGAAUAAUCAGAGGGGGGAGAGAGAGUGUGAGAGAGACAGAGAUGGAGCAGCCUUAUCUUUAUCCAUCCAUCAUUCACAGACAAAUAGUAUAUUAUAAUGUCUUAACAACAAAAUUCAAUAAAAUAUUUGCAAUUUGGAUAAUUAAACAAGAUUAUCUUUUUCCUUUUUUUUAAUCAUAAUUGGACAGAGCCACAGAGUUCUAUGGUAUGGGCGCCCGUGCAGUAGACGGGGAUGCGGAUUUGGGGAAAGAGUGAUCUUGGCCGUUGGUGCUUCUUGAUGGGGUUGGUAGCGCUGGUAUCUAGGGUUGAAAAGGAUUCUGAUCCUGCGGUUUUUUGCUGUUGCCAAGGAAGAAUCCACUAUUCUCAGAAGCUGUGGAAACCAAAUCUGUGUAUUUGUUUCGGCUUCUUUGAAAAUUGAGGUUUGAAUACGAUUAAGGUCAAAAGUCCCAAUAAAAGGUCCUUUCUUUUCUUUUUCUCGCGGGAAAUUUCGCCUCAUAUUCUUCUUGCUCGGCCCUUCUGUUGUUCUAUUUUUUUUUUAAGUACAAAUUUAUACUUAUAUAUAUCAUUAGAGAAUUGAAUACAAAGAGAAAAGAUGUGACAAUGCAAGUCUGAUGGGACAAAUGAUUUUUUGCAUUUUGUUGUCUAGAUUAAUGGCUCGAAAAAAUAGUAGAUAAAGACAAAAUGCUUAAACUUAUAUUAGAAUAUCAUUUUCCAUUGUGUAAAAUAAUUGUUUUCAAGCAAUUCUUAUGAGUUUUGCAAAUUAUUCAAAAUUUUUGAAUUUUUCAAAAUUGUUUCCAUAUCAAUAAUAUGAAAAGGUGUAUUUGGAUAGGAUAUCAUUUAAAAUAAUUUUUUAAAUAAUUACUGUAACAUUUUUUUAUAAUAUGAUAUAUAUGAGAUAAAAAAGAUAAUUGAAAACAUGAAAAGGUGAGUUGAAAUCCGUAUUUAUAAUACAAGUAAAAUAAUAUUUAAAUAUUUAUCUACAAAAAGCAAUUGUAAAAUCACUACAUGUGAUAGUCAACAUAGGAAUUUAAAAGGAUGAAGUAGGCAAGCCAUCAUUUAAUCUGGUCUAUUAUACAAGACAUGUAACGGUCAAUAUGGGAAGGAGGCAAUCCAUCAUUUAAUUUGUAUACAUCGUACAUUAUCAAAAAAAAAAUUUGUAUACAUCGUAUGAGUUAUUUAGAGUAGGAUUUUCCAUAUUUGAAAUAAUGUAAACUGUCUUUUCAAUCUCAUUACCAACUCGUAAUUUCUAUUAAAGGACCACAUUUGUAAUUCCUCAAACGUUAAUGGAUUUAGUUUGCUAUGACAAUUAAGGAAUACAAUAAAAAGAGCAAAUUUAAAAUGAUAUUUUGAUCUUAUAUUUUGAAAGAGAAAAACAUAAGGGAAGGUGAUUUUUUUUUUUUUGAAUUCAAUGGAAGCUAAGUAAUAUUUUAUAAAAUUAUCCCCUACAUAUAUGAAAGUUGGUUUAGUGUCAUGUUCAUUAAUAUGUUUGGAUAGACAUUAUUUACAAAUAAUCAGUCGCUUACAUCAUAAAUGCAUUUUCUAAUAUUUUCAAUCUUUUUUUUUAUAUUUUACAUACAUCACAUCAUAAAAAAUAAUACAAUAAUUAUUUCAAAUAAUCUUAUAUCCAAACGCAUUUAUUUUGAACAGUUGUGUGUUUGAAAUAAAUAUACAUUAAUUUUGAAUACAACCUUCGAACAGUAGCAUUUGUGUCUAUAGGUUUACUUCACACAUAUAUAUAUAUAUAUAUAUGUGUAUGUGUACAUGUGUGUGUUUGAAAGACUAGUAAUAAAAGACAAGGUACAUUUGCACUUGUACCAACUUAACAUGUAUCUGAAAAAGAGAAUUAACAUCAUAGGCGAAAACGAAAGUAACCAUCCAAAACAAAAGCCAGACGUAUAUAAGUCGAUUAAAUUCCAGAAAUUACCAUUUAAACACAGGACAAUAAGUCAUACGUGUACAGCAAAAUUAAAUAAGGCGGGAAGAAUGAAUGUCAAGACCCUUAGACAAAACCAACAAACUACUAACAAGAUAAACAACCCUGAGGGUGAGGGUCAACCUUGAAAAUCACGUCUUUGGCAUCAGCACGGUUCUCGACACUCCUAACUUUUUCAAAACCCUAAAAACGCCGUCGUCAACACUUUGCAGCUAGACCGAAAAAAAAAAGAGAGAUAUUUCUCUGUAUGGAAAAAAAAAAAUUCUAUGAAUGGAGGACACGUGGCUGAAUUUGGAUGGCCGCCACGUGGACUAAUGUUUGAUCGUGGAAGCUGAAUUCUGGUGAAAGAUGUGAUAGGGGUUGGGGUCCAGCAUCCAAAUGGAGAGAUGGUUGGUCGGUGUUCAAAGCUGAUGUGGGUUGCCUCUUCCCUCAAUCCUGCGUCGCAGUCGCCUACUAGUGCUAUUCCGCCAGGCUUAUAGCGAUAGCCUACCUCUCUCUUUUUCCUUUUUUUCAAUAAAUGGUUCACUUUUUUUUGGUCAAACACAAUAAAUGGUUCACAGUUUACUGAUUAGUACUAGUGCUUGUCUGGACCAAUUCCCGCCGGUGGUCCUAAACUCCUAAUCAGGAAACACGACUCACUCCUAGCUUCCUCGGAGGAGGAAACAGGCUGGGAUCAGUUAUUGGUCAAAAAUGUGAUAUCAUUUCCUUCGUUGCCUUAUCCACCACGCAUGUCUAUGUAUUUUGUGUUUUUUUUUUUUUUGGUCUUCUUUUUGGUCAGUGUUUUGUGCUCAAUUUUCGUUUGAAAGUCUAAUAAUCUUUGAUCCAUUCAUUUAGGGUAGAGAAGACGAGUUCACUUUUUUCAUGAUUUGCUAAUAUAAUUACACUUUGAGAAAUAAUAAUUGAAGUCGAUAUUUUAACACUUAUUAAUUUGGCUGCUAUAGACGUUAGUACAACAUUUUUAGUUUGACUCUCAAACUAAUUUUUUUUUAUUAUAUGGUCCUUUGAAAAUUUUUUUUAAAAAAAGUUGAUAAAGAUAUAGCAUAAAUAGCUGCAAACGUAUAUAUAUAUUUAUAUAUCCAUGCCUUGUCUCGGCAAAAUGGCGUCGACUUAUGUGAUAACCCAUGCCGUUGGCGCGUCUAGGAUUUCAUCAGCACCUGGUACCGUGUCAUCUACACAAUCAUAUUGUACAUGGAUUGCGCGAGUGUACGGUGGACAAUGGAUCUACCGUCUUGCAAUUUGAGUUGUAUUCUAAUUUAAGUCGGUCGUGUAAAUUAAUUAAUUUCUAUAUAAAAUUUGAGUUUGUAAUUUAUAUAAUUAUGUUUGAGAAAAAAUUACUAAAACUUGGGGGAGGUCCCAAAUUCACAAGACAAUUCGAAAAAUCAUCCAAAGCUAGAUCGUUCAUCGGCAAAACACUAGGUGUAAUUUAACUUUCGCACGUAUAAUUAAAUUUACAGAGUGUGUAGUAGUACAUCCCCUAAUCUAGAAAUGAGUUUUUUUGUCCUUCGGAGAUAUUUUUUAACUCCUCCUAAUUCUCUUCGGUUUAAUUGGGUCUUCCCUUGUGUAGAUUGGUGUACAGACAUCGUCGAAUUAAAAAAGAAAAAUCCAUAAUUGAAGGCAUAAAAUUGUUCAUCGACUUGCUUAACCAUUUGGUUGUGAGGUAAAGUUAAACCAAUGAACAUGAUGAUAUCAUGCCUGCACAGUGCACACAAGUAGCUUGUGGAAUAUAUGUAAAAAUUCACUCCAUGAGGUGUGAAUUGCCAAGAGAUCCUGUGGUGAAGGCCGAAGAUAUCACCAUAAUUGGUGUAUUUCUCGUAUUUACACAGGCUUUAUGAAUGGCUCUUUGACCGUUUCGACUGAACUACUUUCCGAAACUAUUCAUCCACACAAGUUACCUUCAAACCAUCAAACAGGUCCAUGUUCUUUGUUCCAAAUAGAAAUUCGGUAAGUGCUUCCAGGAAGUUUUUGGUGGAAUUCCUGAUCAAGUGGAGCUCAUUAAUAAAUUUCAUAUAUCCACAUCUUUUAUGCUAAUUGAAGUUUAACCAACAACGUUGUUAUGCGUUUAGGGGUAGCAAUUGAGCAGGAAAGAAUGAUAACGAGUUGUAAAAGCGAAUGAAUUAAAAUGAAUGACGUAGGAUAUUCUUUUACACCAUACUCUCUAGUGACUUGGAUGGGAUUGAAUAUAUAUAUAUAUAUAUAUAUAUAUAUAUAUUUUUUUUUUUAUUUUCGAUACAGGGGUGUUCGGGUCAAUCCUUACGGGGCCCGACUAAUCCCCUACGACCCGAGCCCGGCGCCCCAACCCGACCCGAACACAAUAAGUGCGCGGAGGAAUCCAGCAGAGCGGAGACUCGAACUUGGGACCUCAAGGGUCACCGGUGAGAGGGGAUUGAAUUUGUAUAUACUAGUGCUUUUGGCACACACUUUGUCAAAAUUCGAGUACAAGAGUUGGCUGAAGUAAUUUUGGACCGCAAUUCAUUGAGUCAAAAUGGUUAACACAAAUUACAACCAAGGGGUUCAAGCUUUUAAAUCAUUUCCUCUUCUUCUAAUGUGGGAUGCUACAUUCUCCCCACUAUUAAACUGUUCAUUUGGCCGUAUUUCGGAUUCUAAAAUUGGCUCGUAUGAAUUCUAGAGGUGAUUCUCAUUAAACGUGACACUUAAUCCCCACACAACACUUAAAUCUUUGCACUAGAGUUGACCUCCAUCUGACGUGACACUUAGUCCCGCACAGCAUUUAGAUUCUUGCACUUCAUUGCGUGAUUGGAAUCAUAACCUGUUGUAGUCCAAACUCACCUCAAGCAUAUACUACUCGAUAUUCACGACUCAAGUUCAAGGAUUGACCCAAGUAAUUUUUUCGACUAAAAUCCACUAGUCCAAAUGGGUUAACCCAAAUUACAAGGUAGCCAAAGGGCCCAAAGUCUUAAAUCAUUUCCUUUCUUCAUCAACCUCCGAUGUGGAAUGCUACACUCUACGUGCGUGCUUAUUCAAAAAAUAGAUAUUUUUAGAUGUGUCUAGAUAAAAGAAUGUGCAUCUGUAGAAGAGUACUAAUCAGUGCACUGAUUUAGAGACAUUUAUCUGAUGAAUUUAACGUCAUGCAUGUGAGAGGAAUAACCACUCAAUGAUUUGGGGAUUAACAAAUGAUUUGGGAAGUUAAAAAAAAAACCACAGUUAUGUGGUAUACCAAAUGAUGCAAGAGUGAAGGGAGAGAUGUCAAUUGACUGGAUUGGUAAAUGGGAAUGUGUAUAUAAAGUGAUAGGAAAAGUUUAUUCCAAAUACGUAUAAAGAUGGUUGUGUUUGGAUUGUAAUUUUUUGAAAUUUUUUGUAGAAAAUGUACUGUAGUCAUUUAAUAUAUUUGAGAUAAAAAAAUUAAAAAAUAUGUUUACGAAAAAUAUAAAGAUUUUUGAUGAAAAAUCCCUUUCCAAACAAGGCUUUAUUGAAAAGAUUUUUUUUGACUUGUGAGCUGACAUGGCAGCCAAUUGCAAUGCCACUGCAAUCUGCAAUCUCCAUGCAAUAACGUGGUAGAUAAGAAAAUGAUCUGGUCAAAACAUGUGAUGCGAAUUUAGGAUGCACAGUCGAUGUUAGAUGUGGCAAAAUGGGCAGAAUUUGCUUGAGUUUGAAAUGGGAUUGAAUAAUAUGGAUUUGGGUAUAAUCUUAUCUAUUUGUGUUUUUGGGAUUAAUUUGGACGUGAUUACUUUGAAAUGGGUUUAGAUUGACCCCGCCUAAUAUCCAAACUUGUUUUAUGUAUGCGAAUUUAGGAUGCACAGUCGAUGUUAGAUGUGGCAAAAUGGGCAGAAUUUGCUUGAGUUUGAAAUGUGAUUGAAUAAUAUGGAUUUGGGUAUAAUCUUAUCUAUUUGUGUUUUUGGGAUUAAUUUGGACGUGAUUACUUUGAAAUGGGUUUAGAUUGACCCCGCUAAUAUCCAAACUUGUUUUAUGUAUUUUUUCCUUUAAUUCUUUUUAUUUUUUAUUUUACUUUAAUAUUUUGAUUUAUUAAAUUUCUUUUAGUCUUAUUGUGAAUUUAUAUUUUUCUGAAUUCAAAUUUUUUCUCAAAUUCUCAAUUUAUAUUUUUUUUAUAGGCCUAAAAGAACUCCCACCAGCCCCGUUUAGACCUUUUUCGGCUUGACUAUGCAGCUGUUAAGUUUUCGUCUCAAAAUAAGAAAUUUCUUUUGACAUUUUUUCAAAAAGCACUCUAAAUUGAGACCAGCAACAGAAUUUUUACAAAAAAUGAAAAUUAAAAAUUUGAUUUCUAAGGGACAAAGGGGUUCAGGAAAUUAGAUGGGAGUUUUAACUAUAAUUAUAAGGAAAAAAAUCGAAGGAUCUGACUGGAAGAAAAAAAGUUGUUUGCUUGGAUAAUUAAAAAGAUAUACAACAAUUAACAAGAUAAUUUUUUAGUGAGAUACUUGGACCCCAAUGGGUACCCAAAGAUUUUCCAAAAGUUUUAAUCAAUUAACAGGUAUAUAUGAAAUUAGUCCAAUUUCAAAACACAACAUUAAAAUUAGAACACCCAUCCUGUCUAAAGUUCCUUUGGAUAUGGGUAGUCCAUUGGACCUGUGACAUAUUGCCACUUCUAGAUGAUAUUUAGUUUACGAUCAACUUAUUAUGUCUUUGUAGGACGUACCCAAAGGAAAAUAAAGUUUAUGCAAAAUUUCUCCAUGGGAGAAACUCGAAGUCUCGAACACUAAUAAAAUAUAUUGGAGAGAUAGUGAAUGACAUUUUGAACACAUUUACUCAAUUUGUAAGGAUGUUACAUUCCAUUUGGACGGGCAUGUCUGUUUGGAUAGCAAGUUAUUUACGUAAAUUAAUUUGCUUGUGUCAUAAAUAUAUUUUUCAAUCACUCUUUUGUCUUACAUAUAUUACAUUAAAAAAAUGUUACAGUAAUUUUUUUUAUAAAAAAUUUCAAAUAAUCUCCUAUCCAAACAGACAAUCAGCAACACUUGUUGUUGGUAGUAUAUUCCCGGGUUCCUUUGGGAAGACGGAAGAUAUUCCCAUGUGUGUGUGAGGUUUUAUUCCUACUGCCUAGUAAGGAGAUUAAAAUGUAGCUUCUCUACGAGUUCAUAGGAAUUUAAUACAACUAACCCAAAUAAGAGAGCACUCUAAAUUAAUAGAAUCGAGCUAAUUUUGCUCAUGGCAUUAUGCUCCUAUCAGGUGGGAAAAAAUUAUUUGCUGGUUCACAGUCAAUUUUCGUAUAAGUUGCGAAGUUACAACUUCAAAUGCUACAAAAGAUAAAAAAAUGAUUAAAGACCAAAGCGACUACAAAUUAAAGAGAACAAGGAUUACUCUUCUGUGUAGAGUAGAGUGUAACUAAAAGAUUACUUAAGAAAACUCCGUGGAGACAAAGUUCAAGAAUGUAAUCACACACGCUCGCGCGCUCCCCCACUCCAACAUAUAUACAGUAAUUGGCCAAGCUCCACUCUUUUUAAGAUUUUAAGCCCUUAAUCUCUUAAACCCUGGAAUCUGAAUCACAGCGACCCCUCUUAAACCCCAGCUCCACCAGCAAGAAGAAAAUGGCUGCCACCACCAUCACUAUCGACGGUGGCAACAGAAUCCAAACCUACGAGGAUUUUGUAAAAGUUCAUGCUGUAUUACUUGCAGCCUCUGGAAUCCACAAUCACUUUACCCCACACUCUUCGAUAAGCUCACAAAUGAGACUUUCGAUGGCGGCAACUAUUUCCAGAUUGAGCCAGUGGAGGAGGUUGAAGGCCGCCAGAGGAGGCUUGUGUUCACCUCGGAGUUUCUGGGCAAGGAGUCUAAUCUUUUUGUUGUCGACCAUGCUUGGACAUUUCGACUUUCUGAUGCUUAUAAGCAGGUUUGAAGUAGUAAUCCAAGAUUAGAUUUUGAUCGUAUUAUCUUCAAUUAUUUAGUUAUUUUAAAUUGCUUUUGUCCAUACUAUGUAGGGGAUUUUCGAGCUUGGGUUCUUGCGGUUUUUUUGUGGGUUUCUUUUCUCUCUUUUGGUUGGGUUGCAUUAGUGUAAUAUAUGUAGGGAAUUUGCAGUUGCAGGAGAUUCCCGGAUUGGCGGAAAGAAUGGCUGCAUUGAUGUGUGUGGAUAUUGAUUUGGAUGGAGAGGCUAAAAGCGGAGGUCUAGAUGAAAUCGAUACUACUCAACUGAGUGCUGUGGAUAUAGUGGAGAGAGAAUUAUGUGGAAUCAGAGAUGGCCGAGCUGAUGGUCUGAGGUGGUUGGAACUUGAGGAGCUUGACAUUGAUGAUGAUGUUCUUGUUUCUCUGAUUUGCCUAGUAAAUUUCCUGUAAGUCUCUCUUUAUAGCGUUAAAAAUUUGAUAUUUUUAGUGGGAAACUGAUCCAGUGAAGUGAUUUUGUGGAAUUCUGCAUUCCAUUGCUGUCUGCAAAAGAAUUAGGAGAUGCCGUAGUAUUUAUCAAAUUGGUAACUUGCGUUAAGAUGGCUUUUUAUAUGAACUUUUACAGUGGGUUAUCUGGUUUGUUGUACUAGACAUUAAUUGCACUAAGCCUGUGUGACACAAACUCGAGAACGUGGAAGUAGUUGCAAAAGAAAUUACCCAAUUCAAGCCACCUCAGAGCCCUAUGGCUGAACAAUAAUCCAGUACUGGAGAGGGGGUAAAGUUUACAAAUAUGUAACAAUGAUAAUUCUUUCCAUGAUUUUUGGUUUUGGCUUCUGACGGUAGCUACUUCUCUGCAGAGACAGUUCUAUGGCUGAUACCAUUCUUCAAUGUUGCCCCGAACUGGAAAUUUAUAACUCACACUUUACUGCUAAUUAUGGUAAAUGGGCACUUGGAUUUUGUUGGAGGAAUAUAUCACAAAGAAAAUCCUGGCCACAAUCUCCAAGGUGACUGUCCAUUCGAGAGUUUGACAUCUUUAGACCUUUCAAAUAGGAGCAUACACAAUCUCAUCAACAAGGUCAGUGCUGUUUAUCACAUUACCUUUUUUUCUUUUCUCAUCAAUUUCUUACUGGUUUGCAAAAUAAAGAUAUUGUCCAGCAUUGCGUCACCUAAUGGUAAAUUUGUCUCUUUGAUUGGUAAAAUACAAUAUUCCUCAAGAAUGCCCUCAUUUAGUUUAUUUGGUUUUUCUUUAUCAGGCAUUUUCCCCUGCUGAAUUGCCAUGCCUUUCAUAUUUGAAUCUUCAUGGAAACCCAUUAGAUGAAAAUUCAGUUGGUGAUCUGCUGGACCUACUUGGAGUAUUCAGCAGCUUACAAGCCCUUGAUGUAUUUAUGUUAAUACUAGUUUUCUUUCACUUGAAAGCAUGUAAUUGUACUAAUACAGGAAAGUGAUAAAAACAGGUUGAUAUUCCAGGCCCACUUGGAGAUAGUGCUGUAGAAAUUCUCGAGUCCCUUCCUCAACUUUCUUUACUGAAUGGUGUUGAUGCAGCCAGAAUAUUGGAGUCCGAGAAAUCUGUGAUUGAUUCAAUGUUACAACCACGGCUUCCAGAGUGGACAGCUGGUGAACCCGUUUCUGACCGUGUUAUUAGUGCAAUGUGGCUAUUCUUAAUGACAUACAGACUUGCAGAUGAGGAAAAAGUAGAUGAAACUUCUGUAUGGUAUGGAACUUAAAUAUUCAUGCUUGAUAAUUUGCUUUUGGUGCUUUGUAUAUUAUCAUUAGAUAUGCAUGGAGAAUGUAUUUUUCGUCAAUUUCUGGAUAUCUAAUUUUCAUCUGUCUUUAACUAUCUUAAACAAAAUUUCACAUCAUUGCUGUGGAAGUGUUUUCCACAAUGCUUCUAUUAGUGUCAGAUUUUCCAGUUCAGAAGAGUCGUAGCAGUUACUGAAUGUGCAUGUUAGAGUCACAGGACUAGUAAAAACUCGUUAAGAUGUGUGAGGAUAGAGACUGAGAAACCUAUUUCUUUCUUGACCCUCCUGCACAAAGAAGUGAAAUACCUUCUCUAUGGGACAGAAAUUCUGAUUCUUGGCUUUGAGUUUUGCUGUGGACUAAUAGUUUAUAUCACUUUCCAUGUUGAGUAUAGUCUGCUUCACUGAGACUCUCUGUUAAACCCAUGGCCCAGCAUCUUCUUUCUUUCUUUUUUUAAUUCUUGCAGAACAAUUUUUAUGGAAGUGUCAAUUGGUACUAUGCCUCUCUUUUUUUUUUUUUCAAAUCAAAUUCUUUCAAUAUGGCAUCCUGCUUAACUGGAAGCAGGAUAUUGAAUAUGUGAGUGGCACCGAUUAAAUAGAUGCCUUAGUUUUUGAAAGUAAUGAGAGGAAUAAAUGGCACAAAUUGCUGUCUCUAUAUCUGCUUGUUUUCUUUAUUAAGUAUUGUAGUAACAAUAUUUUGGGUGUUCUUGUAGGUAUGUGAUGGAUGAACUAGGUUCAGCUUUGCGGCAUAGUGAUGAACCAAAUUUUAGUGUCUCUCCUUUUCUAUACAUGCCGGGGGGUGACCUAGCAUCAGCUGUGAGGUUGUCUUAAUACACAGGCUAUCUCUUUUUUCCUCUUCUCCUUUUCUCCAAAGUUGCAUAGGUCCCAUUUGUGUGAAGCUAGGUAUCUAACUUGGAACUCUAGCCAAUUGAGCUUGGAAUUUGCUUAUCUGUUAUGGUAUUUCUGUUUAAAUCAGUGUCUUUUCCUAGAUGAGUCCAUGCUUCCCUGCUGAAGGUUGGGAACUAGAUUUGUCAUUCCAUUUCGCUUGUGAAGUUUCUGACUUGAACAAAAAUUACAGUUAUUCAAUUGUUUGGCCUAUUGCGAACAUAGAAAGAGGUGAUGAGUGCACUCGUGAUUUCCUUUUUGGCAUUGGAGAGGAAAACAGCGGUCUGCUAGACUUACUGCAUGGUUCCAUACCCCUCAAAAUUAUUUUAUCAGAGUAUGUCCUUAUGCCUUCCAUUUCUUCUGUUUCUUUUUUGUCCUUGUGGUAUACAUAGUACUUUUCAGGGAGGUUACUUUUAAGCAAUCUUGUAGGAGUAUGAGAAACAGAGGCUGAAAUUGCAAUCAAAGAAGUUUCAUCCCCUGCCAGUUGUAUCUUCUACAACAAAAGCAUUGUACGGGAGUGAUGGAACUGCCUUGCGCGUUUACACAGAUAUACCUCAAGUGGAGGAAUUUUUGACCCGGCCUGAAUUCAUAAUCAGUAUGUUUUCGUGAGUAAAACUUUUAGUUCAUGAUUGUUCUGGUAUUCUUCUUUUCUACCGGCAGUUUGUCCAGUAUGCACUUUUUGUUACUCUUAUUUACUCAAGUCUAGUGAUUGCUUCUUGUGAUUCUAACUCGUUGAGGCCACCAAAAUUAUGUAAUAUGUUAACCUAUUUUGCCUUUUAAGUGGCUGCUUCUAUUGUGAUAUUUCUGAAUUCAACUAUUAUUGCAGCAUCUGAGCCAAAGGAUGCAGAUAUUAUAUGGACAAGCAUGCAGGUGGACGAGGAAAUGAGGAAAGCUGUGGGCCUGAAUGAGCAGCAGUUCAUUAAUCAAUUUCCUUUUGAAGCUUGCCUUGUCAUGAAACAUCAUUUAGCAGAAACUAUUCAGAAGGUCACUGCAUCUCUUUCUUUUAGCAAGACUAAAGGUGUCCAAGUCAAAAUGUGUCUCCUUUUGCUAAAUUCAUCUCUAUUUUUUAGCAGACUCAUGGAUCUCCUGAAUGGCUUCAGCCUACUUAUAAUCUUGAGACAGAGCUUACUCAACUCAUUGGCGAUUAUUGCAUCCGUGAAAGGGAAAGAUUGAACAAUUUAUGGAUAUUAAAGCCAUGGAAUAUGGCAAGAACGAUUGAUACUACUGUGACUGGAAAUUUAUCUGCAAUUAUCCGUCUGAUGGAGACAGGUCCAAAAGUAUGUCAGAAAUAUAUUGAGCAUCCUGCAUUGCUCAAUGGGAGGAAGUUUGAUAUUCGUUAUAUUGUUUUGGUGCGCAGCAUGAAUCCAUUGGAAAUUUUUCUUGCUGACACUUUCUGGGUAUGGCACUAUCUUUACUGGGUACCGCACUAAUAUAAUUGUGUCAAGUCCGUGGAUGCUAGAUACCUUGCUAAAUUUAUUUCUACGUUCAUUUUUCAGGUUCGAUUGGCAAACAACACUUAUUCUCUGGACAAACAUAGUCUUUUUGAGUAUGAAACACACUUUACUGUUAUGGUAAGUGGCUGAAAAUUUUAUGGUUUUUGGUUGCUUAACUGCCUGGUAAGGAGAAAUUGCUAGAUUAGAUGGUUGUCACAACAAAAUGCAGUUAGCAGUUUGCCAGAAUGCAGAUGCUGAUUAAUGUGAAGUUUGUUUAGGUAAUAUAUGCAUUUACAAUUAGAUUUCUUUUCAUUGUUUCAGAAUUACAGAGGAAGAUUGAAUCACAUGAAUACAUCAGAGUUCGUUAAGGAGUUUGAGAAGGAGCAUCAUGGUACUUUAAUCUUCCUAUCUUCCAAUAUUUCACUUCCUCUAAGUGGGAGAGAUUUCAAAGUUUUGUGGUUUUGGUCUAUUUGUUGACUUUAUUUCCUACACUUUCAGUUAACUGGAUGGAUAUUCAUUCACGAGUGUCAAGGAUGAUCAGAUCCAUUUUUGAAUCAGCAGCAGCAGUUCAUCCAGAAAUGCAGAGUCCAACAUCAAGGGCCAUUUAUGGGGUGGAUGUCAUGCUUGACCGCCAUUUCCAACCUAAAAUAUUGGAGGUUGUGACUUAUCUCAUUUGGUCCAAGUUUAUAUAUAUACACACACACACACACGUGAAGUUCUGGAAAGAAACUUUCUACAUAUAUUGUGGAAUUGUGUGCAUAUAACAUGAUGUAUCUGAAAAAUUAGGCUAUCACAAAUCUAUCCUUACAUGGGCAAGCGAAUUAUUACGAAUGCUGAACCUAAUGAUAGAAUGAAGGUCCUGUGCUAAAACUAUCAUAAAAAAGCAUUUGUAUGAAACUCCCUGGCUUUUAAAAAGCUUGUAAAGAUCUUUUAAUUUUGCUUGAGUUGGACGUAUUCAGAGGUUUUAAAUAUGUUUUGGAUCUGCAGGCCUUUAUACUUUGGCUCCUUCUACUGUUACAGUAUAAAAUUGCUUUCCGUGCUUAUCUUGUUAUUACUGCAUUAAUGCAGGUGACGUACUGUCCUGACUGUACUAGGGCUUGCAAGUAUGAUACUGAACCAGUGAUCAGGGCAGGAGGAUUUGUUAAAGGCAGUGACUUUUUUAAUUAUGUGUUUGGCUGUCUUUUUCUAAAUGAAACUGCUCAUGUAUCCCCAUUGUAGUUGAGUUACGUGGAAAAUUCUUGUGGUAUAUAUACCACAGAGAAAUGAUGUCGUGCGUGUCUUCAUCCUCUCUUUUUGCCCGCUCCUAAGAGGCUCUUUGCUGAACCUCAUCAUGCUGGAGUUCGCCAACAGAGAUCUUGGUAGGUUAUACAAAUCUUGUACUUGAAAAUAGUAAUGUUUUAGCAUAUAUCUAACUUUUAUGGUUUAUACGUCCAACCCUCCCGUGUGUUGUUGAAAAUUUCUGGACAACAAAAUUUUUACAUUUGAUUUUAACCUUAUUGUAACUUUUUGGCAUACCAGGAUAGAAACAUCAGCUGCUGCUGCCAUAUAACCUCUCAGAAUUUUAUUUGCGCUGGAAGUCUGUCACUGCUUUGUUCAGUUUUCGAAGGCAAUGGGACAGAUGCACUAGAAACAACCGUUUCCGUACAAGCGCAUACCAUGUACAAAUUAAAACUUCGCAAAGUCACAGAUUUUCCCUUUUGCACUUACGUCAAAAAUCUUCAUCUUUUAGAUUGGGGGAAAAAGUACGAAUGAUUAAAGAGUGUUACAGGAUCUAGACGGUCAUUAUAAAAAAAAAAAAAAAGAGAGGAAAAACACGUACGCACUCCAUUGUCCAGCUAAUAACGUUAACGCCAAUGGUAAUCUGUACAUUGGGUCGUCAGCUCUUCUUGCUGUGCUCUCCUUUUUUUUUUUUUUAUCGACAUUCAGUCAUCAUAGACUAGCUGAAAAAAGAAAACGAUCGUAUACAACAUAGAGAAUCAAUGAAUGAAUUUGUUUCAGAUAUACCCUAAUUGACAAGCCAGUUGUCAACUCGUCCAGUUAAUUCCCUCGAUGUUUGGCUUUUCAUUGUUGCCAACUUCUUUUGCAACUCCAAAUUUGACAUUCGCUCAACCUCCAAUGCACGCUCAAGCUUUUAAAUCGAGAAAUACAUGUUAGUACAAACCAUUUUACGAACGACGGGACAAAACUAAUUAGUCAUCUUAACAAGAAACGUUGGGAAUUAUACCUUAGCAGCUCGGGUACUCCAUUCACCCAAAAUGGCCCUCAGCCUUUCAUUCUCCUCAAUAUACUGUGCAGCAAGGCCAAGUUGGUAAUAUUAGAAUGCAAACAUGCAUUGCUUGGAGAGAACCAACACUUAAAACGACUUGUUAGAAAAUUUUAGAUUCAUUUUGACUCUUCAAUGCUUUUAACAGAAGGCCAAGGCCAACUCUCUCCCUCUGUCACAGCGGCAGACAAGUAUAUCACUCUUGACUGACGUAGAAAGAAAGCUAUAUGCACCUUAAGAUUGAUGAGACGAGAUAGUCUCAAAAUACAGGAACACACAGUGACAAAUUGAUGACAAGGAUGCUUAGAAGUAAAAACCUGAUUAUUUGUACUCUGGACGCGCUGGAUUUCAGAGUCUCUCUCAGAAAUGAGAGAUCUAGCAAGACUAAGCUCAGAUUGAAGUUGAUUCAUCUGAAACACAAGAACCAUCUACUUCAUCAGUAAAGCAUGGGAAAUACAUGGAUUAUGAAUCUGUUUAGAAGCAUUCUUGAUCAUAUUCCUGAAUGUCACAAUGAUUUAGAUGGCAGUUGGAUGCCAACUUUUUGGCCAUAUUGAUCCUCAUCAUUUUACAUGAUUGAAUAAGUUGAAAAGAGGGAACUGCUCUCCCGUUUGCUGUCCAGCAUAUAUAUGUUCAAUCCUCUAAAUGCUUAACAAAAUCCACGAACUCGGAAAAAAAAAAAAUCCAUCUGGCCCAUAUGGGAUCAUAAGCAGUCCCCAAAUUAAGUGUUCUACUGGGGGCUUAUGAGUCCGAACUGAAUCCAUCAGGGUAAAAUGUCAACCUUUCCACUGACUAAGAAGUUACUUAAAGCUCUGACUACGAAAAGUGCCUCUAAAAAGAUCCGGCAAAAACAAAAGAGAAAGAAGAGGUAACCAAAUUAAAGAAAGGGGGUUGUUGGGGGAGUGCGAGGAAGCAAGCAGCAUGUACCUCAGCUGACACUGUGCGCAGUUCCUGGUCACGAGCUGCUAAUAGAUGAGCAAGAUCAACCUGCAAAGCCAAUAUGAAAUUAUUCUACUACUUCCCAGAAAAAUAACUGUCUCUUCUCUUCAGACCAAACAGAGAAGCUCCAAUGUUCUUCAGUCAAACAAAGAUACAUGAUGCAAAAACGACAAUUACAAGCCACUUUAUUACUUUUUUGGAUACAUCGGAACACUGAACACCCAUAGUGACACUAAAAUGCUUUUAAAUCUUACUACAGAAUCUACAGCUUUUACCUAGGUGCACCCCUUCCUCCAUUAUCUCAGGUUUCUAAAUUGUCUGCAAUCAUCUCUAUCCUAAUGUACAUAAAGCUGAUUCCCACAUCUGCAAGCGACUACAAUGGUUUAAUUCUUCACUAACAUAUUGUUCAUAUGAUGCAUGAAAAUUCCAGAAUCAUGAUUAGUAAAUGAGGUGUAUUCUCCUAGCAAUUUACAAAGCAAUUAAGUAAUCAUUGACACCGUUCAGAAAAUCUGUUUUUCCAAUUUGAAACAUUACCUGAGGUGUGCUCCCAUCAUCAGACCUUUGAUAUUUGCUCAAGCAUUCUUGUAAUCUGAGAAUCUACAAGAGAAAUAAAAAGUUUUAAACUAAUUUACAAGGAGUUUCCAUUUCAAUUUGUCAAGCAAACAACCCCUGACCAGACUGAGUAAUUGACCCAGCAUUUUAAGACUGCUAGUAGAUACUGCUCGAGCUACAAGCCUAAAGUUCAAUCAUGUAACGACCAAAUGGAGAAUUAGAACAACAGCAGCUCCUGGAGACAUUCUUUUGUACUCAGAGUCACCAAAAGCAUCAAUACCUUUGAAGAACCAUCAAAUACAUCAAAAUAAUCACAUACCUCCUCACUUAGAAAAUGGAUAUUUUCUCGCUGAUAUUGCAGCAAUGCCAUUUGUUGAUCAGAGAGCCUACCACCCUCAUGAUGCCUGUCACAACAAGGAGUUCUUACUAUUGCAUUCCACACUACAACAUCCAGAACAUACUUUUUAAGACAUAAAGAAAAGAAAAGAGACAUCCUUAUCAGUGUGCUAUCCCAAGUACUGAUUUUCAGAAUACAAAAUCUAAAAAAAAAAAAAAAAAAAAAAACAGAUGUCCUUAUCAGAGUGCAUUAAAACCAACCACGUCACAGUUGUACACAUUUCAACUUAAUUAUCAAAACUCUCAUCCUAGGAAAGUAUUUCAAAAAUGCCACUUUCAAACCACAAUUGAGCCAUCUCAGUUGAGCCCCAAAAAAAUCCAAAUCCAGGCAAGCUAAUUGGCACAGAAGCAGCAUUUGAUUUCAAUUGAGCACCAAAAAUUACUCGCCCAUUUUCUGCUUGGGUCUGCAAGCACAAUAAUGGCCUACUGUUUCAGUACUUUAUCUCCAUUUAUCUGUGAUCUUCCAGAGUAUCGAAUGAGAUAAGAGCAAUAAUCAUUCCCAAAAUUAAAUUGGAUAACAAUCACGAAAGCAUUUAUCUAGAUGCUGAGAACAUCUUCAUAAAUGCAAGAAUUCAUGUAGAAGAGAAGAUUGUCAGCACAAAUACAUCAUGAUGUCAUGGAUUUGUUACAUAAUACUUUGCCUUAUAGGCCAGUUGAACAUGAAAACUCCUGCUUUACAACAAUAUACAUUCUAGUUUCAUCAAGGUAAUACAAUAAUGACAAAUAGAAAGCAAACUUUGGAUUUGCAUCUGUAGAAGAAUGACCAAGAGGUGGUGAAAAAGAGUGUUGAAGUUUAAGCACACAAAUAGACUUGGAACAUCUAGUUUAGAUAGAUUGGUAUCCAAAGUGGUCUAAUAUAACUCAAGCUCAUGAUUAGCAAUUAUCAGGAAGUUUCAAAUGCCUGGCAGUAACAGAACGGUUUCAAGAGAACUGCUGGCAAAAAGUGUAGCAGAGUCAUCAGAAGUUCUCAAAAUGCGCUANNNNNNNNNNNNNNNNNNNNNNNNNNNNNNNNNNNNNNNNNNNNNNNNNNNNNNNNNNNNNNNNNNNNNNNNNNNNNNNNNNNNNNNNNNNNNNNNNNNNNNNNNNNNNNNNNNNNNNNNNNNNNNNNNNNNNNNNNNNNNNNNNNNNNNNNNNNNNNNNNNNNNNNNNNNNNNNNNNNNNNNNNNNNNNNNNNNNNNNNNNNNNNNNNNNNNNNNNNNNNNNNNNNNNNNNNNNNNNNNNNNNNNNNNNNNNNNNNNNNNNNNNNNNNNNNNNNNNNNNNNNNNNNNNNNNNNNNNNNNNNNNNNNNNNNNNNNNNNNNNNNNNNNNNNNNNNNNNNNNNNNNNNNNNNNNNNNNNNNNNNNNNNNNNNNNNNNNNNNNNNNNNNNNNNNNNNNNNNNNNNNNNNNNNNNNNNNNNNNNNNNNNNNNNNNNNNNNNNNNNNNNNNNNNNNNNNNNNNNNNNNNNNNNNNNNNNNNNNNNNNNNNNNNNNNNNNNNNNNNNNNNNNNNNNNNNNNNNNNNNNNNNNNNNNNNNNNNNNNNNNNNNNNNNNNNNNNNNNNNNNNNNNNNNNNNNNNNNNNNNNNNNNNNNNNNNNNNNNNNNNNNNNNNNNNNNNNNNNNNNNNNNNNNNNNNNNNNNNNNNNNNNNNNNNNNNNNNNNNNNNNNNNNNNNNNNNNNNNNNNNNNNNNNNNNNNNNNNNNNNNNNNNNNNNNNNNNNNNNNNNNNNNNNNNNNNNNNNNNNNNNNNNNNNNNNNNNNNNNNNNNNNNNNNNNNNNNNNNNNNNNNNNNNNNNNNNNNNNNNNNNNNNNNNNNNNNNNNNNNNNNNNNNNNNNNNNNNNNNNNNNNNNNNNNNNNNNNNNNNNNNNNNNNNNNNNNNNNNNNNNNNNNNNNNNNNNNNNNNNNNNNNNNNNNNNNNNNNNNNNNNNNNNNNNNNNNNNNNNNNNNNNNNNNNNNNNNNNNNNNNNNNNNNNNNNNNNNNNNNNNNNNNNNNNNNNNNNNNNNAAAAAGAUAGGACUUGAGGAUCAAGGCCUCACCGUCGCCAUUAGUUGACGUCACAUGUCACCUAAUUUUUCUUUUUCUUUUCCCCAAUGUAUAUCACAUUAAUCACACAUAUGCAAUAUUAGUGGGACAUGAGUGUGAUGGCUGUAUAAACACGGUAAUCUAUCUCAGAAACGUCGAAAUAGAAGACAAUCGUACUUAUAUAUUUUGCAGUCGAAUCCAGAGAUCCUCGAAGUUGCUUAUUAGACUCGGACACGCACUCUGAUAGUAUAUCACGCAUUGACAACGACGGAGCUCUGCAGAAAGCUGUCUCAUCACGAAAACUUCUUACUAGUUUUCUUACUGCAACAGACAUGUUUGAUCAGACGCAAGCAUUGACAGUAGCAGGAAAGCUCUGAGCGACGUUUUCAUCCGGAAUUUUUCUACUAAUUCAGAACUCUCACCUGCUUGAACUUGCAGGUUUUUUUUUGAAUUUUUUUCAUUAACAAUCGCAUUUUGUUAGUUCUUAUUAGUUUUUCUCCCUGAUGUUGAAGAAUUUGAUAUAACCAUUAAUUAUUGAAGAGUAUGUUGUGAUUUUAGGUGUUUUAUGUAUAAAAUGACAAAGUGGGAUCUUAUUUGAUAUUCUUAUCAUGGAUAUAGUGACUUUAAUGAGUUGAUAUUCUUGUGACGUUUUUGGGUGCAGAAGAACAAAGGUAGCCAUGUUGGGAAAUGGGGUGGUGGGGAUUUUAUCAGAAUCAACCAACAAGUGGGAAAGAAGGGUGCCUCUCACGCCAUCCCACUGUGCAAAACUGUUGCAUGGAGGUAGAGGCAAAACAGGGGUGGCCCGGAUCAUUGUUCAGCCUUCUACAAAGCGCAUUCAUCAUGAUUCUCUUUAUGAGGAUGUGGGCUGUGAAAUUUCUGAGGAUUUGUCGGACUGUGGCCUUAUUUUGGGCAUUAAACAACCCAAGGUGCCAACUUUUUCUGCAAUUUGGAUUCUGGGAUAUUCAUUGAUAAUCAGACGGUCAUAUCAUUUUAUUUUUUUUUUUUUGGGUGGCAGCUGGACAUGAUACUUCCUGACAGGGCUUAUGCCUUUUUUUCACAUACUCACAAGGCACAAAGGGAAAAUAUGCCCUUGCUUGACAAGGUAGAGUGGACUCAAAGGUUUUUUUUUGGCACUUGAUCUAGACUUGGAUAGUUUUGGCAUUGUUCUGACAUAAUUCGUUAUGUUUAGAUUCUAGCUGAGAAGGCUUCGUUGUUUGAUUAUGAGCUUAUUGUUGGAGACCAUGGAAAGAGAUUACUAGCAUUCGGAAAGUUUGCUGGUAGAGCUGGAAUGGUUGACUUUUUACAUGGAUUAGGACAGAGUAUGCACCUGUUCUUUCAAUCCGAGUUACUUCCACUUCUUACUUACUCUUUAUGUAAUGCUAUGUAGUUUGACAUAGCAGAGCUAACCUAAAACCAGAAUCUCCUUCAAAUGCUAUUUAUCAGUAAUUUAUUUAAUUUCUCUUCUUAAUGCAGGGUAUCUUAGUCUUGGGUAUUCAACUCCUUUCCUGUCUCUGGGAGCAUCUUAUAUGUAUUCUUCAUUAGCUGCUGCUAAGGCUGCAGUAAUUUCAGUUGGGGAAGAGAUUGCCACCAUGGGACUUCCAUCUGGAAUCUGUCCUUUAGUUUUUGUUUUUACUGGUUCAGGAAAUGGUACUCUAAAUCUGCCAUGUCCCCAUUGUUUUUCUGUGUUAUAAUGAAAAGAUUGUGAUAUGAUUAUGCUCCAUGUCGGCAUAUGCUAUACUUUGUUUUUCUAUUUUGAUAUCAUUAUUUCUGAAUGCAUUUGUGUAAUUUCUUGCUUGUUCUGUGUUGUUUAUCUUCUAUGCUAUAUGCUAAUACCAUUUGAUUUCUCUAUUGAUCUUCUUAUGUUUUUGAUAUUUUCUGUAGUUUCACAUGGAGCACAAGAGAUCUUUAAACUUCUGCCUCACACUCCCAUGGAUCCUUGCAGACUUCCUGAAAUAUUUGGGAAGGUAGUCACAGACUUUUUCGUCAAGACAGUACAAUUUACUUCCAUGGACUUCAUUUGUCCUUCAAUGUCUUCAGGCGUUAUUGCAUUUCUCUGGCUGUUGUAAAUUAACUUUUGCUGAUGAAUUGCAUGCUUUUAUGUUGAAGUAGAAAGAAGAACCACAUCCAACCCAAACUUGCUUGAAUGCGUUGGCUGGCCACCUCUGUGGGUUUUCAACUUUAAAACAACAUUAUCAUACCUAUAGCAAUUUUUGAAAAGUUGAAUAAGUGGCUUCUAGAAAUGAUUACUGCAUUUUUGGCUGAUGCUUAAGUUGAUUUUGGAAUUCUCUAUUUUAAGUUGGUUUCUUUGGUAAAAUUGUUUGAGAUGAUACACAAAACCAAGUUUGCUACCAAGCAAUGAUUUGGCUAUUAGUUAUCCAACCCAUGUAAUUGGUCAAGUUGAUGAUCAAGUAUAGAAUUAUUUUCAUGCAAAGUAGACUUGUUCGCAAAUACAAAUUUUAUGAGAUGUUGAGAUUUUUUUUUGUGUCUCUUUCUUUGCUUGUCUCUGAAAUGGACUGUUUUCAUUUAAUGACCAAUUCUUUACUUUAAAUGAUAUCCUUAUUUAUUUUCAUCCCUCGUUCAUCUUUGAGCCUACUAUGUUCGUUCUUACAAAAAUGUGUCUACUGCAUACAGGCUAAAGAUCCUGCACGUCCAGCAAAGAGAGUCUUUCAAGUUUAUGGCUGUGUUGUAACCUCUAAGGACAUGGUGGAACCUGAAGAACCUUCGAAAUUUUUUGAUAAGGUACACAAUAAUAGCUCUUUUAUUUAGGUUCUGACUCUUCAAUUGAACUUUUUGGAUGCAUGAGAAUGCAGUUUUCUUGGUUAGUCUUUUAGGUUUCAGGAAAGCAACUUCUAUAUUGUGAACUAUAUGUUCAAUGGCAAACCUAAAUGUUAAUGUUCACAUGGUACCAUCCUGGAAAUGUCUUCCAAAGCAGUCCAAGGUGCACAUGCCAAGUUUGUGUCAGGACUUCUUGAGUACAGUCUGUGACAGGCGUACAUCUUUUAGUAAAUGAGAGUUUGAGCCAAAAUUAAGCACAUCCUCCCAAUUCUUGUGUCAAUGAUUCUUCAUAGUCAUUUGUGGGCCCAUAGUCCAACAGUUACUUAUGUUUCCACUUUCCAACCUUGAAAAAGGAGCUAAUAGCAUUAUUACAGUCUUCUGCCUAUUGCUUGGGAACUAUAGAUGCCUCUGUAUACUGCAUAUAAUGAGAGAGAACUAGUAGUUGCAUUGUUAUUAUCCUCUUGCUUUGGAGCUGGAUGACGUACUUAAGCUCACUUUUAUCAACCAAUUCUGCCAGUGUGUGAUUUUACCUGCUUGAUCAGCAUGGUCUUAAAUUAAGAGUUUUGACAAACAUCUGCUUUUCAUGUAAUUCUUUAUGAAGAUAAACUGAGUAAACAUAUCAUAGAAUAAUUAAAUAUCCAUGCAUCAUUUUAUUAGUUCAUUGAUGUCUGAUUCAUAAUGAAAAAUUUGCCGUGUAGUUUUGCUACCUGAGCUAGGUUCUUUGCUUUGCAGAAUUGUAAUAGUUUCCUGCUGAAUGCUAAAUGUAGAAGAGAUGAAAAUAUCUUGUGAACCUUAGAUCUACUUUGUAGGAACUUUUGUUUCUGAACUUCUCUUAAGGAGUUCAGCUGCAGGUUUAGCAUUCAUGUCUAUACCAGUUUUCAAGAUAACUCGUGCAAUUUCUGCUGAUGAUGAAGCUAUGAUUCUUUCAGGCUGACUAUUACGCACAUCCAGAGCACUACAUUCCUGUUUUCCAUGAAAAGAUUGCCCCUUAUGCAUCUGUGAUAGGUUUGUUUUCUUCAUCGUCAAUUUCAGUAAUGAGUUAUGGUAUCACCAAGGUAGGAAAUUAUAUCACAAAAUUCACCAGAUAUAAAUGAAUGCCAUGUUUAUCAAUUCAAUCAUACAAGAACCUUUCUCCAGAUAUAAAGAAACCAAAAAGCAGCUUGGCCGAUGGAAGAAUAACAGAAAUUUGGACAACCACAACAUUUAUUGUAAUACUUAAUUUGAAGAGUAUUAGGCAUACCUGUUCGUAUUAGUAACGGUUUUCUUGGGGUUGAUAUCAAAGAAACCUCAGGUAUGUAAUGCUGAAUUCCAAGCCCAAACUCAUAUCUGGUGAAUUUUUAAGUAAUUCAGUGUUGAACAGGCUUAAACUUACAUGACUAGGCCAUAAAAUCUUCAAACAGUUCAAAAUCAUUGUGCACUGAAUUUGUUUAUUUUUAAAUGUUUAGCUCAAAUUGUUUCUUUUCAUGCAUUGUCCCACUUGCAGUUAACUGUAUGUAUUGGGAGAAAAGAUUUCCUCAGCUAUUGACGACCAAGCAGCUGCAAGAUCUGAUGAGUAAAGACUGUCCACUCGUUGGAGUUUGUGACAUUACAUGUGACAUAGGUGGCUCAUUGGAGAUUGUUAACCAAACCACAUCAAUUGAUUCUCCUUUCUUUAGGUACGCCUUGGUGGUUUUCACUACAUCAUUGUUGAAUUAUAUUUUCCUUCUAUUCUACAGGACAAUUUGGUGCGAAACCCUUCAAAUUAACUGAAUUUGACUAGACAAUCAUUAAAUCUCUCUACCAGGAUAACAUGGUUGUGGUUGUAAUACUCUAGAUGAAAUGGUUGGAAAAAAUACUUAAAUUAGUCAUAUUAUAAAUAGCCAUACUUCUCUACCCUAACAGGGUAGACUCGUAGUCAUCUAACCAUAAAUUCUUAUUGCAUGAAAUUGCUGCCCUGGGGAGUUGUCUGUUGGCAAAAAAACUAACAAUGCAUUUAUUUAAUCUUUGGUUAGAUCUUCAUAUGAACUAUGUUUUUCUUGACAUGUUUAGGAUGCUAGAUACUCUCCAUUGCACAUUCGAGGUUUAGGCAUCCAGUUGUUGCCUUCAAAUCCUAAUAAUGUUUCCAUAUGUUUUCUUUUUCUUUUUUUUCCCUGAAGCAUUUCUUUUCUUUUUCUGUGCCAUUACUUUCGACAAUGAUUGGUUCUAGAUAUGAUCCUUUCCAAGAUUCGUACCAUUAUGAUCUUGAUGGUGAGGGAGUGAUCUGCUCUGCUGUUGACAUUCUUCCAACCGAGUUUGCAAAAGAGGUUAUUGUUAUGCUUUAUCUAACAUCAUCUUCUCAUCUUCUUUGACAUAAAUAUGCUAUGGUUGUCAUGUCUUAUUAACUUUAUCUCCUCCAUUAAUCACAAAUAAAGGCUUCCCAGCAUUUUGGAGAUAUUUUAUCCCAGUUUAUUGGAAGCUUAAUCUCUAUACCAAAUAUUGAGGAGUUACCUCUGCACUUAAAGAGAGCUUGCAUAGCGCAUCGUGGAGCACUGACUCCACUUUAUGAAUAUAUACGGCGGAUGCAAAACUCUGAUGUUGAGUAAGUAGCUCACGUAAUCUUGCUUCUCCUUCUGUCUGUUAUAUUUAUUCUCACUUCAAGAUUUAAAAUACUUGUCAAUUACAAUUUCAUGCACAGCAAUUGCAACUUAGAUGCUCUAGUUUAAUGAUUAGCUUCUAAAAUCUUCAUUCCUAGAACUCAACAAGUAUUGAGCAAUCCCACAAUUAUUUCGUAAUUCAUAUCAAGUUCUCAAUGUAAAUCCAUACUCUGAAAAGUGAAAACAUCACAUUAAUAUGAUACAUCUAGGUUUGUACCCCUAUAAGUCUAUAGGUAUCAAGUCAACUUCUAAGAAGUCAUUGAAUUGAAAACCAUCAUGUUUAUGCUUAGUUUUGAACAUGUAGAAGUUUAGCUUGAAAGAAAAUAUUAUUAGGGCUUGUGGAUUCAUGCUUUCAAGGACCCUCUAAUUUAUGCUACUUUCUUUUGGAGUAUUUUAUUAAUUUCAUCUUAUAAUUGCUUUAUUCGAGCCAUUGAGAAAUCGAGAUAUUAUUUCUACUUCUGUGUACUGAUUUAGGCUUCUUUGUUGUGAACUUUGUACAAGUUAGAUCUUGUAUGAAAUUCUUACUUCCAACAUGAUGCCAAACGAUUCACGUAAUGUGUUUUUAUGCAGAGAUCCUUCUAGAAAUCUUGAAAAAGUCUACCCUGAUAAGAAGAAGUAUACUACAUUGGUAUGUUUCUUCGGUAGACCACCUCUGCUACUCCGUUAUAGUACACUCCAUUUGGCAUUCUCAGCCAAAGGAAAUGCAUGCCCAGAACUAUGAUAGCAGCAGAUGAUCAAAGCAUAACACACAGAAUACAGGAAAAUUGACAAGGUUUUUACAAAACCAAAGGUUAAAAAUUUUAUCCCAGCUUCAUAAUUGAAGCGCCAUUCAACUUCCGGAGAAAAUAAAUUAACCUCUCCAAACCACCACCACCACACCCCCCCCCCCCAAAAAAAAAACCUCCUUCCAAACACCAAAAAACCACAACCAAAUAUGGAAACGGGAGAAAGAAAGAGAAGCAACAUUGCUUCUGAAAAGAAAAGUAGCCAUUAGGAUAUUUUCCAUAGUUUCACCAAAAGGUCAGCAUCUAUCUUCACAUACAUUCAGUGGGUGAGGUCAAACAUACUGGCAGUCUUGUCAAUGUAUUCUAAUUCAGAUCACUAAAGGUACAUAGUUUCUUCAUUUUCUUGUCUCUUUGCAACAGAAAAGUUUGUAGGUCACAUGAUCUCUUUAUUUGAUUUGAUUAUCUUCAAACAUGAGUUAAACAAAAUAGACUUCUGUAUGAUUCCAAUCCAACUCAGUUUUAGACAGCAGAAAAAGCCUGUAACUUUUAGAGGACUCUUUCCAAAAUGAACAUAUCAUUUAGCUAGGGUUUCAUGAAGUUGAAGGAUUCUCCCAAUGUAUAUUUAUAGUAUCAGAAGCAGAAAUUAAGAAGUCUAGUAGUCCCCAGUUUUGAUCAAAUAUUAAUUUCACCAAAACCACAAUAAAACACAAACCUUAUCAUCAUUGGAUUGCACAUUGGUAAUUGUGUGAGAACGAAGGUUGGAGCAAAGAGAAUCUAGAUAAGCUCUCAAUACUGAUAGGAAACUCUUUGCAGCAUCAACCUAACAGAAAAUUAAACAGAUAUAAACAGAAAGAGAAUUAGGCUCUGAUUACUGAUAGGAUUCCUUUUGCUUCUCUGCAAUAGAAUACUGUACAAAUACAAAAUGGAACCAGCAUAAGAAACAUUACUAACAACUGUUUACCCAAAAAAAAAUGUUCUUCAUAAAAGUGGACAACGAGCAUGUGUUAAUUGGUUGGGGGAAAAAAUCAAAAUGAUUUCUUAACAUAUCUAUCUCCAUCAUACAAAGUACCAAUGGCUGGAAGCCAUAAGCAAAGAAGCCCAUAUGCAUACAACCAGAAGGUUGUGAAUGUACGAGGAACUAAAAUCUGUGCAUAUUGCACAACAAAUCAUACACUCUUUCUCGAUGACAUUGGGACAAGGUAAAUCAGGAUAAAUCCCCAGACUUCGUCUAAUCAAGUGCUGAUUGGAAAGAAUAAUCAUAAUGAUUGGAGAGACCAUUUGUGUGAUCUUUGCCAUAGUAGCAAAGCAAGGAGUAAUUGUCAUAAGAACAGGAAAAUGAACGAAGGUGUUUAGGCUUCAAACGAGCAUAUGCAUGUAUCUUUGCCAUUGAAACAGCCACUAAGAUUUUCUGCUUCUAUCUGACAAUUAUGUUUUAGUUUAGAACCAUUAAGUAUCAACCAUAAAGACCAGCCACUAUAGAACAACACAUGAAUUGACAAAGAUGGAAAGUAUUUCCACUGAUGUUCUACAUGAUAGUGAAGAAAAGGGUGCAGGAGAUCAUUCAGAUGAAAAAUAAUUGAAUAAAAGAUAAAGAUACACAUACCUGUGCAUCUGUACAUUCAUAAAUAGGCCUCUUCCUUCCCAAAUAACUUUCUCCAACAAGUUUUGCAUGAUAAGGACUUAAGGAUGAAUACAAUUCCCUAUAUUGGGGUAGUGUUGGCAUUGUUGGUGACUUCACCUGUUCCCACAAUUUGCCAGAAUGAGAUCAGACAACAUAUUACACAAAUCAUCUAUGCAUAGAGCAAGCCACAACGAUACAGAUGCAAAUUCUUAAGACAAGGGAGUUUACUGCAUCUAAUACUUCACCAAGAUAUACUAAAUUUAUCACUCUAUCCACUUAUCUGUCUCUCAUAACACAACAUUCAGGGAGAUUUUGCAAUGACCAAGCCCAUGGCCCCAAUUGGCGACCAUGUGGUUCGACAAGAGCCACUUGGAUUAAUUGAUGCAAGCUGAUCUAAGCAAGUGAUUUAAUAGAAACCACGUGGCUCUUGUUUAAACCACACAGCCCACAGGUGGGGCUAUGGAAAGGGUCCACACAAGAAUUUCCCCGACAAUCAUAAAGCAUUAUGUGAAUAAUCCUCCCUUAAAUUCAUCCACAGUAUCACUCAUUGAGACACUUCCAUUUUCCACUGCAGUCCUCUGAAGUUAUAAUGGAGACUGAAGCCCUUACUUUGGCUUCAACUUUUUCCCGUUUCUCAUUUCUUUAUCAGCUACAUCAAGGCUUAUCCGACUAUUUAUUUGAAAAAAAAAAAAGGAUCAACAAAAAACUACAAAUAAAUAAACAAAUCACCAAACAAAAGAAAAUUUCCCUCUAUAACACAUAAGAGGAGGGUUAAUUGUUCCAAAGUUUUUGCCCGAGUGGAAUUUUCUUGCACCAGAUAAACCCCAAAAGGACAACUGAAAGGAAAGAGAAAUGGGUGUAACUGUAGCCUUUUUAAGAAACUAUUCCACAUCUAAUUCUGCAAGAAAAAUACCUGGUUUUUGUUCAUAUCAACAAGAAUGACGUUUGUCAACUUCGAUUGUACCUCAGUGGUUUUGUUCUUCACACCCACCUAUUAAAAUUACCGUCAAUAUUCAGAAUGGCAGUAAUUAGCAGCUAUAACAACUUGUCUAAUAAAAAGGCCACACUCUAUGACCUUGAUAGGAUCAAAUACAUAGAUGUGAUCCUGAUCAGGUUGUGGAUUUUAAAGAAGGAAUAGCUGGGGGCUAUUGCUAUCCAUCAUAGUUGGUUUACGAUGACAUUUGCUGACAGAAAAAACACGUACAGGUGUGCCUUAUAUAAUCAAAACAUAAAUAUGGAUAUAUGUAUAAAUGGGAGAUGCAAUUUUCACAUUCCAACGUUGUGUAGGCAACUUUUUACUCUAGUUAUAACAUGCCAGACAACUAUUGACUGCUACACAUAAGUCGUAAGAAAUAAAAUCAAGAAUCUAUUCCUCAAGUCCCAUUCACACAUGCUACGGAAACCUGUUGCCGAAAUACAAAUAAUUAGAACGCCUACAGCAUGUUAUGCAGGCACUAUCUGAACAGGCUUACUGUUGAUAAAAGUACGAUCCCAUAUAUACAUAUACCAAAUCAAAGCAUACUAUUUAAAAGAUGUGAUGAACAAUUCUCCUGCUAUGCAACUCAACCUUUAAUUGAUUCUAUAAACAUCCGUUCAGCUUUUUGUCAGUAUGCUAAAACAAAACAAUAUUCUGGAGCUAAAAUCAUCUUGAUAAUGGUUGGGAGGAAGAGAGUGCAACAAAGCCAGACAAAAAGUUCGAAGGGGCCAUGACCAUUGAGGGAUAACAGGCUUCAAGAGGGCAAUGACCCGAAGCCAGACACAAAACCUAGAGGUGAAGGCUGCAUAGCUGAAAAACCAGAUUGAGGUCACGAGAUCAUGUCAUAGCAAAACCUGAGGGAGUUCGAAAUCAUUUAUCUAUAUUUUCACAGGCAUAUAGAAAGCAUUUGAAAGAAAGGUUUCACAUAGACCUUACAUGCCAUCAUAGUGUCCAAAUGCAUGUUCCAAAAUAUUUGUUAAUGAUUUGGGAUCAAUAAGCAGAAAAAAGUCGCAAUGAUAUGGUAGAACUCACUAUGUAAGGCACAGGUGCAUCCAAAAAGUCCAGCAUGUCAUUUGGCAAAACCUGAAAGGUCAGGCAGUCAGAGACAAUGACGAAAAUGGCAAAUAACUAUAAACUCUAACAAGAACAAUCAACUACUCAUAAAUACAAAAUCAUUGAGGUAAGAAAUGACAAUUACCGGCAUUAGCAAGCUCUGCCACUGAUAAGGACGAAUAAGGGGUAUAAUUGAUAAAACUGAAGCAGACAAUACACCCUGCAUAUUCAAAUAAACAAAUGUAAAAUCACUAAUACCAAUGUGGAUUCUUUCUCCUUCAAGUGACAAAUAGAUGGGAAAAAGUUAUUCAAAACAAGUAAAUAUUUGUUAUUAAUGCAUAAUCAAAUAAGAUGAAUCAUCUCUAAACCACAUGUUAAAUAAAAUUAGAAGAACUAAUGGGAUUGAAAAUAUUACAUUUCUAGGAGUAGCUAAGUUUUACUCUAUUGUGCAAUCCCCAUCCAAGUUGGACAUUGUAAAAGCUAAUUACAACACGAACCAGAAAAUAGGUGUCUUAUGUUUGCUCUCAUAUUUAAAACACUAAACUUUUAAGUAUAUUAAAAAAAUACAAUCUUCUAGCUAAUUUUUAAAUGAUUUCAGUAUCAGUCAAUUAAAAUACAAACUUCAAAUACAACCAAACUUAGUCCUAUCAUAUCCCAACUAAUUUAGUAUGACAUCCAAAUCUAGACAGCCCAAUUUAGAAAAUCCAAUUACCUCUGAAGCUAAAAUAGAUUGAGGAAUAAACUUUUACAAAUUCAAAUUUAGGGAGCUAAUUGUCAACAAUGCAAUAGUUGUAAGAUAUAAAUGAAAAUUAUGCAAUUCCAGAUCUACAUCUCUUUGAACUUGUUAAAACACACUCAUUCAACAAAGCCACAAAAAUAAAUCCAACAUUUUUGCAAGCAUAAGGAAGUACACCAGUCAUAAAGAAAAUUUAACAAUACUCAUACUCCUACAGAAAACAUAGAUCCAUUUCUCUUUUAUUGUCAUCUGGUGCACAAACACAUUGUCCACAAAACUAUAAAGAUAUAAUAACUUACCAAAUUUGAACAAACAACUGCGACUUGCUUCUCCAAAAGGGCUCCAGCAAAUAAUGUCAACACCUGUAAAAACAUUUCACAGCAAUUAGUCCAAAUUAUCUUUCACUUUGUGUGCAGAGUGCAAGGCUGAUAUCAUAAAAGGCUCCAGCAAGAGGGCAGCAAUUUUAUUAAGGAUCUGCCUACAAUGCAGAAGUUAACAGAGACAUUUUCAGCAUAAAAUCAACAACCCAGACCAAAGCUUGACAAUUAGUGUUAAUUCACAAGUUUAUGCACAUUAGAUAUGCACAGAAAGAGCUAAUUUGCACGCACUUUUAAACCUAGUAAGGUGGCUGUUGCACACAAACUAGUCAUGCCCAUCCACAAAACAGGGGGGAGGUAACCUGAAAGGCUAUUUAAUAUUUAGUUUUUAUUAUUUUAAACAGCACUACGACCUAGAUAUAUGCAAUUGUAAUCAAGAGGAUUCUUUGAAUUUGACUUUGAAGUUCACUCUAUCUGCCAGGUAAAAUUUCAAUAUUUUGAGGAUAUCUUUUGUAACUUAUCAACUCUAAAGCGUCUUACAUAAAAUAUUCUGAGGGAAAAUCAAUGCAAGUGACCUUUGGAGCCUGCUGCAAGAUGCAAGUGAACAUGUACCAGAGAGAACUACUAAACAGACAAAAUUUGAAAUAUAAUAGAAAAUCUAGUUGCUGCCCCUCAACUUCUUACUCAAGACAACCUUCAACUUCAAAUCUAGAACUUCUGGAUGGCAAAUUAUCCAGAGACAUUGUACUAUAUCCUCAAUAACUUCAACAGUUAUCAAGCUCAGGAAGCAAUUUUUCAAGAAUUCUAAGACAGAUGUGCCACUAAAUUCUGGAUUCAAGUAAUCAGAAGAUACGAAAUAAUCUGCUAUUGAGUGAUCAAACUAAGUAAAGAACAUUUAAAAUCUAUGCAUUUGUUCCCUGUUGACGCCAAGUCCUUGGCCCACAUUCAGACAGGUUAAUGCUACACCAACUCACAUGCUCAAGUCGCAAGGAGCCACAUAAGCAUGCAACAGCCCAUACAGAUAAAGCAUUUGCUUCCUCCUCUGCCAUAAGUGCACAAUAAGCCUGUAGAAUAAAGUGAAAAUAAGCCUCAAGAGAAGCAACAUAUAAAGCAAUGAUCAAAAUAAACCACACUCCUGUUACCCCAGUUGGUGUGAUACCCCAAAAAAGUACAGUAAAAUUAAAGAAAAGACAAUAUCAGCCGUUCUGUUCCUCAGUAUCAAGCACAAGUAUAUAAGAGUAAAUAUGAUGAGACUUCUUUGCAUAUAGCAUUAUUAUGUCAUAGUAGAACCAAUUGCAAAUUAUUUUCAUCUAUAGAAUACGUUAAAUAUUUCGAGGCAUUCCAAAUAGCAAGCAUAUCAGGUAAAAUGGGAUAAAUGUGGAGGUUAAUUAAGUUAAUUCACAGCAGAGUAACCAACGAUCUGCUUUUGCAGUAUAGCCAGAAAUUAUUCAUGCAGCAUUUAACUUUCUCCACUAACACCUCUUGCUCACAUGAAACUGAAAACCCCAUAGGCCAGGGGAAAAAAAUAAAUUGAGAAAAUAAAAAGGUGAAGAAAACCAGCAAUUAGCAGUUAACAAAAGGCCAAAAAAUACCUCUGCUAAUUCCAAACUAGUAGUGCAUGACUUCAGAUCAAUUGUUGAUCCAGCAAUUUGUAGAACAGUUUCAUCAAUUCUAUGAUAUUCUAAAGGAUGUAGGUGAUCCAGAGGGUGAAACUUAAUAGUCGAACCACGUGAAGGGCAAUGUAGCCGAUAAUAUUCGCAUAUUAUUUGUAAAGAACCAUGAUCAUUGGCCUGCAAAAACCCACAGAAAACAUUGUCCAUCAAAAGAGCCUUAUAAUAUCUUGAAAUUUCUUGUUAGAGCUUGCAAUUCAAGCUACAAGAAAACAAAAUCUUAACCUUAGCCCACUCAAGGAUAUCAUCAUGCUCAUUGCAAACAUCCUGGCCAGAGAAGGAUGGCUCUUCCACUUCUACAUCAUCAACAUCACUUCUAAAAUGUCUGCCUUCACCCGGAGAGCCCUGGAAACUGAGUAAAGCACAUCAUUUGUCAAGCUAAAUUUCACUUGAAAAGGCCCUGAAUAAUGCUAUCAAUCAAUCUAAAGCAAAGUUGGCAUGCAUGACAUGCAUAAGGGUAGAUAGAAAAAGUCCUCGAUCUUCAAGACCUAUCUACACAACAGGCUGAACAUAAGAAUGUACUGAGCUUAUCUAGAAGAUUUAAAACCUUUUUGUCAUAUAUGAUAAAGAUAAAGGACAUGUAUCUCUGCCUAAAAAUUAUAAGAACCUUUUUGUCUUGUCAAACAGGCAUGAGUGUAUUUAGCUUAGGUUUUCAUACAAUUCAUAUCAGAGUUUCCAAGAUUAUCUUCAAGAUUAAUUAUUUAACAGGAACCCCAGCAAAGUAAGUUUAAAGAGAUCUACUGAAAGUCAAAAUUAUUAUACUCGAUCAAAAUAAAACCCCUGAGAUAGAGGUUAAAAAAAUGCAUUUUGCUCAGAAAUUAUUUUCAGCGCAAGACGAUAAGCAACUAACAAAUCGAACAAUCUAGACAUACUAGUCUUAAAAAAAUUUCCGAACUUAAGGAAAAUUUAAUUAAGGAAAUUAAAAACAAACAAGCCUCCACCUCAGUCUACAGCUGAGAAUUUGUUCACCAUAACCAUAGUUGCUAAAGAUCCAAGCAACAAGAGACAAAGAGCUAAUGACAAUCAGCCGAUCUUUCAAGCAACCACAGAAAAUAUUCAACAGAAGAAUGUAUUCUUAACUAUUCCACCCAAAGAACCUCAAAGCCACAUAAAAGAGGCAACAUCAACAGGAUGAUGGAUUAUGAAAUGCCAAGAAUAGAUAUGCAUACCUAGAGGAAGAUUCAGAGCUUUCAUACUGUUGAUAACGAAGAAGGGGCAACACCGCAUUGGGUAAGCGCUUCUCUACAGAUUGUUUAUUAAUUACAAAAUCAUCAACAGAUACAUCACAGACUUCAGAAAUCUGAGAUCCAACUAGAGUUUCUGCUUUAGCAUGGCAUUUCUCCAUAUCAGGAUCCAAUGCAGCAACAGCAGAACCAUCACCAGUUCUCUUUGAUGUGAAAAUGUCCCCCUCUGAAAUUUGAUGCUCCAAAUGACAACUAUCAUCUGUGACUCUUCCUGGUAGAGAAUCACUCAAACUUGACUCUGAAGAUUCUGCAGUUCCAUUGUGUAUACAUUGUGCCCUGUCUUCCAAUGAAAUGCUCCCAGAUUCUUCUUCAGAGUUGUCUUCUUUAUCACAGCCCACAGGUAACUCCAGCUCUAGAUCACCAAUAUUUCUGGUUAACCGUUCCAACCUUUCUUCGGUGAAAAUGCUGUUAUCCGAAAAACAAAACAUAAAACCCAAGAUGAGGCCAAAGCCAAGUGUGUUUAUUGCACAAUCUUCUCAAGAUACAGAAAAAAAAUAAGGAAAAAAAAAAGCCAAAACUUCCACCAUAAAGAAAUGACAGGUUCAAUUUUCAUGCAGACUAAAUCCCCACUAUAAUGCCUAUGAAAUUUCCAUCACACAGAUGGUUGAAGAAGAAAAAAAUUACUAGAUAAUUACAUAGAAUUACUAUCAGUAUGGCAAAUGCAUACAGCACCAUCAAAUGGGCCAUCUUGAGAAGGCAUGCAGAUAUGAGAAGGAAUUAAAUCCUCUGGUAAUGUUUUGCAUGAUAUAAUUCUACAUCUAACACACUAUUUGUCCAUAACCAUAAGUGAAGUCCAAAAGGUGUUUGAUGGAGCCGCUCUGAAGUAUGUAUCUAUGAUAAAUCUAAUUUGCAUUCCCAUGAUCCUACCUAGGCAAACUCUUUUUGCAAAAUGGUUGAGACCACCCAAAAAAAAAAGAGGAGUUAAGUUAUUUUCCAGGUGGGAAAAGUUUUUAAAAAUUUCACACAUUACCACACAAAAUACGGUAAAGAACCACAUGUAGUACCUAAUAAGAACAUGUCUCUUUGAUUCAUAUGUUAUUAUACCUGUUCAACACACCAAAGUGCAGCUCGUAAAAUGGAAGUCUUGAAAGAAUGCAAUAACAGCGUUUUGUGGUUAGAAUAUGGCGGCUCAACCCCAAAUGACAAGGCUGCCCGUCUGAAAUCAUGGAAAUCAAUCCAGACGGCUUCUGUACUAUCUCUUCAACCAAAACACAACAACCAUACAGCGUUGAGUCAUCAGCCACCUAUGCAACAAAAAACUGUUAUUACGAGACCAAACAAUAAGAUAGGAGAAGACAGGAAGAAAACUUCAUAGAGAUGACGAUAAGCAUCUCAUGAAAACAAAUGGAGAUGGAAAUUGUUAAAAUCAAUCUCAAAAACAAAGGCUAACCAACAUUUACUUCUCCAUUUUUGCUUUUAAACAAAAUACCAAAAAAGGCAAGAAUACAAUUCAUCAUCCAGAUAAAUCCACCCCUCAAAAAAAAUAGAAAAGGCAGGCACUAACACAAAAAGAAAGGAAAUUCCAAAAUCCAUUUCAGCUUUAUUCACCACCGUCAGUAAAGCAAGCAGGAAGCAUACAUUCCUGCCCACAGAAUUAGAUACUAAUCUUGGUAUUUAAGUGUCUGCGAAAGAUCAAGUUGCAUAAUUUUUCAUGAACAUGAUAAGUUGCACAAUCUGGGAAAAGCUUUUGAAAUGGGAAUUGAAAGAAGCUACAGACAAAACAACCAUUAUGGUACUUACAGCUCAACCAUUAACAUCUGAACAAGACACAGAAAAUAGAGAUGCAGGCUGUGUCAUCCAAAUGCAUGAUUAAAUGAGGACAUAAAGCAGAAACCUCAUCAUGUUUUAUCAAUCAAUUAUAGAGAAAAAAAAGUCAUCUAACAUAUACAACAAUAUACAAGGUUAUAUUCAGUAUCUAAGAACAGAUUUGAUCAGUGGAUGCAUUCAUAUUAAUUCCAGUUAGCAUGUUCCGAUGUUCUACAUUCAAAAUGCCCAAAACAUUCAGCUGCAUAACAUGAUCACUGUAAAUGCUAUGUUUAAUGUUGAGGGAUCAGAGGCAAGAAAACACAAAACAGUAAUUCAAGAGAACAAAAAUUGAUUGCUAAAAUGUAAUUAAAAUCAUCAACAAUUGGGAAAUCUAACUAAAAAAUCCUCCAAUACAUGUAUUAACAAAUAAAGUUUGAUGGAUCAGAGGGCAAGGAAAUGUAAAAAAAGUAAUACAAUAAAAAGAAAAAUUGAUUGGUAACAAGAAAAACUAAAAUAUGUCAAAAGUUGAAAAUCCUAAGACGAAAUCUUCCACAACAAUAACAAGCAAUUCUUGCACCAUUUAGCAUCACCCUUUCACUAGUAAGUUUGAAAACAACAAAAUCUUUCUCAAGAAAUGUAAAAGACUAUGAAGGUGCAAUCUCUGGAAAACAGGAAAAGAGACUAGUACAUUGCUUGAUGUACAAUGCAGUAAGACAGUAAAGCAGUCAUGUACAGCAAAAAAGAUAUCUUUUAGUUGGCAUGACAAAGUAGAUACUACUAAGUAACAAGAGGCAUGACUUCAGGUAAUUUACACACGAUGACAUCUAAUUCCACACAAGGUGCAGGUAAAUAAACAAUCAGUUUCUCACUCAAUGAAAAACUCAAAUCCAGCAGAAUAUUGAUAGUAGAAGACCAAACUUCAGUUGAUGUGAAACUCAAGCAACACCAAUCACAAAGUGAAUGCACAACUCGCAGACAGAAAGUGGAGGAAGCAGGGAAUAAAAAAGAAUUCUUUCUAUACCUGCAGUCGGAACACGAAAGACAAGUCACUCUGUUUGAGGUGUUCCUGCGAGGCAAGAAGCAAGUCAAUGUCACUAAUUGUCAGUGACUUGGCUAAGGUAAACAUUACAUCAUUUGCAACUAACCAGAAAAAAAAAACACGGGACUGUAUUUCUUUGACAAUUCCAACUAUUCGUUUAAUUGAUAGAGAUUGUUAAUGAAAUAUACAGAAACUCGAAAGGUCAUAUGAACAUCCAAAUGGCUCCCAAUAUAAUCAGAAAAAUAAGGCAAAAAAAAACUGUGGCCUCAUGAUUGGUAAACUUACUGAAGUUGGUCUAAACACAGAAAACCAAAUUCAAUGAGUCAAGAACUAUUAUCUAUCUCAGGUUGUUACCCACGUACAAGAACAAAAAUAGUGAGAAAGUAACAUUACUUGGCCCAGAAGUAUCUCAUUCAACUCACUCAUCGAAGGAGUUCUCUCAAUUGCAUGAACCUGUAACAAAAUGAAUCAUUUCAUGAGUUGAUACAUAAAUCAGAGCAAAAACAAUAAACAGGUGGAGCCAAUAAAUUGCCUAGUUUUGCACUCUCUUCAAAGACCAUGCACUCCUAUCCUAUUUCCUUACAACGCAAAAGCUAAGAUUUACCCAGUAGGAUUGCAAUGAUAACCCUGAGGAAAACUGACACGCAGAAAAAGGAAUGAAACAAGCAACAGUGAACUCAUACAAGUUAACAACUUUACAAACAAAUAUUUCUACAACAAGUACACGAAGAAUCAGAUGGACUAGGUUUUACAUUCAUAUGCAUCAAACAAAUUCUCCAAUAUAUUCAGACAGGAUACAAGCUCCCCGACAGUGUUCCAGUUUGCUCUUUUUCAGGGUUAAGUGCCAAAACUAGAAAUGAUCAGCCAGAUUCAGAAGUAUAUGUCCACAUAUAAGAUUACACACGAAAAAAGUAAAUAAAAGACACACAGCUAAAAAUUACAACUCACUGUAACUUUCCAAUAUCAAGGAAUGACCCCCAACAUAAUAGCACUUAAGAAAAAGAUUUUAACAUUGAACUAGUUGGUAAAGUAUAAUCAGAGAAAAAGGAUAACUUCCAGUAAACCAACCUCAACUCCUGCAGGAAAGCAGAACGAGAGAAGAUCCUUGUAUUUCAAUGGCAGCUGUUUCUCUGGUGGAUAAACAAAUAAAACCUGAAAGUGAAAAAAGAAGAUCAAAACUUAUGUCUGAUUAUCCAAAUUUCAUGAUUGAUAUAUUUUUGAAUAGUAUACAAUAUAUGCACCUGAGGCUCCAGGUUCGGUUCAAUACGAGAUUGAUUCUGACCAUUUAGUGCAGUACGAAAUCUUCCUGAACCUUCAGACUUUCUACCAAAGUAAAGCUUCUGAAGAGCUUGAAUGUCACAAUUAGGAUGGAGUCCAACAACUACCAUGCUCUCAAAAAGUCUGGAUGGCUCUUUCCAAAUUUUGUGGUCCUGCAAACUUAAAUUACACUAUUAUCUACGAAAGGCAUGACCUUGCUUACUCAUAUAAUACAGACAGAAGAAGCAAGGUAAAUUAUAAGCAGACUUUCAAGUCCACAUCCAGAGCCACUGACUCCAAUAAACAUAAAGAGGAAAAAUAUACCAGGGACUGCAACUGAAAGCUUGCCCAUUGACGUUUUUGGCUAGUUAGUACUUCAGGGUUGUAAGGUCCACUUUUCACUUCAGGAGGGCUAGACAAGCCUUUCAGUAAUCUAGACACUUGAUUCUGAAGUUUCUGAAGCUGGCUACUGCUAUCGUCCUUCGAUGAAUAUACUACCGAGGGGCGUGGGGAUCGUGCAGCAACUGCUGCUGCUGCAGCAGCAGCAACUGCUCUUGCAACAUCUUCAGUUGUCUGCAUGAAGAACGAAGCACUCCAUCCAGGGCUACCUGACUCUUCAUUCUUCUCCAUUUGGACACUUCGUCCCUCCUACAAUUGAAACACAAUCAAUCAAACAUGAAUUAACUGAAAACAGUAACACCUCAUUGCUAAAUGCUCAUCCUCCAAAUACAAAAUGAUUACUUGAACAUGAUAUACCACGAACAAAAGCCCUAACUUUGUCCUCCAAUCCCCCGCCCAAAAAAAAAAAAAAACUAUCAUGCUUUACUCUUCAAAGCUGAAUUGAUUUCAAUAACCUCUUCAUCUAAGUUAGACAUCACCCGGCCAUCAAAAUAACCAGUUGACUGUGACCAUCUUUCACUAUUAACCCGUGAAAGUCAAAGAUUGAACCCUUAUGUUCCUGCCGUUGGAAAAAGGCAUAAAUUACCACUUCAUCAAAACAAUGAUAAGCUUGCACUAGAAACGCCCUUCUCUCUCUCCCAUACAGUUUCAUGUCAAGACUCCAUUUCCCCUAAAUAAUCCUCCGAUAAGGAUCUCAUCCCCUUGUUAACAUUCUUCUGGACCUCAAACUCAUACUAAUACUCGCACGUUUAACAGGCUCUCCUUACUGGGAUGAUUUGGACAAGCUCUUAAAUCAACCUGAAGUAAUUCCAGUUAUGACAAAAUAUGACCUUGGCAUAACAAAAAGAAAUAUGACAUGUUCAGGAUUUAAAUCGACUACUGGUGAUCAGAAAAAUCCAACUUCAAAAAGCAAAACUUUAAGACUAAGAUACACAUGUACUACCAAAAUUAAAAUCACCAAAUUGAUUACUCAUAAAUAGCCGAACCAAGCAUGAACAACGUCAUUAAACCUUAAGCCACACAAAAGCUUCCAACUUUAUGCUUUUAAACCUCGAUACCACAUCACAACAUCAUAAAACAAAAGAAAACCACGUAUAUGCAGGAGAAAGUUUGGAAAUGGGGGAAAAACAACCACCUCUGGAAAGAAAUGAAAGGAAAGCAGAAACGAGGGGAAAAAGGGAAGAAAAAAAAACCCCACCUAUAUGCGUAAAAGUUACAACUGAUUGGAGAGAGCAGCAGAAAUAACAAAAAAAAUAUCUAUAUAUCGGUCUGAAUUUGGGUAGUAUACGGAGGAAAAGGUAAAUCAGGCAGCCAUCUGAGAGAAAGGGAGGAGUGGUGAUGUUGUCCUUAUUGUCUUUGGAAACUGGAAGGAAAGAAAGAAAGGAACUCACCAAAGACAAAGGAGACUUAUCACAGAGAACUCAUCGGAGUACUCGGUGAUUAUGGAUGAGUUUCCUGGAUUAUUACAUAACAUAGGUGGGAUUAGGCGAUUGAUUAAACUUUGGCUUAUUUGGGUUGAUUUUAGUAUUUGCGUAAAAGAAAUGAAAAAUCUAAUGAGAUUUGUAAGGCAAAAUUAAUUAACAUAGGACGUGGGAAAUGAUAGAAAAUGAGAAGAGAAUCCAUAGUCCAUAGGCCUCGUGCAAGUCGACUGAUGAAACUGCGUGAGGGACGGCCGCCUCUGUCAAGGGCUGUUUGGCAUGUUUCAUAAUGGAGGAUAUCUUUUACUUUUCGUAUUUUCGCUUAUGGAAUUUCCUCUUCUUGGGGUAAGUCUUUAUUGGAGUUUAUGUGUUGCAUUUGGAGAAUCCGAAAUAUUAAUAUCUACAUUUGACUUUUUGUUUCAUUAGCAUAACUGGAUUAUUGUGGAAUAUUGAGAUGUUAAUAAUUUGUCAAAAAUGUCGCUGCUGUUGUUGUUGUCAACUUUGAUUGUUAAGUUAUUAAAUGAUUAUAUUUAUGAUGAUAUAAAAGUCAGAAUUUGUUGGCGGACACAAAAUUUGGCUAGUUAAACUAUAAAAUACCAUAAAAGAAUUGUAACGGAUUAAAGUCUUGCCAAAAAAGGCAUGAAAUUAUAACAGGUUAUAAUCGUGCCAAAAGAAAAAGCGAAUAAAAAUGUUUUGACUAGUUCAGAUAAAAAUAUCAUAAAAAAAAUUGUAACGCAUCAUAGUUUCGCCAAGAAAAAAAACUUAAUAUUGUUAAAUUUAGUCGCAUUGGUUCAUAUUUUACUUUAGGAUUGAUUAGACACAAAAAGCGCCGGCUAUAAAAUGAAAAUAGUAGAUUAAUGAGUUUAAUUUUUUGAAUAGAUGACUAUUUGACAACUUCAUGUAAGCUUCCCUUUUGUUUAGGGAUGGAAGUGCGUAGGGUGAUAUCCUCCGAUUUAAUGGUUAAUCCGAUUAAUGAUCAAUGAAUCAUAAGUUUGAAUUUGGUAUUGAUGAAAGGUUAUUGAGGAUUAACCUUAUAUGAUUUGGUAAGAAGGCAUUAAAAUCUUGAUACCCGGUAGUUCGAUUUGACAUCAAUAUUAGGGAUUGAUACCUCUAUAAAAUCUUUUUAUUAUCUUUAGUCUGUAUUUAUUUCUCAAUAUCAAUCUUGUAAAGUGUUUUUUGUCAUAAUUUAUGUACAACUUGUUUAGAUAUGCAGAAAAAGUUACCUGAAUUUUCUUUUGCAUAUUUGUUGAAAUUGCUAAUAGGUAAGAGCAUGAAUUGACUAAAAGUCUCAAAUGGAGACAAUUGUGAAUAAAAAUAGAAAAAAAGUUGAUUUAACCGUUUAUAAAAUGUUGAAAUUGCAUGCAAGUUAUAUGGUUUCGCCCAAGAUUAAAACUUAAUGUAGUAUGUUGAUAUAACAUGAUGUAUAUGUCAAUUUAUUUUUUUGAACUAUUCAGAUUGACUGGUUGAGAAUAGCCAAUAGAUAAUUCGAACUCGCGAGUAAAAAGGUUUGGUAAUGAGAAUUAAAACUAUAAUCUCUACUCGUAUUACGGUAUCAAACAUUCUUAUUUUAAAAAUUGGAACUUUUCUGAUUGCAUGAUUGAAAUUCAAGGAUUUCAAAUUUUCUUAUAUAUUCCCAUAAUUCAUCAAUUUGUUUAAAGCUAGCUACCAGAUAAAGCAUAGCAUGCAGUUAUAGCUAUAGGUCAGAGCAAAACAUAAAAUACACUACUAUUGCUGACAUGUUAGGAUUUCAAACUUUUUUAUUUACAAUAUGAAAUUCAGAGGAUAUGUAUUAAUGCAUCAUUAUUCUCGUCCAAAGGAGAUUUUGAGUCUCUCGCUCUCUAGUAUUCCCGAUCCAUUUGGGUUUUUUUUUUUUUUUGUAAAAUAGAUUAGAAUAGAAAUAAAAUGGACGUUGUCCAUUAAUAAAGAGAGGAAAUGAAAUUUAUUUGUAGCAUACAAAACUUACGUUUGGUUAAUUUCCAAUGCAUGCCAAACAUUCCUAAUUGUUGCCUAAUUGAUCAUGCGAACGUUAGGUUGGGUAAAUGAGUUGUAAAAUGUGUUUGACUGGUUUGUUAAAAGGGUACAUUAACCGGUUGGAUGAUGCUUAGCAACAAGGAUCCGAUGAGUUACUUUAUUGAGAUUAUCAUCUCAAAUUUUAUAAUGGGUUUUUUUUAAAAAAAAUUUGGGUCUACACGCGAAAAUGGCCGUCCUGCUCGUUGCAUAUCAUAUUAUUAGUAGCACAAACGGCGUGUGGUGCGCCUAACUUUAAUGGGAAAGUGCGAGUAAACUUUGCACCCGACUGCUUAGACCGCAAUCACCCAGUCACGUGCCCUUUUUAUAAUUAUUUCUAGUUUACGCAGUAGCGCAACACAUGCACUUUUUAGGGUAGGUGUCUCCCUAUUGAGGCACAUGACAUGCCAUUUGGUUCGUAAUCCAUGCAAAAAGAAUUGCAGGACAAAAACUAGUUCUUAUGGUAUUAACGGAAUUGCAGGACAUCGUGCAGUAAAGAUUCUAAAGAAAGGAUGUAAUUAUAUUCGGUCUAAUUGUUUUUAAACUCUGUCAAAUGAGCAAAUAUAUAGCUAAGGGGGUUAGAAUCUUUGCUAGAAUGUUAACACGAAAUUUUAUUUCUUCAUAAAUAUUGAUUUUUUAAGAAGGUUUGCCGAUAUUAAAGCAAUUUACGGUCAUCCCAAAUCUUUAGAUUAGGAGCCUCCAUUAGGGGCGUAAAUUAAUCAUGCUACUGGACUCAAAUUCGUGAGUAUUUUGAUCAAAAACAUGACUCGAACUCAGCAUUGACCGAACUCGAAUCGAGUUCCGAUUUACUUGACAAGGUAAUUGAGUCGAGUAUGAGUAGAAAAAAAAAAUAAAAUUGACUACUCAUCGAACCUUAUUGAAUAGUGUAUUUAUAAUAUAAUUUUAAUUACUUAUUACAAAAUUAUGAAAUUUGCUAAAAAAAUUGAGUUUGAAAACUCGAAAGGGUUCGAUUUGAUCGAUCUCAAAUUUGAGCUCAAGUAAUGUAAAAUUAGUUCAAAGUCAAGCACGAACAUACUUUUACAAAACUCGACGAGCUUAAGUUCAUGUAUUUUACUCAAGUAGAGUUCGUCGUAGACUAAACGAACUCUACUUGACUGGACAUCAGCCCUAGUCUCUAUGAUUGCAAUUAUAAGGCAAAAUUUAAAACACAUUUUAUAUAUUUAAAGAGCUUGUUUAUAUUGCAUUUUUUGAAAGUUUUUAACAGUUUUUUUUUUAUAGAAAAAUAACAUGACACUCUAAUAUUUUCUUUGACAUGAGUACUAUGUGCCGAUAAAAAGGCAAGAAAAAUAUGUCAAUAAAACAUUCUUAAUUUAAUAGACAUCAUAAACAUUACACUCAAAACAAUGCUUUAUAACCUCUAAAUUCCAAAAGUGUAGUCAAAUUUGAUAAGAAAUUCCUGAAAAAUAAAAAAAAAGGAAAGAAAAACAUAGGCAUGGUCUCUUGGCCUCGGGGUAAAGCCGCUAAUUGAGAAGCGACAACUACUGGUUAAGGGUAGGAAUAAUAUUUGUCUUUUAAAACAAAAUGUAUGUUAUUUAUUCAAUCAUGCAAGUCACUUUAAACACAGUAUACGCCUUUAUGCAGAUGUCAUACUUAGUAUAUAUCGUAUGAUCGGAACUACAUAAAGUAUUUUUUUGAGCCAAUCAUAGCCGUUAAACCUUCACAAACGGUUGCUAUACCAUUCCCGUCUCGAGUGCAAGGUAGGAACAAUUGCUACAGUAACUAAAAGGUUAAGGACGAAUCUUGGGCCAACAAAUAAUUACAAGGUUCAGCUUAUAUAUUAUAUAUACGUCGUGUUUAGCGUCAUGUAUUGGAUCUAUAAAAUUUUGAAAUAUGUUUAUAUCGUAUUAUAUUAUGUUAUUCAAUUAUCAUUGAAUAUAAUAUGAAUUCAAAUGUAUUAUAUUUAAUAUUUAACAAUUCAAUAAUUUAAUAAAUUCAAAUUUCAAACUUCAAUUUUAUCAAACCCACUCUUCGUUUCUUUUUUUUGUGGUGGGCACAAGCUCAGCGGCUACACCUCGUUGAAUUGAGUAACGGUUAACCUGGUAAUCGUUUGGAUCCCUGGUCCUCCUGCCCCAGAUUCGUAACUGUUAACCGGAUAGAUUAAUAUAAUAUAAUAUAAUAAGUGAAGGGAGGAGGGGGUGUCAUUUGUCAGGUGGACACGACAUGGUCAGUACUUGAUUGGUGUCUGGUCAUGCGGGCGGAAAGUUGCCCACUACUACUACUGUUUUAGGCUUGUCUUGGCUCGGCCGAUGACAUUUCUCAAUUCUCAUGUGGUACUGUUCAAUUCCCCACUUCUAUCAUUCCAUGCUAAAUGGUAUCAACUAGUUGUCCCCAAGACUUUUCUGUACUCGGGACCUAAACAGGGCCCACUAGGUAAGGGUAAUCGGUAUGAACUAUCAAGCGUUGUAGUACGAGGGACAUCUCAAGUUGAGAUUCUCAACUGCCUCUUCCGUUUGGUUGAGAAUCAACUCUUUUUUUUUUUUUUUUGGGAUAAAAAAGGAUUGAUUGGAUCAAGUUCUGAUCAUCAUCACGGAUCCGAAUAUGUCUUCGAUCACCCUCAAAUCUCUUCCAUUGAUGAGAUGUGCAUAUGUAAAUAUUGUACUACUUUUUUUAAUACAUCAUAUACGAAAUAAAAAAGUAGUUAAAAAAUGUAUUAAUGCUACAAAUAAAUAAAAUUUGACAAAUAAUUCACUAUCUAAACAAAUAAUUACUUAUUAUUCUUUUGUUUGAUGAUAAUUAGCAGUAGGAUAUAUAAUACCAUUUUUUAUCUGGCAAGAAUACUCAGAUGAAUUUGUUCUAUAAUCUACUUGUAGAAUAAUGAUAAAUAACAUAUAACGGUACAAGGAUAUCGUUUGUAUAUUAUUGCAAAAAGCUUACGAGUGAAACCUUAAAUCAAACGCACCUAAAUAUUUAUCUUUACUUGGGUUGAACUCUUUUUAAAGUUGCAUCAUCUACCUCUAUCAAAUUUUCUUUGAUUUACUCAAAUAAUUGGAAUAUUUGUCAAACACGUAACUCUUUUCGAUAGAAAAAGUCGCAUUAUCCCUAUCUAAUUAAGGCUUUAGCUGAACAAGCAUUUCGAACUUCAUUAGAGUAACAUACAUUCAUACAUACACAUAGCUAUAUAUAUAUAUAUAUAUAUAUAUAUAUAUAUAUAUAUUAGAAUAACUUCGAUAUGGUAAAAAUAAUUUGAAACAACUCUAAUUAUAUUCUGGUCUUUACGUACUUGCUUGGCUCUUUUACUCUUUUAAGAAUGGUUAAAAUUUGGUUGCUUGGACAGUGGACAUCACGUAACUUUUAAUCAACAAUUUCGGAUUAGAGAAGAAACGGAGGAUCAAUUAAAUUCAGAGAAAGAAAUAUAUAUAAGUUUAUAAUUUUUACUGUCCUUACUGUCAGAUCAUAGAAAAACACGCUCAAUUUUGGAUUCAACCGUUCCAGUUGAAACCGUCAAAAUAGAGCUUGAAGCCUGGGAAGGAUAAUUAUACAUUAGUAGCAUUUAAUUGACCUUAAUUAAGUACUAGGUUUCAGCUUUAAAUUGUAUACAAAAAAUGCACUGCACCUGCACCCGAAAAGUGCUGAAAGAGUUUCAGAGGCUACUUUUUUUUUUUCAGAGGCUACUUGCUAUACAGAAAGUGUGUGUGAUUUGGAACGAGUUUCAGAGGCUACUCGCUCUAGAAAGAGCAUUAAGUUGACCAAGUUCAAGCAAACUUGCUGCCGCCAUUCUGCAAUACUACCGAAAAGUCCAAGAAUUGGACGACUUAGUCAAACUGAACAAAUUUUAUCAGAAACCGUUUAUUUUUGUUAGAUCUCUGACUUGUAUUAAUCCUUUUUUUUUUUCUGACUUGGUUCUAAUUUCUGGAAUUCCAAACCUCUCAUCAUGUUGAUUUGAUGCCAAGACUUCCUCUCCAUGCUAAGACUUUUUUGGGAUCGCACAAUUUUUUUGUCAAACUAUUUCAAAAGGAAAGUGAUAUUUCAACAAUAACACUUAAAUUUUUGUCGAACUAUCUGUUUUACAUUUUGUUAUUUUAUAGACAAGUGUAAGGUAUCGAUUUGAUGUACGUGGAAUAAAAAGGUGAUUGAAAAAUGUGUUUACGAAAUGCGAAUUUUUUUUUUUUAAAAAAAGACAAUUCAAGCAAGACCGUGAAAAUUAUAAAAAGGCAUAAUAAAUUGUGUCUUUUUAAAUUAGAUGUUCUAUUCAUGGAGAAUAUUCUAAAUUCCAUAUUAUAAUUCUGGGGAAAUGAAAUAUUCCAAAGUCAUGUAGUUGGUACGACACAGGAGAAAAUCUACCACUUCAGGGAGCCCAAUAACGAGGUCAGUACAUUCAUCACUCUUUUUACCACAAAAAAAUAGUAUUGUCUUUUUUUUUUUUUUGAGAUGACAACUGUUGUAUGACUUAAUUUAUCUUACACUAAGGGGGAAGGGACGGACCUAAGGAGAUCCAGGAUAACUCAGAAGAGACUGAACCACCACCGGAUCAGACGAAUGCACUACACAUCCGCCUGGAUUUUUUGAAACAAGCCACUUUAAAUGUGGCAUUCAUCGAGCCUUAUUGUCGCAAAAUAGUUUUUUGUCCAAGGGACAAUCUUUUGUCGCAAAAUAGUAUUGUCGCAAAAAUAGUGUUGUUAAACUUUCAAGUUCUCAACAUGGUUAUUUUCUCUAAACAAAUUUAAGAAUCUAUUUAGGGGCUCUAUUUAAAGACCAAAUGAUGAUGAAAGGUGCGUUAAUAUCAAGAAUGUUUCACCUAAGAUAAUCAAUUAAUGUAGCAACAUUAGUAAGACCCAAAAAAAAAAAAAAAAAAAAUGGACACCUCUUUCUUCAUUCUCUUCCCCUCUUUACUACCCCUUGUUUCUAUCACUGACAUUUCUUAUCAGCGAGCCAACCAGUACAGUGGUUUCAACUAACGGUGUUGGGUGGGCGAACAGGGGCAUUGCUUUUUCCAUUGAACAGAAGGAUUAGAAUAUGGAUUGAUGACGGUUUUGUUUUGAUCAACAGCAUAUGCUUAUGAUGUAUGAUGAUGGCCUAACCAAAAACAACAAACCAAAUGAUGGCGGCAUUUGAUAGCCAGCUGGCCCGACCUUCAUCUAAAUAAUUGACUCACUUUCUUGUGGAAUCUUAAAGGCACAAUACCUCGAUUUAGAUUGUGAUGAUGUAAUUCCUUGGUUUUAGACUCUUAAUUAAGAAAAUUCCUAUUUCCAAAGUAUUUGGAGAGAAAUGUGGAGCUAGUGCCCAGCUACAAGGCUUGUGGGAAUAACUCAUCAAACUUGUUUGGUCAGUUUGGAGAAAAAGGGUUGUAAGUAACUUCAAGAAAACGAGCUACUAUUACAUUUGAUUGGCAUUUCGCAUUAAAUCAAUGUGUAUUUUCUUGAAUUUACACCUAUUUAGUAUUUUCCGUGCGUAAGAAAAAUUAAUUCUAUCAUAAAAUCUAAGAUAAAAAGCGGGCAGAAUCAGCCCACACCUGACUAAUAUCCCUAUCCAAAAGUAUAAUCCAUUGGAUAUAGGUGUAAAUUUAUCAUUCAAUGAGAUGAAAUUAGCCAUUUGGGCUUUUGAAACGAGCAAAAUUCAAUUGGGGGUCUGGAGCGAAACAUGAGCCCACUAACCCAAAUCCGAAACAUACCAAGGGCUGGGCGGUGGGCCAUGUCAACUAGGCUGAGCUCCAAAGUUUAAAGUUACAAUAAUGUUUGGUAUUGAAUAUCAAAAAGUUGUUAGUCGUAAUUCCUAAGUGGUGGUCCAAAUGAUAAUGAUUGGUUUCUUAAAUGAUAGCCAAUUGCAUUACUUUACUUUUGGUCCGUUGUCAUAAUUCUGCCUUUUUAAAAAAAAAAAAAAAAGAAACGUCAUAACUCUGUGAUACAUUCGAACUUAUUUGUAUAAAGUGACUAUAAAUAAACUUUUUUUAAAUUGUAAUAAAGACUAAUUUUAUAACGUAUGAAGCCUUCAUAAACUUGACAUGUUGCACACUUUUUUUUCAUUUUUUAUUGGCAAUGCUGCAUUUGAUUAAAUUGUGAUAAGUGACUAAAUGCGCUAAAGUAAAAUGUUGUUAUAGAUGUAAUUUCAAUGAGUAGAAAAUCCAAUGUACGAUAUUAUUAAAUGUAUGAAAUAUAAUAAAAUAGGACUAAAAUUGUUAAUUUCUCUUUUCGUCCUCAAAUUCGAUUUGUCUCCCAAUUCAAAAUGAAGUAGUUUUUCUGAAUAUUUUUUAUUCAUCCCUACAUUGACAAUUCUCAUGGGAUCACCGAGUAAAAUGAGAAAAGAAAGGAGAGAAACGGAGUAAAAUGACCCUCUUUCCUUCUACCGUCCAACCGUUCAAGGAGGCGGGCAAGAACAAGGAAACAGCUGCACGGCCGCACAUACACAUUCACAUGGGCAGCUGGUCAACGAGUCCAAUGAUUCUCCUCCUCCUUUCUCUGAUUAACCAAUAAUAAAGAAAUACCCAUUGUGGAAAUCGUGACCAAAUUUCUUGUUGAAAACAACACUCCAUCUCAAAUCAAUAGUCCACCACAGACCAUUGUAGUUUGAAAUCGACCAUACCAGUCAACCCGCUUUCAUCUUGUCAGGCAAACUCCACUACUUCUUUUGCUUAUUUAUGCCCAUUAUUAUUUGUGUAUCGCUCUCCUAAAAUUCUGAUCAGAUCACUUCCAUUUUCUCCAGUUAGUAGUACUCCUCGACUUCUGAAGAGCCACCAUGGCUGAAACUAAGUCAGAUCAAGGAAGCCCAUCUCUCUUUUCUCCAUACAAGAUGGGAAAGUUCAAUCUGUCUCACAGGUUAGUGAUUGCAGUUAUCAGUUGAGUCCUCUGUCCCUCCCUGCAGAUGCGUAUUUUCCUGAUCCUUCUUGAUCAGCUGCAAAUUUUCUAAUCUUUUUUUUUGUAACAAGCAUGACUAGAUAAUUGAGCUCUAAAGCUGAAUUAUUGAGCUUGAGAUAUAUAGUAAGUACUCUAUUAGUAGGAGUGCUAAUAUACUGGAGCUGCAGAAUUUCAUUUUUGGGCUGCCAAAUUUGUCUUCAUUUUUCUCUUACACGAAUUUGUCCCUUGCAUGACUAAUGACAUCUUCUGUUUUUCUGGGGCUACCCAUAUAUAUAUAUGAUGGCAGGGUGGUUCUGGCGCCGAUGACAAGAUGCAGGGCCAUAAAUAGCAUUCCUCAGCCUGCCAUGGCGGAGUACUACGCCCAAAGAGGAACCAAUGGUGGCUUUCUCAUCACGGAGGGCACCAUGAUCUCCCCAACUGCUGCCGGGUAAUUCUGUACUUUAUGCUUUCUGGAUGUUUAUUAGGAAAAGUAUAUUAGUCCAAGUAUUUGAAACUGUAGGGCCUCUCUGAUAAAACAACGUUGUCUACAAGUAUUACUGUAGUUGAGUGGGAUCCAUAUGUUUAAUGUUCGCACAAUUGGAGCCAUUAGAGCUAGAUAUUUUUUCUUGAUAAAGUUGGAACAUCAUUUUUACACUAACCAAUCGAUCCUUACACUGUAGUUUGGUAUAUAACGCAGUAGAUUCGGAAGCUUGGUAUAGCCGAAAGGAAGGAAAACAUAAAUGAGUUGUGUAAUAUUUUCUGAUAAAAUUUCACAUUUCCCUUUAAUUUUCGUUGUUAUCUUUUGCAUGGCAUGAUAUUUAUUUCAUUUCUACGCGAGGGAAAGUUGAGCUUGUGAAUCUAUUGACAUUUGAUUAAAUCUAAUUAAAACACACACACACACACACACACGCUGUUUGGAAUAAACAUUUAUUUUCUUACGUUUGUGAUGUGGAUCCAGGUUUCCGCAUGUGCCGGGGAUCUUUACAAAGGAACAAGUGGAGGCAUGGAAGCAAGUGGUUGAUGCAGUACAUGCCAAGGGUGCUAUUAUUUUCUGUCAACUGUGGCACGUUGGCCGUGCGUCACAUGAAGGUGUAAUUUUGUGGUGUUAGUAUAAAAUAAAGCUAAACUUGACUAGAAUUAAUGGCUAAUGCUAAAUUAUUUUAUAAGACAAAUUUCAGUUGUAUUCGAGUAUGAUAACGAAAAUGUGAGAACUUUUAUUUUUUUCUACUAUGCUGGUUUGAAGAAUUAUUGAACACAAUGUUCAAGACCAAGUGAAAUUCGAACCGUUUCAAAACCACUUAGACACUUUAAUAACAAUUAGGCGAUUAUUCCACUUUUACUUACUUGGGUUGUAAUAUUCUUGAUCAGUUUAUCAACCUGGUGGUGGUGCACCCAUAUCAUCAACGGGAAAGCCUAUAUCAAAGAGGUGGAGGAUAUUGAUGCCUGAUGGCAGCCAUGGGAUCUACCCUAAACCACGUCCAUUAACAACAGCGCAUGAGAUUGCGCAAGUUGUGGAAGAUUACCGCCAGUCGGCCUUGAAUGCCAUUGAAGCCGGUCAGUCCAUUUUGUUUAUCUAUACAUAUUUUGACAAUCAUGUGUAUGUUGAAUUGGUUUGAUUUUUCCAUUAGCACUUCCUUGAGCUUGAUGAGAAUAUUGCUAGGAGAUUCUAAGGCACCAUCACCCCAAGCUAUGGCAUUUUGAUGUAGAGGAGGAGCUGCCGUGAAUGGACUGCCAUUGCUUGGUUCUUACAAUACUAUGUGCUUACUUUGUGGGAUCUUCACAAUCACUGGAGUCUGGUUCUGCAUGACCUUUCCAUUACAUAUUAUAUUUAUUUAAUAUUUCCCUGCUGGAAAUUCACAAAAUGGGAAAAAAAAAUACUCGUAAGACAUACUUGGGAUAUUAACUGCACAGUAACAUCAAUACUUUACCAUGAUGGUCCUUUUAGCUCUCCGGUUAUGUGAGGAUUCAUGUAGUGUUCCUGGCUGUUUUUCGUUUGUGGUAGAAAGUAGUAAAAUUGCGAAUUUGUAGUAAAUCAAUUAUUAGAUCAAUAUCAUUAAAAGUACUUAGUUGACAAGGAUGUAACCAUGAACUUAAAAGAUCAGCAAUGUGGAAUGCUGAAUGGAAUCCAGUUCAGCCUGCAGUUGGCAUUCCAGUUCCUUUGAUUGUUUUAUCAUAUUUGAGAAUCCCAAGAGAAUUGAAAUUUCUCAGCUAACUGUGAUAAAAAAAAAUUGUCAUAUGUCGUUGCUGUUGGCCUUGAUGAAGUUAAAACUAUGAUUUGCUAUACCAAUUCUUUAUGAUUAUAUUCUGCACUAUAUAAUUAUCUAGUAUAAGUUUCUUAGGUUUAUGGAUUAAAGGAUUUCUUACUGUAACAGGUUUUGAUGGUAUUGAAAUCCAUGGAGCACAUGGCUACCUAAUUGACCAGUUCUUGAAAGAUGGGAUCAAUGAUCGGACAGAUGAAUAUGGUGGAUCUGUUGCAAAUCGCUGCAAAUUCAUUGUGCAGGUGGUUCAGGCUGUUGUUUCAGCAAUUGGUGCAGAUCGUGUUGGUGUCAGAAUUUCCCCUGCUAUUGACCAUCUUGAUGCCAUGGACUCUGAUCCACUAAGCUUAGGCCUGGCAGUGAUUGAGAGACUUAACAAGCUCCAACUGAAUUCAGGCUCCAAGUUAACAUACUUGCACGUGACUCAACCUCGAUAUACAGCGUAUGGCCAGACAGAAGCAGGCAGACAGGGGAGUGAAGAGGAGGAGGCCCAACUAGUGAGGACUUUGCGAAAAGCUUAUCAAGGAACUUUCAUUUCCAGUGGUGGGUUCACCAGAGAGCUAGGAGUUGAAGCAGUAGCUCAGGGUGAUGCUGAUUUGGUUUCCUAUGGUCGCCUUUUUAUCUCAAAUCCAGACUUAGUUUUACGCUUUAAGCUAAAUGCUCCUUUGAUUAGGUAUAAUAGAUCUACCUUCUAUACUCAUGAUCCUGUUGUAGGAUACACAGAUUACCCUUUUCUAAGCAAUGGUACCAGUGGCAAUGUACCACAAUCACGUCUGUAAUUUGCAUGUUGUUCUAUUAUGGUUGAGGACUUGAUAGGUUUAUGCCUUCAACUUGACUGGUUUUGUUUAACGUCUCAUCUGCUUUUAUAAUGGAAGUUUCCAGUGUGUUCUUUGAAUUUUAUUAUCCAUGCAUCAUGUUGACCGCGAGAGAUCUCAAUAUAUUCUGAACUAGUCCCAAAACGUACAGAAGACAAUUGACCCCAUUGCUUUUGGCGGAGAGGGAGAGAGUUCAUAGAAUUUUUUUAAAAUUAAUUUUUGCAUUCAACUAAGGAUUUGUGAUCAUGACUGCACCCUUCUAUUCCUUUCCCUUCCUACUCUUCUAGCCCUGUUUUGGCUUACGUAUCAAGCUUAGAAACAUUUUUUUUUCUUCUUUUUAUAAUUUGUUUACAAUCCUUUUCCUUUUCAAAGUGUUUGUUUUCCUUAAUUAAAAGAUAACGGAUACGCUGGUUCCAAAUUAGUUUUGAAGAUUCCGAAAUCUCGCUCUUUCCACUGCCCAGAAAAAUGCCACCAGAGUUGCAUCGUACAAUUUCGUAUAAUUCAAAUUUCCAUCCAGAAGCACUGGUUCAUUGGCCGUGAACUGUGCAAAAUCAAGUCGAGUGUUGAUGGGAUCGGCUGCAUGGUCGAAGCAAGGGUACAGACACAUUGACCAUGAGAGCACAUUUUCGAGCUUGCAAGAAGCUCACUACUUUUGCAAGAUCAUCACGAGCCUCUUCCGUUAAGGUAAUUCUUUUGAUUGGCUAAUUAAUCAACAGAAAACGAAUUAUAUCUUGUUUUGGUUCUAUUUGUUCAAUAUACUCCAACAUGUAUUAAGAUCAAGAUGCCAACAGAAUAAUAAGCACCUGUGUCCAAAAGUCCAAAUACAUGCAUUUGGACUUUGUGUCAAAACACUGGAUAAACAGGUUUCAUGUUAGGAUAAAAAAGUCCCCAAUUUUGUUCUACUCCAGCAGGCUUGAGAUCUUCAUUAAACAUGGCAAAAAUGAAGCCUUCAAUGUGAGCCCCUGGCCUUUUAGGUGUACCAGCCUUGCUCAAGAUAUGCUGCUUGAAGUGCUUGUUGUACGCAGACGCAAGUUUUGGAGUUGUGAAAUUCCCCUUCCCGGCAGAAGGCCAUCCACUCUCGGAAACUGCCACUCCCACAUUAUGCACGCCUUCUUUCUCCAUUGCCCAGUACACUGCAUCUACCGUAGCAUCAAACAAGUUAUGAUAAGUCAAAUUACCAUCCACAACCACCGCAUCUGUUGCGGUGAAGAGUGCAUAAUCUUGACGAACAUGCACUGGAUCGGAUGCAUAGGCGAAGUAAGGGUACACAUUCACCAUCAGAGGUGAUCCCUUGAUGGUUAAAAAGUUCAGAACAUCGACAAUUGCACCCUUUGCAUCAUCUGAGAAUACGCUGGCUGAAGGCGGAAAGGAAGUUCCAAGCACAGCCGUUGACACUGAUGUUGUCACGGUUAUACCAUUAAGGUUGUCAUCACUUAAGACAGACUGAAGAUUUUUCAUGGCUGGUGCAAUACUGUCUGCGAACUCACCUGGGAUGGCCUCAUUUCCCACAGAAACGAAUGCGAAUGUAAUGUCAUUAGUAUAAGGUUGUAGAUAUGUCCUAAACCAUGAUCUUGCGCCGUCAACGCUUGCUGCUAUGUUUGGUAUAUCUUCAUUUUUUACGCCUAAUGUGACAUCAAUGUCACUGCCCUUUAGUGCUUGUAGAGCAUCUCGAUUUGGAUCAAAAAGCCUCAGUUUGCCAAUGCUAUACUUCUUGUAAAGGGCAAUGACUUCUGCGGCCGGAGGUAAGUUGUCCGCCACCAUUCCAUAACAAACGCCUAUAUCAAUUUUGUCACCAGCAAUGGCUAUUGGGAACAGCAUCAUGGUUGUGAUUGCAAGAACCAUGGGAAAUAUAAUCAGCAAGAAUGACUUCAUUUGAACCGUUACAUGCAUAUUUUGCUUGUCUUACGUAGAAUGAUAUCUGAAAAAUUAGAUACAUCAAUUAGUGACUGGUAAUAUACAGCAAUAUUGUUAAAUCACAAAAAUGAAAUCAUAGUCAAGUACAGUCUAAUACCACUAAUAAAAUGCUCAUGAUGGGCUAUAAUUUAGCAGAAGCACCAAUUAAAAUUUCAUUUGUAAUUGUGACUGCAUUUCUCUAUUUAGAAAAAAAAAAAAAAGGAUCUACGUAUGUUAUACAGACAUUUUGUUUAUGCCCUUUGGUGCAUGAAACUAAUGAUUGGCAAAAAAGAUAAACCUAUCUAUUUAGAGAACAGGAUUACAUUUACAAAUAGUAUCAUAGCAUUAGUAAUAACUCCAAAGCUCAACGGCAAUGGGUAAAUUGGUGUAAUGAGAAAUUAUAAACACGAAACGAAUAUUAAUUAGAAAAUGGCUUUUUAUUUUUGUGGGUUUACCACAUAUGAUCAACGAUUUACCUCUGAAAGAAAAAAUAACAAAAGAGAGGAAAGGAUGUACGCUUGAAUAUUUAUGGGGACUAUGAUAGAGUUACGAAAAUGUUGAUGGUACGGUAACCUGAAGGACGACAUAUACAUGUAAAACCAUGGACUUACAGGCAAAUUAAUCAGCUAUAAGUUUGGUAACGACGCAGCCCAUAUACUCACAAGCUAUGAAGAUAACUUUGGUUUUGUACAAUUGUCUCCACUCCAGUAAUUAAUAAUAUGCUUUGGCUGGUAGCUAGAUAACAACGUUCAAGUGCUGGAGGGGCACUGCAAUUUGCAAGCUGUUUCUGCAGAAUUGUCUCGGCCCCUGGAACUGGCAUAGCUUCGAAUGAACAAGCCUAUAUAUGCAAUAUAUAUAAUCAUUCAAACCUUGUAAGUUCGGUGUUUUGGGGGUCGUCCACGGACGGACCAUAAAAAUUUAUGGUCAGUGGCCACGAAUGCAAACCAAACCAAGCCGCAUAUGGGUUCUUGUUUUUCACACCUGGUGGAAAUAGCUCCCUGAUAUAAUAAAAAGAUUAAGAAUCUAUUUAUUCAAAAUUUUGUAAAAUGGUAAGCUGAGUGGAGAUCUGUUAUCAUCUAUAAAUGAAUAAAGACGGAAAUCAUUAAUGGAAAUAUUUAAAAAAGAGGUGGCAAUUUUGAUCCAAAUCCAUUAAACCAUUCGUAUCCGUCUCACUUAAUUAGGCUCAUUUGUUUCGAGGGAAUAGGAGGGAAAGGAAAAGAAAUGAAAUGGUGGAAUAAGAAGGUUUUUUAUAUUUGAAUUGGGUUUUGAAAAUGGAAAGGAAAUGAUUUGAUUUUAGUUAUUUUUUGUCAGUUUGGUUGCUGUCCAAAAGUGGGCGUAAACGAAGGAAAGAUACCAAAAUUAAUGCAAAUUGUGAAAUUUUCUAAAUUUUUUAAAUGUAUUUAUAAAUUGACUUUUAAAUUAGGGAUAAAAAUGUAACUAAGCUUACUUUUCUUUACUUUCAUAAUUCAAAAAAGAUGAAUGGAUUCUGAUUUCCUUUACUCUCCUUUGUUUUCUUUUUCACUGCAGCUGUCUUCUUUACUUUCCUUCUCUUUCCAUCAGUCCCAACGGUGCCUUAAUUGGCUAUGGAUUUAUCCAAAACUUUAAACGGAAACUAAUGACUAUCCUGGUUUUUAGUGAAUAAUCCAUUAACAUCCUUUAAUGAAAAAAAUUUAUGACUCUGUUUGGUUUUUUUUUUUUUUUUUUUUGUUUGGGUUACAUAAAUAGAUACAUAAGGCACUUUGUCCCAACGGUGCCUUAAAUAGAUACACUUAAAAGACAAAGUAAUUCUCUCCCAAAUUCAGGUUCCCAUAUAAAAAGAAAAGGAAAAGGAAAAGGAAAAGGAGACACUCUCUUCCUAUAAGUUAUUUGUACGUUAACUUAAGAGAAUUCCAGUACUAUUUUCCUAAACUUGCUUCUAAAAUAUGCAAUUGAAAUGAAACAGGAAUUUUUCGAGCCAAAAAAGACAAAUGCGGCGUUGUUAAAAAACUAGAAAUAUAACAUUAGAGGAACAUAUAUAUUGUUUGAGAGAAAGUUUAAAUGACAAAGUAUACACCAAAUUUAGACUCCAAACCCCAAAAGAAGAAGUAAAAGGAGAAGUAAAUAUGAGAUCUAUUAGAAAAACAUCGCAUGUCUUAAUUGUCCAAUCUAUAUUUAGAAUAUUCCUUGAAUAUAAUUUUCAAUUAAUGUUUUAUUAUUUUAAUUACGUUUUUCUUCUAUGCCACGUUACAUCAAUAAGAAUUACACAACUAUUAUUUUCUCAAGAGCCACAUCUAAAAAAUAUAAUUGAAAUGAAACUAGAAUUUACGGGUCAAGAAAUUCAAAAGUAGGUUUUUUUUUUAGUGUACCCCUAGACCUCUCACUUAUAUUCUCUUCUUCCAAACCACCCAACCCAUCCCUCCCUCUAAAAAAUGGAAUUGUUAAACUACUACAAGACUAUAAUAGUAGUGUAAUAUUCAUUUAUUUUACAAGGGAAAAAAUUUUAAAAAGAAAAAAAAAAGAGAAAAGGAAUAGCUGAUGUGUUUUAAAAAGAAAAAAAUGGAAAGCGAAAACAAUGGGCUGCAGCAGCCAGCGGGGGAGGCUAGGAUAGUAUUAUAUCAUAUCAAAGGGGUUGAAACUAUCAAAUUAAAUGGAUUUAAUGGGUAAUCAAUAGCCAUUAAAUUCCAAAUCUUUAGCAUCCAUCUACUAAUUGGGGUGACUCCAUUUCAAUUAUAACAAUUAAUUAUGAGUAUCUGUAAACUCUUGAGCAGAAACUUUACAUAGACGUCUAUUAUCUAGAAGGAAUUCUCAUAACAUUUUCAUAUCUCCACUUUAUUUUAUUUUUGAUCGAAUAAAAAAAUAACAAAUUUAUAUUUUUAAUCCGUCUUGUGUCCUCCUCCCCCCCACCCCCAACCCCAAAAAAAACAAAAAAAAAGAACGGCAAUACAAUAAAAGAGAAGCAGAUUGGAUCUAUUCAAUUCAUGAACUACUUAGGAUUUAUCCAAAAAUGAUCCAAUUAACCAUUUUACCACCUCUAGUUUGAAACCUCCAUAAAGAGCAAGAUUUUGAAACUAAUAAAGAAUAAGAUUCCAUUUAUUCAAAAUUUUGUAAAAUGGUAAGCUGAAUGGAGAUCUAUAUCAUGCAUAAAUGAACAAAGACGGAAAUCAUUAAUGGACAUGUUUGGAACCUCCAUUUUAGGUCAUUGUGAGUCAAUGACCAACAAACAUUUUUCGUCGGAAAUAUGAAAAAUUGGUGUCGAGGAAUAUAAUUGAUCUCACGUCAAAGGACGAUCCCUGCACCGCGAGGCGCGAGGUUAUCAGCCUCCACUGCAGGGGAAGUAGGAAUUUCAAUCCUUUUUUUUUUUUUUUUUGCUUUUAUCUUUUAACAAUUAACAGCUUUUCUGGUUAAGGGGAAAAAACCGACUGAGUCAUUUGAUACUCAAAUUGAAUUAGAUUUGUUAAGAGAACUUAGUUCAUCAGCCAAGCCUGAAUAAUAUUUUCUAUUAAAUAAAGUUUCAAACUUGGUUCAAACUCGGUUUGAUCAAAAUUAAAUUAAAAUUUAUAAGCAAAAAAUUCUAGCUACUCGACCUCAUCUAGAUCUAGACUCAAUAAAAGUUCAUUAGAAUUCAACUUCAUAAAUCAACAAACUAAACAAGAACAUAAUUUCAAAAUUGUUAAAAUAAUCAUAUAAAUUUAAAUAUUAAGGUAAUCGACUUGAUUAGAUUGGUUUAUGCCCCUGUUGCUGAUCAUGCGUUAAAAAAAAAUUUAAAAGAAAACCAAUGCUUUAGGCACCGAUUAUUUCCAUGUUUUGGAAUACGCCAUGUUUUGAGAUACAUGAUAGGCGUGCUUAGCUCAGAGAGGCAAAAGAAAUAAUUGAGUAGAAUGAAGUUAAACGAUGGUAUUGAUUGUUUUUUUCUAUCAGUGAAUAAACGAUUAAAACCCUUAUAAUUGGACAAGUAAUUUACUUUUGUUUGCUGACCUGUAAUCAAUUGCCUCAAUGCCUAGAUUUUCCUUAAGCACAUAAGUUUGUUGAAGAGAGCACUACCGGCUAGGGAUGCAUGUAGCUCGCGAGCAACUCGGUUAAUAACUUGACUUGAACUCGGUCAAAUCGAGUUCGAGCAGAGUCUUGAGUUACUCGAGUAUACAUUCAAGUCGAGUUCAAGCCCGAAUUUUUGCAGCUCGGGGUUUGACGAGAUACUCGUCGAGUAGUAUAAUUAAAAUAAUAUAUAUGUAUUAUAAUUAUAAAAUGACCGUUAUGGGUAUAAUUUAUACUGAAUUUACAAAAUUGAUCAAAAAACUCGAUUGAUCAGUUUACUUGACUCGAUAAGGCUUGACUCAAGGUCGAGCCUUAUCGAGUCGAGUCUCGAGCUUUUAAGGAUUUUCUCGAGUCAAGCUCGAGUUGAGAUUUUCCGACUCGAUCGAGAUCAAACUUGAGCUCAAGUAUAAUUAUAUUGCUAUACUUGAACUCGACUUGACUUGAAUACACCCCUACUACCGGCGGAUAGAGGGACCAACUAUGGCCUUGUUCUCAGUUGCUUUAAAAUUUCUAAAGUCUAAUUAUAAAAAUUACUUAUGGAGAUAAUCAAAAUCAGUAAAAACAUUUUUUUGGGUGAUUAUAGAUAUUAUCUUUUUUGUUCAUUAAAAAAAUUUAUAAUUAGAAUACAAAAUUAAUCAAAAAUAUCACAAAACGGAUUAUAAUCAAAAUUUAUAAUCAUAAAAAACAAGCCCUAUAUAUGAUUUAAGACUUGUGCCUCACAUACAAGUAAAGGUUGUAAAAUAAACAGUAAGCGUAUUACUUGCUAUAAAAGAUUAGUGUGACAAGAUGCCCAAAUCUUAUCGAAUACUAGAUGUAUGUGCGAUGCACUAGCACGAAAAAUUUCUAUUGCUAAGUUGGAGGAAGCAGAAUAGAAGGUUCUAUUGCUAGCUCUCAAUUAUACAAGAAAGCUAUUGUACCAUAAUAAAAGAUAUAUUCAACGACACCAACGAGCGGUCCAGCGGCAGCGCCUCUCACCAGUGAAUCUUGAGGUCACAAGUUCGAGUCUCCGCUCCGCUGGAUUCCUCCGCGCACUUAACGUGUUCGGGCUGGGUUGGGACGCCGGGCCCGGACCGUAGGAGAUUAGUCGGGCCCCGUAAGGAUUGACCCGCACACCUCUGUGUCGACAAAAAAAAAAAAAAAAACGACACCAACGAGCAUUGGUUGUUAAACUUCAUUUAUUUAUAGCCAAUGUACUCAUUUUAACACCUGGUACCUUCUGUACCAGUAUUCAUUGCUUGUACCAACUAUCAUCCAUCAGAUCCGUUGAGAAAAAAAAAAAUCCUUUUUUAAUCAUAUAGACUAAGGGCGGAAGCCCGGUGUGCACGUGGACGUGGUCGUCCUCCGCGUGGUGGCUGUGGAUUGGCUUUCUGAUAAUGUGGCACGAUGUGAUUGGUCUGAACUUUUUCCCUGCGCCUUUCCUUCCAUUUGUUGACGUGGUGGCCCGGUUCCUGGUCAAACAGUCAGGCGGUUGUUUCGUAAUGUCUUGUCUUCUUCUCUUUGUUGGGCUCGGAGGUUUGUUGAUAUUACAAUUUUAGCCCUUUGAUCUCAGCUAUUUACAUCCCGAUCUUUUGUUGUAUUUUUGAGUUCCUUUGUCCUUUGAGGGGUGUGUUGCUAAUGUACGUUUUGUCACAUCCAGUCUGCUUAGCAGCUUUUGUUGAAACGAGCAACUGCUCCAGCAACGCUACCCAUCUCAGUUCCAGACGUCCUCACUGGGAGAUUGGUGGCAAGUUUGGUCGUCUUCACUUCACAUUCAAUUUUGCUCUUCUAUUCCUCUUCGUUUCUUGCUUCUUCCUUUGUUGUCAGAGAGCAGGUGAGCUGAGGGGAGUGGUUGUACCUUUGUAGAGCACCGAUUGUGGUCUAUCUUCUUUGUCCUUCAUUUUCUUUUCCCUUUUUUGUACUUUUCCCUUUUCCAAACCACACGAUUUUUCUUUUGGUCGAUGGCUUUAGUCUUAUCUUUUGAGCUUCCGUACAUUCUCUCCCCCAUUUUUUCCCUCUCUUCUGUCUUUUCUCUUCAGAAACUGAUGCUCCAUUACAAAAAACUCAAAUCAGGUGAAAUACACGAUGAAAAGAAGAGAAGCCUAAAUCCAUGGAAGCUCGUAACAGUAAUGAAGAUUUCGCAAUAGGAUGCAUACUCUCCGUCAAGACCAUUCAUCCAAGUAUUGAACAAGACUAUUGACAACUACUUUGCUGAGACCGAGCAGCUUGCAUUUAACCCUGCCUUUGUUGUACCUGGAAUAUAUUAUUCAGAUGACAAGCUGCUCCAGACUCGCAUAUUCGCAUAUGGUGAUACCCAGCGUCACCGUCUUGGCCCGAACUAUAUGCAGCUUCCAGUAAAUGCUCCCAAGUGUGCUCAUCACAACAAUCACUAUGAUGAUUUCAUGAACUUCAUGCACCGGGAUGAAGAGGUACUGAUCCCUCUUUUGGUAAUAAUGAACCGCAAAUUAUGCCUCGUUCUUUAAUUUGGUCUUCAUUUUGAGGACAUCCUACUUGUUCUUUAUCCCAGUUAGUUUCCUGGUUCAAGUCAGCAUUUAAGGUUACUUUUUAUGUGAUUUAGUAAAUAUAAUUAUCUAUGACCGGUUGCUGGUAUAAAGUAACUUUUCAUUAGAUACCAUUUUUGUGACAUGAGGUGGUUGUGAAUAUAAACUUGGUGGUUGAUAUGAAAACUUGUAGAUGUCACCGACCGAUGGAUCGAUGCUCUUCAUUUUUAUGUACUGUGAAAAAGGGAAUUCUAUGUGUGAAAUAAAUAGAUUAUGAAGAAUUAGUGGAUAAAUAAGAGUUGAGUAGAAAGCUAUCUUAUUACAUAUUGUCAUGACUCAAGGCAUAGAGGACAGUUUGAAAAAUGAAAAAAUGCCAGAAGUAGUACCCAUUCCGUUUUUCCAACUUUGUUGUGUAAUUGCUUUACAAUAAAAUCACUUCAGUUUUUUUUUUUUUGGCUUCGGGACUUUGUGAAUGGGAGUUAAAAUGGGCUUAUCUUAUGCUUAGUUGUACUACACUUUUUUGUUCAAUGUUUUUUCAGUUCGGUUAUUUCCCUUCAAGGUUCAAUCCUAUUCGUCAUGCUGCGAGGCAUCCCUUCCCCUCUGCUGUCCUGAGAGGAAAGCGUGACAGGGUGAGUUUCUACGAGUAGAUUUGCUUACUUUCAGGCUCUUGCUGUUGUUUGAAUCUAGAUAAAGGAACUAUGGAAAAAAAUUGAUGACUUUACUCAGUUAAUCAAAUCUGGGGAAAUCGGUUGUUUUAAUAACUUCAUCUUGGGAUUUGAAGAAUAUAUGAUACAUAAUCUUUGCUUCUCUCCUUCCCCCCCUCCCUCUAUCGAUUUCUCCCAGUUCUCCCUCUUGUUCUUCUUCAUCUCCCUCCCUCCCUUCCUCGAGUGAUUAUAGCUAAUUUUUUCUAUUUUUUUGCCAUUUUUUUUGCCAUCUUCUUGGCAGAAAACAAUCAAUUUUUCCCUCCUCUUUCAUGUCUUUUUCAGAAACAGCGAGAAAGGGAAGUUCAAUAUUUCGUCCCGACUAUCUAUGCGAAUUUGUGGAAUACAGAUAUGGUAAUUUUUCUUCCCCUUUCUGUCUGUGAUUAAUGUAUUUGUUUCAUUUCAGUUUUAUCAUUCAUUUUUUAUUUUUAGUUCCAAGAAAAACUUUUAAUAUGAUCUAAGAUAGUGAAUAAUUGAUGAUUAGCUAGCUUUUAGAUAGUUAUUUACUUUAUAUUUUGUACCUACUAGGUUUUUAUUGUUCCUGCUUAGAUAUAAACUUUCUCUAGCACACCAAGUUGGAUCCGAUCCAUAUUCUAUCUGUUUGUUUCAAUUUCUGCAUUUCCUCAUUCAAUCUGUUUGUGUCUACUUAGAUAUAAACUUUCUCUAGGACACCAAGCUGGAUCCAUAUUCUUUCUGUUUGUUUCUACUUCUGCAUUUCCUCAUUCUUAUGGUUUUUAUUGCUGAAGCAUUUCCUCAAUUUCGAACAGUCUUUUAGAGAAAUGGUUGCAAUGUGCUUGGUCAAAGACUUAAAAAAGAGGAAUCGUGCGAAAAAACUCUCUGCUGACUUACCUCCGUUGUGGAAUCGUGUCAAGGCAAAUUUGAGUGUACGUCAUUUUAAUGGUACUAUUAUGGAACUGCUAACCAUCAUUUUAUUUUCUAAUGGUUUACCUACUAAAAAAUUGCAGCUUAAGGAUGCUGCAGAACUAGCUUUGAAGAAAAUGCCUUCAGCUGAAUAGGAAGCAUUGUCACAGGUCUGGGACAUCAGAAGAAUUUACUGGCUGUUUGAUCUUUUUCAUUCUGAGCUGUCAAAGCUCUUUUACUCUUUGAAAGGGAUUUCUACAUUUAAAACAGUGGUAUUUUUUCAGGCAAAAAUAACAAAAGAUGCAAAUAUUUAAGUGCUGACCUCCUAUUUUCUUAACAUCUUUUUUCUUUCUUCUUUUUUUCCUUUUAGGUUUCUUAUUAGUUUGCUUUCAUCUGAUGUAGGUGCAAGUUUGGAGAUUUUGUCUUGGAUCACUAACUUUGCAUCAUUUUUUUUUCGUUUUUAUUGUUCAGUUCUAUGUUUAGCUUCUUUGUUACAUGUGUUGUGCUGCUUUGGUUUCUUGCUCUUCACAUUAUCCUCAGCCUCCUCUUGCCUACUGCUACUGUUCCUUCAAAAAACAGGUAUUCGUUCUUUACCUCCUUUUUUUCUUUCUUAUUUUUUCUCCGGUGACAUGUUAUAGCUGUGAUAGUUGAUGUGAAACAUUUUUUCUGAUUCUCUUUUAUCCUGCAUGCUACUUCAUGUUUAUCCUACAGGGUGGUUUACAUGUCUUGCAUUUCAAUUUUUUCCUGCUUCCUAAGAUUUGGUGGAACUACAUAUAUGGGCAAACAUAGAGAAUGGAAAGAAAUGAACUUUAUCUGUGAUGCCUUCUUCAGAUGAAGAUGCGUCAGAAAAAUUCUGAAUUGAGAAGACAUGACUAUAGAGUUCCAGAAAGAAAACAAUAUCGCGCUAACCACAGUUUAAAUGAUAAAAUUAGUGAAACUGAUUCCUGUAUACAACAAGGGAAUAUGCUUAUUAUACACUAAGGGAAAAGUUGUUUUAAAUCUUGAUUCAGUUCACAAUAAGGGAAAGCUGCAGACAGUAAGGAAAACAGAUUUAAAGUUCGUCCUCAAUUUUGUUUUGAACUUGGUAUUUUUUUUUUCCCCAUAUGUUUUUUAUCUCAAGUAUACAUAAUUUGCUUUUAGUGAACUCUAGACAAAGAUUAAUACGGCACAAGUAUCGUCAUCGAUCAACCAGAUUUUGUUCAAAACUUACCUGAAGGUGUGUGCUUCUAUCAAGUAGUUACCAAACAAAAAAACUAUAAAUUUGUAAGUUUGGGGUAUUUUUCAUUUCGUUCUAGCCAUUCAUAUUAUAUCACGUUCAUAAUUUUGUCUAAACAACAACAGAAAGUUCCAAGAUUUGUCGGAUACUUCAUACAUAGUGACCUGACGCCUUCAAUUACUUCGAGAACUGGAAGGAAAACAAUGACAAUUGCAAUGCGUGGGAGGCAGUUUGCAGAUAGCUGGGAUAUCAUUCUGAUUGAGCAUCAGUUGUAGCCUGGAGAAACAUUAGUCUUCGUUCCUGAUAAAAGAAGUUCCACCUACAUUUUCCUCACCUUUGAUAAGGAUGGUGUAGAUGGUCAAUUCCCAUGGUAUAACAUGUUCUAACUGUACUCCAUAAUAAGGAAUACAACAACUUUGAUGUAUCUAAGUAAAUAUCUUCCUCGGAUUGUGUUUGUUAUUCUUUACCAAUUGAUAUAAGCAUUGCAUUUUCGAUGUAUUUGUUUGUUUCUUUUCAAUGUACUCUAUGAGGCUUGCUAAAUAAGACGUUCUUGCUUUCUAAGGCAUAUCAUUGGUCCAUUGCAACUUAAAACUUAUCUAAUGCAUAACAUUUGUAUACUGUAAUCAGGUUGACCUUUUCUUUUCAUUUGAAAACUCCAACCUUUAGUGUCAACAUUUUAUAUAUAGUAUUUGUCGAUGCCAUUAAAUCUUGGGCAUGCUCAAACUUUAGUGUCAACUUGAAUAAUUUACGUAGAUUAUAUGAACUCUUACGUUGGGCAUGUAUACCACCGCGCUGUGCGCGGUGUUACCACCUAGUCAUAUAUAUAUAUACAACGAGAAAGGUAGCUUUGCAUGUAUUUCAGAGAAGUUAGUAGUGUUUCUUUUUUUCAUCAAAUCUAUGUGUUGCAUGGUAAGUACAUGGAUUACUCUGGCUUUUACUAUGUACCUAACAAUGCAAUAAUUAGUUUUAAAAACUAAAUAGUUCACAGAAAGAAGCAAGUUUCAGUUAUCCUUUAUGUGUUGUUCUUGAAGUAUCAUGGACUAAAGAGCUUGUGAAAUUUCACAUUUUCUAGUGCCUUGAAUUAAGAUACAAUAGAAAUUUAAAAUAUAGAGUCGUUGAUUAUUGAACCCAAAUUUAACAAGAAAAAAAAUGUUGUGCAUCCAUUCCAAUAUCCAGAAUAACUCUUUCUUUUUUGCAGUUCCUUUUUGUAUAGAACUCUUUGACCUAAGUGCAAGAUAGGCCUUUCAAAUUGUGUCAAAAAACUGCAUAUACAGGUUGCAUGUUAGGAUAAAAAAGUCCCCAAUUUUGCUCUAUACCAGAGGGCUUUUGAUUUUCAUUAAACAUGGCAAAGAUAAACCCUUCAAUAUAAGCCCCAGGCCUCUUAGGUGUGCCACCCAUAUUCAACACAUGCUGCAUAAAGUUCCUGUUGUAUGUAGAUGCAAGUUCUGGGGUUGUGAAACCUCCAUUCCCAGCAGAAGGCCAUCCGCUCUCAGAAACUGCCACUCCUACGUUAUUUACUCCCUGUUUCUCCAUUGCCCAAUAAAAUGAAUCUACCGUAGCAUCAAAUAAGUUAUGAUAACUCAGAUUUCCAUCAACAACCACUGGAUCUUUUGCAGUGAAAAGAGCAUAAUCUAGGCGAACUUGGUCUGGAUCCGAUGCAUAGGCGAAGUAAGGGUACACAUUGGCCAUCAAUGGAGACCCUUUGAUUGAUAGAAAGCUCAACACAUCUGCAAGUGCACCCUUUGUCUCAGGUGAGAAUUGACCAGCUGAAGGAGGAUAGGAAACUCCCAACACCAUCGUAGCGACCGCGGUGGUCACGGUUAUACCAUUUAGAUUGUGGUCAUUCAGAACAGCCUGAAGAUUACUCAUGGCAGGGGCGACAUCGUUGGCAAACUCUCCUGGGAUUGCUUCAUUUCCAACAGAAAUGAAUGAAAAUGUAAUGUUACUGAGAUAAGGCAGCACAUUUGUUGUAAACCACGAUUCUGCUCCCUCAGUACUUGUGGCUAUACUCGGUAUAUCUUCAUUCUUUAACCCUAAUGCGACGUCAAUGCCACUGCCCUUCAAUGCUUCUAGAGCGUCAGGAUUUGGAUCAAAUAGCCUUAGUUUGCCGAUGUUAUAUUUCUUGUAAAGGCUAAUCACAUCGGUAGCAGAAGGUAGAUUGUUGGCUACCAUUCCAUAACAAACGCCGAUGCCUAUUUUGUCUCCAACAAUCACCAUUGGGCUAUGCAUAAUGAUCAUCAUCAUCAUGCCAACAACAAGGAACAUUCUUAGGGAUGCCAUAGUUUGAGCCCUCAAAUGCAUCCUGUGCAUUUCUCCUACUUGGAAUGAUCUAACAAACUAAUUUUAAUCAGUCACAACUGAUACUCCUUUGGGUUCAAUUCCCAAAGGAAACAAUUCAGGUACCACUAAAGCAUAAGGAUCGAUAACUUUAUAUCACAUAAAUCUCAAAAAGUACGGAGAAAUUUCAAUUCUGAAGAUAUGACAUGUGCACAAGAAUAUAUACUAGUUAUUGCGCAUAUUAUAUAGGAUAGUUUGCUUGUGAAAUUGACCAUGAUAUAUAUAUAUGUAGAACCAAGAAUCGUAGAACAGAGAGCUAAUGCUGUAUGAAUGGGAGUUGAGACGUGGGUCGAAUUAAUGACUCUCAACAUGCGUGAAGCAGAUUUUUGCAAUCCUUCUACUUUAAUAACUAAGUAAUGUUCUUCAGGCAACGUAGUAAAUCACGAAUUGCAUGGCAUGCAAUACUACGAAUGAAGAUGAAUCUUGGAGGGAGGAAUGUCCUUGAUUCAUAAUCUCGCCCUUUAUUCUAGCAGAUGCACCUGAUCUUGGAGUAGUUAUGAACGUUUUCCUCUGCUAACUCCUAACAGUGUAUAUUAAGUAAAUCCACAGAACUUUGUGUCCCGGUUUAGUGAAAAAGUGCUUUAGAAUUUCUUUUUAUUUAUACAUUUACACGGUAACAAAUAAAGCGAAAGAUUUGAACAAAAGGCGCAAGAUAUCAGUAGAAAUUGAUGACCAAAAAAAAAAAAAAAAACAGAUUAAUGUUUGUAGUAUUCGUCCUUGCUCGCAAAUUAAUGUCACUAGCAAUUACUACAAAAGCACGCCAGUUUUAAUAACGAAAAGAACAAUGGUAUCAGUAUACAAAAUUCACAAAAUAUUGAACCUCGCAGCAUAUAUAUUACGGUUUCAUACUCAAAAAGCACCUUUUUGAAGAUUCAGUAAAUAAAAAUUAGGUUGUUAUGAAAUAAUGAUAAGAUGUGGAUGUCCGUUGAUAUUCUCUAGAUGUGGCUGUCCGUUGAUAUUCUCAAGAAGGAUUACAAGAUGAAGAUGUCCGUUUGCAUUCUCAAGAUGAUAGUCACAUGUAUUCUCCCUAGAUUCAUUGGUAUAUUGGAUGAACUCAUUUAUGGAUGUACUUGAUGUACUAAAUUCAUGUAUUUGUAUUUAAUAAGGUUCAUGUACCUUUGAUCUUGGAUCACCUAUAUAUAGGGGUGUAUCCUACUUCCUUUGUAACCUUGUAACAUUGAAACCUGGAAGUACUUUGAUCAGUAAAAUAUAAUAAUAUUCUAUCUCUCACUCUACUAUUUCAAUCCCUACUUUGGGAGUUUAUUUUAUUAGUUUCACAACACGUUAUCAGCACGAGUCUCUACCUUGAGUUAAGGAGAAGCACGAGUCUCUACUUUGAGCGAAGGAAAAGCACGAGACGCUGUCAAGGUUCUGCCCGAAUAACUUUUGACUACUUAUCGAGGUAAUAUUCUUUCCUACGAAUCUAGUGCAUAGUCUUAUGGCUAAUCUCACAAAACAAGAGUUCGUACCUCUUGAUAUUUCUGGAAAAAAUUAUUUAUCGUGGGUAUUGGAUGUUGAAAUUCAUCUUGAGGCAAUGGGUCUUGGUAAUACUAUUGUUGAUGAGAAUGAUGCCUCAAACCAAGACCGUGUUAAGGCCAUGAUUUUCCUUCGUCGUCAUUUAGAUGAAGGACUAAAAGUAGAAUAUCUUACUGUCAAAGAUCCUCUUGUCCUUUGGCGAGAUUUGAAAGAAAGAUUCGACCACCUGAAGUUGGUCGUUCUUCCAAAGGCCCGAUAUGAUUGGUUCCACUUACGACUACAAGAUUUCAAAUCUGUCAACGAAUAUAAUUCAGCCAUGUUCAGAAUUACUUCUCAAUUAUCAUUGUGUGGCGAAAAAAUCACUGAUGAAAAUAUGUUAGAGAAACAUUCUCUACUUUUCAUGUCUCUAAUAUGCUCCUGCAGCAGCAAUAUAGAGAGAGAGGAUUUAAAAAAUAUUCUGAACUUAUUGCAUGUCUUCUGUUGGCUGAACAAAAUAAUGAAUUACUGCUGAAAAAUCAUGAGUCCCGACCAACUGGUGCAAGUCCAUUCCCUGAAGCGAAUGUGACUCAAUUUCAAAAUUCUGGUCGAGGUCGUGGACGUGGCCGUAGAGGUGGCCGUGGAAGAAGCCGUGGACGUGGCCGUGGCCGUGGACGUGAUCAUAGUAGAUUUGUGUCUCGUGAAAAUUAUAGCCGUGGCAAGCAACAAAAUAUUUCUCAAGAGAGAGAAAAUGACUACGAUCCGAAAAAAGGAGAAAAGAAAGUUUAUGAAGAAAAAUGCUACCGAUGUGGUAUGGAAGGUCACUGGUCCCGUACCUGUCGUACGGCUAAACAUCUUGUUGACCUCUAUCAAGCAUCAUUGAAAAAGAAGGACAAAGAUGUCGAGACAAAUUUUAUCGACCAAAAGAAUGCUUAUGAUGAUGAUGAUGCUGACAUGACACACCUGGAUAUUGCCGAUUUCUUUGAGCAUCCUGAAGAUGCAAAAUGAUCAUAUAUUUAAUAUUUGUCUAGAUGUUUGAUAUAUUGUUAGUUUUGCAGGAUUGUCCAUUACUUUGGUAUGUUGUUUGAUAUGUUGUUAGUUUUAUCAAUUUACUUUGCAUAUGUCUAUUCUCGUAUCUUUUAUCAAUAUUUAGUUUCAUUUAUUUUCUUCCUGAAGAAGAAAUGGAUGCCAAAUGUUUGGGAUCAAAUAAUGGUGAUGAUAACAUUUGUCUCGUUAAUAGUGCUUCUGCGCACACUAUAUUGACAAAUAAAAGAUAUUUUUCUUCUUUGGAGAUGGGAGAGACAAAUUUAAUACCAUCAGUGGUAGUGCAAAAUUAAUUGAGGGCUCUGGAAGAGUCACUCUAUUUUUCCUGAAGGAACCAAAAUUGUCGUAAAUAAUGCACUACUCUCUCCCAACACUCGAAGAAAUUUAUUAAAGAUAUCCGUUGAGAUGGAUAUCAAAUUGAGACACUGAAUGAGAUAAUAAUAAAAAUCAAGUCAGAUGAAAGUUGAUUAUAUCAUAUUAAUCAUUCGAGGGUGUAAUGGUUAUCGAUAUAGUUAUCUUUAUUCUCAUUUGAUUUAUAAUCAUCACAUGCAGUAAACCAGAAGUUUACUGAUCCCAAUGAAUAUAUGAUUUGGCAAAAGUGAGAAUAUUUGAAUGUCGACAAGUAUUUAUACAUACCCCCUUUAUAUUAUACAUGGCUCCAAAAGAAAUUUAUGUCGGAUAUGCAUCACCUUUUACGAUUAAAUAUCGUAAAAUAUUGAUGAAUGAUCUAUUGAUGAGUGAUCUAUCCCGACAUUAGGGGGAGGAAAAGAUCAACCGAAAGGAAAUCAUCUGAACAAUUGGAUUUCCUCGAUCCUCAUACAAAACAAUUUAUGUGAACUAGAAAGGAAAUCAUCUGAACAAUUGGAUUUCCUCGAUCCUCAUACAAAACAAUUUAUGUGAACUAGAAAGGAAAUCAUCUGAACAAUUGGAUUUCCUCGAUCCUCAUACAAAACAAUGUAUGUGAACUAGAAGUUCAAGAAAUUCUUCAUUUGAAGAAAAUUAUAUUUAUCGACUCCAAAAGAGUUAUUAAAUCAACUAUUCCUGCAGGAAAUACUCUUGUUAAAAUUGAUGUCCCUGAAGGACAUGUACAAGUGCUACAAAUAAAGGCCGGCCUACCUAUAUAAGGUAUACAUUGAUUUCAAAUAUCUCCGGAGAUUAAAUAAAUGUCAUGACAAAAUUUAACCUCCUGAAGAGGUCGCUCCUGAAGAGCCAGCUCCCGAAGAGCCAGCUCCUGAAGAGAAUGAAAUUAUAGAAAAGUUAAUUGGAGCCUAAUGAAAUGUAGCACUUGAUAUUAUAGAAGUUGAUGAGGAUCAUGAAUCUAGAUCAGUUGAUGAAUGUCGGCAUAGAAAUGAUUGACCAAAAUGAAGAGGCCAAUACAAUCUGAAUAAGAUUCACUGGCUAAAAGAAAUGUUUUUGGGCCUGUAGUCCAAACGCCUGAAGGUGUCAAGCCAGUUGGAUAUAAAUGGAUUUUUGUGAGAAAAAGGAAUGAAAAGAAUGAAAUAGUGAGAUAUAAAACAAGACUUGUAGCCCAAGGCUUUUCACAAAGGUCUGGAUUUGAUUAUGAUGAAACGUAUUCACCUGUAAUGGAUACGAUCACAUUUAGAUAUUUUGUGAGUAUUGCAGUGCAUGAAAAACUUGAUAUGCGUCUGAUGGACGUUGUCUGAAGCAUGUAAAUCAAAUCCUAGAUAUAUGUAUUCUAUUAGAAUACAAAAGUCUUUGUAUGGGCUCAAGCAAUCUGGACGUAUGUGGUAUAACCGCCUCAAUGAAUGUUUAACUAAAGAAGGUUAUACCAAUGACCCAAUAUGUCCAUGUGUUUUUAUCAAGAGAAAUGGGUCAAAUUUUGUGAUUAUUGCGAUAUAUGUUAAUGAUCUCAAUUUGAUUGGAACUCCUGAAGAGAUCCAAAAGGCUGUCGAAUAUUUGAAGAAAGAAUUUGAGAUCAAAGAGUUUGGAAAGACAAAAUUCUGCCUUGAUUUACAAAUUGAGCAUUUAGAGAGUAAAAUUUUUAUCCACCAACCUACUUAUACCCAGAAGGUAUUAAAGCGAUUUCGUCUGGAUAAAGCACAUACAUUAAGUACCCCAAUGGUCAUCAGAUUAUUGAAUCCUAAUAAGGAUCCCCUUAGGCCACAAGAGGAACAUGAAGAGAUACUUGGUCCUGAAGUACCAUAUCUCAGUGCAUUUGGUGCGCUUAUUAUCUUGCUAAUUGUACAAGACCAGAUAUAUCAUUUGCUGUGAAUUUAUUAGCAAGAUUUAAUUCCUCGCCUACAAGACGACAUUGGAAUGAAGAAUGGUGAGAUUGAUGUGCUACAAAUCCGAUCGGAUAAUAAUUUGGCAGAUUUGUUUACCAAGGCUUUGCUGACUGCUACGUUUGGGAAACUGGUGAAGAAUAUUGGUAUGCGUCGGCUAAAAGAUCUCAUAUAAUGUUUGCAUCAGGGGGAGAAUUUAUUACACAAGAAUAGUGUACUCUUUUUCCUUCACUAGGGUUUUUAUCCCAUUGGGUUUUUUCCUAGUAAGGUUUUAACGAGGCAUAUUCUUUGUGUCAUGGACAUCCAAGGGGGAGUGUUAUGAAAUAAUGAUAAGAUGUGGAUGUCCGUUGAUAUUCUCUAGAUGUGGCUGUCCGUUGAUAUUUUCAAGAAGGAUUACAAGAUGAAGAUGUCCGUUUGCAUUCUCAAGAUGAUAGUCACAUGUAUUCUCCCUAGAUUCAUUGGUAUAUUGGAUGAACUCAUUUAUGGAUGUACUUGAUGUACUAAAUUCAUGUAUUUGUAUUUAAUAAGGUUCAUGUACCUUUGAUUUUGGAUCACCUAUAUAUAGGGGUGUAUCCUACUUCCUUUGUAACAUUGUAACAUUGAAACCUGGAAGUACUUUGAUCAGUAAAAUAUAAUAAUAUUCUAUCUCUCACUCUACUAUUUCAAUCCCUACUUUGGGAGUUUAUUUUAUUAGUUUCACAACAGUUGGGUAAUAAUCAAAUUUAAAUCUAGAAGUUUGCAAAUUUAGGUAAGGUAGUACUUUAUAUCAUUCAUCAACUACUGACUAUAGAAUAUCUUAGGGCUUGUUUGGAAUGUGAAUUUUUGUAAUAAAAUUUUAGGAAUAUUGUGUUUAUACUUUUUUUUAAAAUUACCUCAUUAUGUGACAUAUAUCACGUGUUAUAGUAAGUUCUUUUUAUAAAAAUUCCAAAAAAAUUACAAUCCAACUGGGACCUUAGAAUCCAAAAUUCUCGAUGGAUUUCAGAAGAUAAAUUCCUUACACGGCAAUUAGCUUUCGUUCCAAGAUUCACUGGGUACGUUAUUCCUUUCUUCUUCUUUUUUUCUUCUCUUUUAUAAACAGGAAGGAAAUGGAUAACAAAUUGAUGCUAUAAUUAUACCAGUUAUAAAUACAUACUGAACAAAGGAUUUCGAAAGAGAAUUUGGGUUAUUCUGGAGAGAACCAAUUUAACUAGUUAAGAAAAAGGAUAUAUUACAGAAUUAUUAUAUACCAUCAUUGAACCAAGAUAUUAUCAUAUAAACAUGCAAAUUCUGGAAGCAAAAUGUUGAUCCAUGCGAAAAUGCAUUCUUAAAGAUAGAAACAUAAAAAAAUGACGACAUACUAAUUUUUUUCAGCAGCAUAGGUCAAUGCAAAUGUAUAUACUUCUCGUAAGAUGGUUCUCUUGUUAAAUUCUCGGUGAUAUUUAGUUAGCCUCUUCUGCUGCACAUACAAUAAAGAUUUUACUCGUCAGAAUAAGAUUUGGGCUGUUUAGAAAGACCCUAAUCCUAGACUAGGCGAAUAAAGUGGUGAUAUAUAAGAUGAGAAAAUGACCCUAAUCCUUGUUUUCUUGUUCUUUUUCUCCAUCCUGCCCCGGUUUGUCAAAGACAUAGCUUGCAAGUUGCAAUCUUCACUCGCGUUUUUUAGCAAUGCUAUUCUUUUUACCUUCAGAUUAUACAUUAUCUCAUUAAGGAGGAUGAAUGGUUCACUUUUAAUAAUAGGAUUAGAUCCAAUUGAUGCUUCCUUAUAUUCAUGGUAAGGUCUGAUGUGCUGACAGUAUGGCAAUCAUGGUUCAAAGUCGCGGUCGCGGCCCGGAACGUUCCACAUCGGUCUCAGCAUAUCGGUCGCGGUCUCAGUGAGACGCAAAUUUUAAAGUAUUUAAUAUUCUAAAAAUUGUUAAUAAUAUAAAAAAAGUAUGCUAAACAAAAAUAAUAAAAAAUAGCAAAAGAAAUGGCCGAGUCAAUCCGUUGCGGUGUAACUCGGUUGAUUUCUCGUCUUGACUCGGGAUAACUCGGAGUGACUCGGUGUGACUCGGCCGAGUCAAUCCGUCGCGGUGACGUCUCGGCCGAUUUCUCGGCGAGUCAAGUAUCUCGGUAUCGUUUCGUCAUGAUAUCGUAUCGGUAGGGGCCGAGACGGUGACGACUCGGCCGAGACUUCGAACCAUGUUUGUAACCACGGUUACAAUGGAAUGAACAAGAAAUAAAAAUGCUCAACAAUGUUUCUACUUAUUAAGAAUUUACCUGGUAUCCAUCAUCACGAACGGUUUGUGGGGCUCAUUCUGGUUAGAUCUCUGUAUUCUAGUCUUCGUGACAGAAUUCGAAUGAGAAAUUGUCAGUUUCUUGGGGUUUUCUUUUGCCAGUCUAUCUAGCAUGUUGGCAAUACGUGAAAGAAGUUCAAACUUUUAGGAAUAGCACGUCCAGAUGAUUCGAAAUCCUCAAUGCCAAAGAUUUUUUGUUUGCUUUCUACAAUGUCAUGAUGAUUCUUAAUGAAACUUGUCCUUUGCUUCCAAUGUAGCAAAGCUAUCAUGCUAGCUUGCAUAUCAGAGCUUUUGCAUUAUUAAUUUAAGGAGAAUACCCUGGCCUCUAUGGUGUUCCAUCUUUCUACCCAUGAAGCUUUGAUGAAUUCUUCAAGGAUGCUGAAUCCGAUGAUUCUCUGCAAACAUUUAUUCAUGUAAAAGUAAUAUUCAACUGCAGAAGUAAUUUAUCACUGGAUCGUAAUUUUGGUGAUUCCUUAUCGCUUCAAUUUCCAUGGAAAAGAGCCUGAUUCUCAAAAUUGCAGUAAUUGUCUACUGGCACUUAUGUUGCUAUAAUUCCUUAACCAUCACUUCACUCCUGUGUUAUAAAAUUCACUCAAUUGUGUUCGUAGUCAACUUUUUCUUCCGUUAAGGUGAAAAGUGUCUGUCUUCUGCCGACGCGAUUUUACAAGCAGAAACCUUAUCCUUUGGGGGUGUCUAAUCAUCCUCAACAAUGCCGCAAAGGAUAGGGAAGUUACCAGGUCCAUACAUUUAUACACGGCUGUUGGCUAACUUAAUAUGAAAUGACAAGACGGGCCUGCAAAAACUCACUUUUGGCUGUCAAAUGUCUUCUUCUACCUUGGGUGAUCAUGGACCACAGUGCAAGAUUUUUUUCAUCUUUAAACUCUCAUUUUGAUGGAGAGUCCUUCAAAAUUUGAUAGAAACUGUGUACUGUUUGGUUCAUAAGACAUUUUCUCAUGUGCCUGAGACUAAUAAUUUCCAAUCAGAAUAUUUUGCAAGUAUGUGUUAGCUGACCAAACUAUCACCAUCUUUUGUCCAAAACCGCAAAAAGAGAUCAUUUAAGGGGCAGUUUGCCAAGAACUACAGAGAAAAAUCUGUUUCUGUCAAAUGAAUUGAUCACAAACUAAAGUAACAACUACUGACAUAGUGCCCAAUGCCUUUGCUAGUAAGGAGCAAGGACUACAAUCAUCAUAAUUGCAUUCUCUGUAGCGUUUCUUAGGUGCACGGCCAUCUAUAAACCAAAAUGAAGACACUUCUACUGUUGGAAAUAAAAUAACGGCCAUCUAUAAAUCAUCGUUAAUCUACAUCGGCGUGCAUUAAUCUCCUUGAUUUCACUGUUAUAAGGAAGCCUAUUAUGCCAAAAGACUGCUGUUAAAUUACUAUAAUUAUGCCACAAGUAGAAACUCCUAGUCCAUUUGGAACCUUAUAAAGAGCAAUCUAGCUCAUUUUCUUCCCUUGGAUUCUUUUUGCAUUUACAGAAUAUGCUUCUCAAUCCUAGCCAAUUCCAAACAAAAAGGGACAAUUUGUAUUUGUCGAUUGAGAACGUACUCAAUCACAUGCAUGACAACCCAUAAUAUGUCCUUUCUUUCGUCAAAUUUUGCAUGCAUGUGAAAUGCUUCAAGGCAUAUCCCCAAUGGUCCAGAAAUAUCCAUGCCAUCACAGUCUUAUAAAUUCAGCAUACAUUCUCAACAUCACAAUUCUCCACCACUUAAUCACAUAUCCACAUUCCUCUCUUGUUAAACUCAAUAGCUAGCAGAAAUGUUGAUACAAGCCCUCUUUAUCUUUUCACUCCUUGUUGCCUCAACUCAAGCUUUAGACUUCUGCGUAGCGGAUCCUUCAUUGCCUGUUGGACCUGCAGGUUACUCUUGCAAGAACACUGCUGAAGUCACAGUUGAUGAUUUUAUUUUCAGCUUAGCAGCUCCUGGCAACACUUCUAACAUCAUUUCUGCGGCAGUAACCCCUGCUUUUCCACCCACGUUCCCUGGUGUGAAUGGUCUUGGCAUUUCAAUUGCCCGUCUGGAUUUCGCUGUGGGUGGUGUUAUCCCAUUUCACACGCACCCUGGAGGAUCUGAAAUCCUUGUUGUCAUACAGGGGCAGCUCUGUGCUGGCUUCAUUUCUUCAUUGGAGAAUAAAGUCUAUUUCAAAACUCUUGUAAAAGGAGAUGUGAUGGUAUUCCCACGAGGGUUGCUGCAUUUCCAGUUUAAUUCCGGGAAGAGUCCUGCUCUAGCUUUUGCUAGCUUUAGUAGUCCUAACCCUGGUCUUCAAGUCACUGACUAUGCAUUCUUCAAGAAUGAUUUGCCAACUGAAAUUGUUGCCAAAACCACUUUCCUUGACAUUCCACAAAUCAAGAAGCUCAAAGCAAUCCUUGGUGGCACCAAUUAGAUUACCGUGAAGUUGUUUAGACGGAAUUUGGAGUCAGUCAAUUAGUUCGUUCUUUCACAAAGCUGUGAUCCAUUUUAUGUUGCUCCUCUGUUUUGCAGUUCAAGUACUUUUGUUUUAAGGUCAGGAUUGAAGUCUCUAAAUAAUGAGAAUGAGUUAGUGGAGUAGUUAUCCGCAGUUCAGUCUCCGGUGGUAUUUCAGCUGUCCUAAUGAUGGCUUUUCUCGUAUUUCCUCUUGUUGUCAAUCUGAAACUCUCAUGCCGAAAUCUGCCUGUUCUGGAAAUGAAAUUAAAUGUGAUGUUGUCGUAAAUGAAUUCGGGAU
rnacentral:lncRNA from 1 species